ACCGCUGCGGUGGUGGCCAGGAACCUUCUCACUCCCAAAGAUAAUAGACUACUUUCCAAACGAUCUGAUGAGUUGGCUAUUAAGGAUUCCCCGGCUUUCAGUGUUCAGUGUGCAGGUUCUGUGUCUAAUAUGGCCCAACGCCUAUUUGCUCGAACCCGCCAAGUUGAAUCAUUGGCGGCUGAAGUCAUAAGUCUCAAACAGGAGAUUAAAGGGCUCAAGUAUGAGAAUAAACAGUUGCACAAGUUCACACGUGACUAUGCUACAAACAUGAAGAGGAAGCUUGACCAGAUGCAGGAAUCUGAUGGUCAGAUUUUACUUGAUCAUCAGAGGUUUAUGGGUUUGUUCCAAAGGCAUUUAUUGCCUUCGUCUUCUGGGGUUGUACCGCGUAAUGAAGCUCCAAAUGAUCAACCUCCAUUGCCUCCUCCUUCUGGGGUUCUGUCCAGUACUGAGGCUCCGAAUGAUCACCCUCCGAUGCCUUCUCUUUCUGGGGCUCUACCGACUGCUGAGACUUCUCCUAAGCAACCUUUGUGAAGGCUCCCUCUUGUUUGUUUAUUUUGACUCAUGUAUAUGUACAUAUUUGUACCUUAUCGGAGAUAUCAAUAAAUAUGCUUUGCUUCAUUUCGACGUAUUGUGUUAAAUACACCAAAGCCUUCUUCACUAAGUUCUUUGAAUUUUUUCUUUUGUUGAAGCUUAUAUGUUGAAGCUUUGUGAGUGAAAUAUGUAGGUUGAGGUAGUGUUCCCUUAAUUUCCUGAGUGAGGAAAACUUCUCAGUUGGAGACUUGAAAAAUCCAACUCACUGAGUGGUCGUGAGACUUCCGAAUAUCAAGGUGCAGUAGCAUAUGGUAGGAGUCCGCCAAGUCUCCGGUCGAGGGAGUUAACAAAGGAGGUGUCUUGCUAGUAGCCAAGCUUCUAAAGUAACAAAACUUCACCAUUUUCCUUUCUAAGUGGUAGCCCAAAACUCCUCCUUCAUAUAUAUUUGUUAUGAAAAUGGUUAGGCCCAAAGAAGAGGAGGCCUAGGCAAAUUUUUUUUUUUUUCGAUUUUUCUAUAUUCUGAAUUUCUGAAUUUUCGAAUUUCCGAAUAUAUAUAUAUAUAUAUAUAUAUAUAUAUAUAUAUAUAUAUAUAUAUAUAUAUAUAUAUAUAUAUAUAUAUAUAUAUAUAUAUUGUUUAAGCUUUGUAGGUGAAGCUUUGGUGUUGAAGCUUUGUAGGUGAAGCUUUGAGGUUGAAGCUUUGUUGGGUACUAUGAAUUGAUUUUGCUUCACACUAUCUUGAUCAAGAAUGUGUGAAGCUUUUGUAGGUGAAGUUUUUGUAGGUGAAGCUUUUAUGUUGAAGCUUUGUAGGUGAAGCUUUUGUGGUUCAAGCUUUUGUGGGUUAAGCUUUUGUAGGUGAAGCUUUUGUGGGUCAAGCUUUUGUGGGUCAAGCUUUUGUAGGUGAAGCUUUAGUAUGUGAAGCUUUUGUGGGUGAAACUUUGGUGUUGAAGCUUUUGUAGAUGAAGCUUUGGAGUUGAAGCUUUAUAGGUGAAGCUUUGGAGUUGAAGCUUUUAUUGGGUACCAUGAAUUGAUUUUACUUCACAUUAUCUUGAUCAAGAUAGUGUGAAGCUUUUGAGAAUUUGUAGUUGUCCUCCAUUGAUGAAGCUUUUGUUGGAGAAGCUUUUGUGUUGAAGCUUUAUAGGUGAAGCUUUGAAGUUGAAGCUUUGUAGGUGAAGCUUUGGAGUUGAAGCUUUUUUUUGGUAACAUGAAUUGAUUUUGCUUCACACUAUCUUGAUCAAGAUAGUGUGAAGCUUUUGAGAAUUUGUAGUUGUCCUCCAUUGAUGAAGCUUUUGUUGGUGAAGCUUUUGUGUUAAAGCUUUGUAGGUGAAGCUUUUGUGUUAAAGCUUUGUAGGUGAAGCUUUGGAGUUGAAGCUUUUGUUGGAUACCAUGAAUUGAUUUUGCUUCACACUAUCGUGAUCAAGAUAGUAUGAAGCAUUUGAGAAUUGUGGUUGAACUCCUUUGAUAAAGCUCUUGUUGGCACCAUAAAUUGGUUUUGCUUUACACUGUCUUGAUCAAGAGUUUGUGAAGCUUUUGGGAAUUGUGGUUGCCCUCCAUUGAUGAAGCUCUUUUUGGCACCAUAAAUUGGUUUUGCUUCACACUAUCUUGAUCAAGAAUAUGUGAAGCUUUUGAGAAUUGUGGUUGCCCUCCAUUGAUGAAGCUCUUGUUGGCACCAUAAAUUGGUUUUGCUUCACACUGUCUUGAUCAAGAGUGUGUGAAGCUUUUGAGAAUUGUGGUUGCCCUCCAUUGAUAAAGCUCUUGUUGGCACCAUAAAUUGGUUUUGCUUCAUACUGUCUUGAUCAAGAGUGUGUGAAGCUUUCUAUGAGUUGUAAUGUUUGCAUUGUUACAAAGGAGAAAUGUCUGAAGCAAAUGCAAGAGGGCUGAAUAGCUUAAUCUUCAUAUGCCAUGCACUGAAGUUAUUGUUAGCUUGCAAUAAGACUUUGUUGGUGACUAUAACUCUUGUUGGGCAUAAGUGCUCCCCUAGUUAAGUUGUAAAACUUGAGGGACUUUGAUUAUUUAUGAAUGUUAGGAGUUCACAUGUACAAGUUGUACCACUUAUUUUCUGGUUGGUGGAAUGAAUGGUGAGUUGCUUUCAUCACUUGGUUAGUGGUACGAAGGUGAGUUCCUUCAUCACCUUUCAUCACAUUUCAUCACCAUGUUGGUGGCACAAAGAUGAGUUCCUUCUUCACCUGGUUGGUGGCAUGAGUGGCAAGUUGCCAAAUGAUAUUAGAGUACAGGUUGUACAUUUCAUCACCUGGUUGGUGGCAUAAAGGAGAGUACAGGUUGUACAUUUCAUCACUUGGUUGGUGGCAUGAAGAUGAGUUCCUUCUUCACCUGGUUGGUGGCAUGAGUGGCAAGUUGCCAAAUGAUAUUAGAGUACGGGUUGUACAUUUCAUCACCUGGUUGGUGGCAUGAAGGAGAGUACGGGUUGUACAUUUUAUCACCUGGUUGGCGGCACGAAUAUGAGUUCCUUCUUCACCUAGUUGGUGGCAUAAGUGGCAAGUUGCCAAAUGAUAUUAGAGUACGGGUUAUACAUUUCAUCACCUGGUUGGUGGCAUGAAGAUGAGUUCCUUCUUCUUCUGGUCAGUGGCAUGAAUGGCAAGUUGCCAAAUGAUAUUAGAGUACGGGUUGUACAUUUCAUCACCUGGUUGGUGAGAAUAAGGGCAAGGUGUCGAGGCACAUUGUAGCAAGUGUCGAAGACACAAAGUAUGUUGAACCCUUUCGAAGCACAGUUGGCUUAUGUAUGGAUGUGUUGGAAUGUAUGAUGUUUAUGUAUGAAUGUGUUGGAAUGUAUGAUGUUUAUGUAUGAAUGUGUUGGAAUGUAUGAUAUUUAUGUUGAUUGAUAUGAGUGAUGCUUAUGAAUGUUUUGCUAUGCAUGAAGGGAUCCAUGCUUUUGAUAUGUGAACCAUGUUGGUUGUAAUACUUAGUAUCACAUACUUUGUGUUACAGUACGCAUGUUGAAGCUCUGAGUUGGAGUAUAAAGGUAGGUCAGCGUAAACCAAGUGUUCCAGUGCUAGGAACGCAAAAGACUCAGAAGAAGUUGUCUGAAUUCCCUCUUCUUUAAAUAUUUCCCGAAUGGCUUGUGUGACAAAAGAUCUCAAGCGGUUGAGAGUCAAAACAUUUGUAAUGUGUAUGCCUUCUUAUAAUAGCAUUUCCUUCAAUACCUAGUCCUCCACUUUGAAAGAGUGAGGCUUGGCCCCAUAGUCAUAAUAGUCGACGGUACGUUCACCCCUGGUUGUCUUGAUACGAACUUUUAUCCCUCUUGUUGUAAUGGGCUUGCUAAGAGUAAAAAUCCUUCAUCUUACCAAGAGACAGAUACGUUUGGUGACUUAGCGAGUAGCUAAAUGAGGCAGGAGAUGAUGCAAUGGGUGUUUGAAUGACCAAUAUCUCCUUACUUGGUAGAACUUGACUUCCACUUCCCACUUGUUGAUAAGGGUUAACCAUAUGGGGGUUCCCUUGGUAUGUCCUUGCUUUGGCGGAGGUGUGGUUGUAAGCAUGUGCCAUCACCUCAGAGUAAGUCUUCCAAGUGUUGGCAUUGAUCAUGUACUUGAAGAAACAAUCACGUAGGCCUGCCGUGAAGGCCUUAAGGGCGGUCUUGUCAUCUGCCUCAGUGCAGCGAGAAUACUCAUGGCUGAAGCGACCGGCAUACUCUCGUAGUGACUCGUCCAACUUCUGGUAAAUAGUGUACAAGUCAUCUGCAAAAUGCAAGUGAUCAGUCUAGAAGAUGUGUUGAGAGACAAACAGUUUUUUCAGUUCCUCAAAUGAGUUUACUGUCUCAGGUAGAAGACGAUAAUACCAGUUUAGAGCUCUGCCAGAGAGGGUGGAGGGGAAGAGAAGACAUCGUUCUUCAUUGGUGUGCAUUCGAUAUGCCAUGGUGGACUCAAAAAGGCUAAGGUGUUCAAUUGGGUCCUCUCUUCCAGUAUAGAGUUAUAAACCAAGCUUUUGUUUUGUCUUCGCUUGAAGGAGGGUGUCGAGGAUCCUUCUUGUGAGAGGGUCAGGCCUGGGUUGGUUCCAAUCAGGUAUCUUGGCCUGACGUUCGGCCUUCAACUUGUUUACUUCCUCAAGGAGCUGUAGGACAAGGGGGUCCUGAGUGGAGUCAUAUACCACUGGAAUUUUCUUUCGUAAGUCUCCAUCUUCUCUUGGAAGUAGGAAAGUUUGAGCAAGGGCAUGUGGUUUUUUCUUGGACUCGCCGUACUAACUUCUAGGGCGAGUCUGUCGCAAUACCUCAGAGUCCCCUGUACCUUCAUGUUCCUCUGGGACCUGUUGUUCCUUCCCUAGAUUGAUAGCUGGCCUAGGUCGUCGGAGGGGACCGAGUCUUUCAGAAACCCUUGGGUCAUUGAUCUUCAAGCAUAUGUGGAGGGGAUUAUCUCGACAUUGCUUUAGGAAGUUUCAACAGUCACGAUAAACGACUUUCGAUCCUUCCAACCUUUCUGCAAAGAGGUGUCUUCCUCCACUUCUUCUGCUUCAGGUCGAAGCAUAUGGGUUGAGAGAAGUCUCAUGUUGAUCAAUAUUUUGAUGAUUAGCUCACACCUCAUCAAGGAUACCCACGUCGAAGGAAGGUGACCCUCUGUGUUGGGGGGCAUCCAGAUGAUGGUUAAUGUCCACAUGAGCAACAAGCUUGCAUGUUUGAGUACGCCUAGUUUCUUGGAGCGUCUCAAAGAGCUUCUCAUAUUGCUCUUGGAAUGCCUCAUUCUUCAUUGCUAUCUUGUUGUUCUGAGCUUCUAGCUCAUCGACUUUAGUUUGAAGAACAACCCUCUUUCCUUUUUUCUUUCGUUGCUUCGCACUAGGUCCAAAAAGGGUGUCAUUCUAUGUGUUGUGGCCUUAUUCGCUCCCCAUGUUGGAGUGGGAUGCCUAGUCAAAAGAGAGUGUAUGAAUGGUGGAAACCAGCUUGGCAAAGCUGAAGAGAGUGGGAAUAAGUGUCGUUCCCACAGACGGUGCCAAAUGUUAAUGCACAAAAUCAGUGAGGACUUUGGUGCAACAAAAAGUGUUAAGUUUGUGACUUUCGCUAUAUUGCUCCGGUCACUAGUAUGAAUAAGUAUGUAAAUGGAUAGAGACAGAGAAGCAAACACAAGAUGUACGUGGUUCAUCCAGAUUGGCUACGUCCACGGAGUAGAGGAGUUCUCAUUAAUUGUGAAGGGUUUACACAAGUACAUAGGUUCAAGCUCUCCUUUAGUGAGUAUUAGUGAAUGAUUUAGUACAAAUGACAUUAAGAAAUAUUGUGAGAGAAUGAUCUCUAUUUAUAGAAGAGAGUUUCUAGUUUCAUUCUGACAUUGACAUGUGUUGUGUUGUGUUGUGAUUGGCUUCUGAUGUUGACAUGUGUCGCGCUAUGAUUGGCUUCUAAUGUCGACACGUGUCGCGCUGUGAUUGGCCUCCUGGUUGGAGGGAAACUCUUCUGGGUCCUUGACGGUAUAACGUUGACCGGUGCUCAGUAGUUUCGGGAUUGGUCAAGUAUGGUACAAACAGAGUCCAUUUCAAUCAAACCUCUCUACAGCAAAACCCAUGAAAACAAAAUCCUCUAUCAUUCUAUUUACAUUGGAAGGUUUUUAACCUAAUCAGAUUGGGGAAUCCCCCUUUAGAAAACCGAACCUCUUCAUACCCAAUAUAUCCAUAUUUCCAACAACCAUUACAAUUAUUUUGAUUACAUUGAUGCAUGGACUAACAUCUUUCUCCAUCAAAUAGAAGAUUUUAGUUAUUCAUGGUUCAAUAAUUUUGACAAGAGUUUCAAAUUGAAUUUUCUUGCAUGGUUCCCAAAAUGGUGGUCAACUCACAGCCCAACAGCCAGUCUCUUACUAGAAGAAUUUAUACAGGUUCUAUCUGUGCUAGUUUCCAACAAAAAUUUGACAAAAGCCGAUUUAAUUACAGAAUUACACUUCUCCCAAUAUUCAUGGCCAAGUAUAAAGUCCUAUGGAUCUUGAAGUGGAAUUAUGAAGUCGAAACAAGUGAAGUUUACAGAGCCAAAUCAGUUAAGUGAUGGGAUAAAUUCAACCAUCAAAAGACCAUCAGUUAGGUCCUCACAUAAUUUCCCAUUACUUCAUUCCCGGUCAUUUCGGUACAACUAGUACAGCCAUCACUGCCAGUCAUCUCGAAACCAUCAUUAUCAGACAUUAGUCCAUCUUCGUCCUUUAAAGGAACAGUCAAGUCUACCAAAUCGUCAGGCUUAAAGAAAAAUAAAGCCACUCAGCUUGAAGAUUUAGCACAACAAUUACUUGCAGAAGCAACGAUGCUCCAUACUGAAGACAAAGAAGUCGCAGACUCCAAAUCUUCAGAUGCAUCCUCACAGCAACCAUCCAACUCAGCAGCCAAAAAACACAGUCAGCUAAAUGGGUCGACUAUCAGGAUUCCCAGGACCCAUUUGCUUAAAGCCAUGUGAAAACUUCAAUCAUCAUGUCAAGUCACCAUGUGAACACAUUCAUUUGCCAUGUGAAGCAUUCAUAAAUUAUUCUCACCAAUUAUUUUGACAAAGUUUGGAGUCAUUCAUUCAUUCAUCCAUCCCAUGCUUCCACAGUAAUGGCAGCAAAUAUUCUUACAUAGUAAAAGCAACAAUUAUUCCAACAAAUUUCACUGUUCAUCAAUAGUGAAAGCAUGUCAUCAUUCAAAGUCAUCAUUCAUCAAUAGUGAAAGCAAGUCUUCCAAGACCUUUUCCAAGUCUUUAAGAAGUGAACUACGGAUGAAAAUGUCUCAAGUUUGGAAUUUCCACAAUUUCUCAAUCAAAAGUUUCUUUGAGUUCACACUGUACCCAAAGAAAUAAAAAAUUGUAAACACUUUUCAUUUUGAAAUGUCAAGGAUGUCUGCGUGCACCAAUAUCCUUUUCAUCAAUCAUUUUCAUAUUUGUUGACUCAAUCGUCAGUAAAUCAAUUGUAAGUUCUGGUGUAAGUUUUGCAAUAAAACUUAUUUUUAAAUUAUAUUUGCAUCAUUACUUUAAAUUCAUUAUUUUCAUUAUGAAGAAUAUUUUCAUAACAACUGAUUUUGAAUGGCAUAAAAUUCUUACUCACAGUCAAUUCAUUGAAUACCUUAAGUUCAAGGUGAACACCGAUCAAUCAUUUGUUUAAUUCUUUCUAUUUGUUUAUAAUAGUUAGUUUCAUGGCAAUUUUAAUCCUGGUUAUCCUCCAUAUCAAGUUCCACAUAAUUCAAUUAACAAUUCAUUCAACCCUAAUCAUCAUUGCCCUUUGUAUAAUUGUCCUUCUCGUUAUUAUUAUCAUUAGUUUCGUCUCAUUUGGUGUGUGUGUGUGUGUGUGUAUAUAUAUAUAUAUAUAUACAUAUAUAGGGGGUUGCUUAUGGGCAAAAUGACAAGUAAUUGUAAAAAAUCAAAUGGAGUAGUAAGACAAUGGAAGAUCUUUUUAUUUAAUAAUUGUGAAAAUACAGAAGCUAAAGUUUGUUUCACAUAUUUACAUCCUUGCCAGAGCAGCUAUUCUGGAAUAAUAAAUCCGCAUGAUGGUGAAGAUGCUACUUGGCUCUUCAAGAGCUAUAUUGCUCUUGGCGAGUUGAGCUUUUAAUUUUUCCAUCUUCUGGUUCACUUUCUUCACCUUCUCUAGUUUCUUUAAAGCAUGCUAGAGAUGAUCAUUUGCUUGGCCUUCAAAGCAAAGAGUUGUUCCUUCAAUUUCUGAAUUUCUGUAGCCACCACCAUGAUCCUGUCUUCCAUGGCAGACCCUUCUUCUACAAGCUGCUGAAGAUUAGUGGAAAUCUGUGCAUGCUUCUCUUUGUAUCACCUCACCCGAUUGGCCUGCCUCUCAGCCCUAAGAUGUUGAUCCCUUAAAGCCAUCAAAUUCUCAAAGAAUGAGAGGAAUGACUCAUACUGCACCUUGGUCAUUUGCUUGGACAUGAAUAACUCAAAUAAAGCUUUCUCAGCAUCUUCAAAUGCCUUAAGACUGAAGGAGGCAAAAAAGUCCCGCUACAUCCAUGCUUUGAAAAUCCUGCGUUGAUCUUGAAGGUGUUGGGAUUCAUAAUGACGCCUUGGGGAUCUCGACAUAGUCCUAAUUUGCUAGAACUCUCUAACUAGCUAGGGCAAAGAAGCUGUGGCUGGGAAAGAAGACAAUGGUAGGGGCAUGACACCAGCACCACCAUAAGUAGUAGUACCAGUGGCAAUUUUGCAGUGGCAGCAGUGGAAGAGGAAGAGGAUCCAGUAGCAACCACCUUCCUAGGCCUAGGACUUAGGACCCCUGAAGGUCCAAUAGCCUAAGGUGGAAAGGGAACCAUUUUGCUCACAACAGGCUGAGAAGGCUUGCCCAAACCCUCGCCAGAAGCUUAUCAAAUUGUAGAAAUAAUAGGUUGGAAUGAUAAUCUUAAACCAAAUAAAAUAAAAUAAAAAAUAAAAAAAGAUAAGUUGGUAAGUUGAAUAUACCUUAGCUGGACCAUGAACCUUAGAAAAAAAGGCUUUUGCUAUAGCUGUUUUGGGAAAAGAUGGCUGGCUUAAUAAGGAUGGAACAUGAGAGCUCCUGAGGCUAGUCACCUCUGAGACAACUGGUAUCUCAAGGACUGUUGGUUCCUUAGCAGCAAGUGUGGGAAGCUUAGCAUCUUCUGGAAGAGGUAAAGACUAGCAAGGGCUGAAUUCAAAACAUAAGUUCAAAAUCAAAAGAUAGAAAACAUAAGAUGGCUAAAGGAAAGAAAACUUACAGAGGUGAUAUCGUCUUCUACAUAAUGAAACAAUUAUCGAGUUGCAAGGUUGAAUUAAGAGGUGGGAGUCACGACUAUGGCUGAAGGAAUUUGGGAAGGAGAUGGAGUAAGUGUUUGCUGAGUUACAGGUGUUGGAGUGCUUUCCUUGUCUAAAAUAGCAAAAGUCAGUUUAGAAGUUGGAUCUUAAGGAUUCAAAAAGUAACGAGGUUUGAGGAAGAAAAGAUACCUUUAAAGGCUUAGCCCGAGAAGGAGAAGCUUGCACAGGUCGAGCUAGAGGUGAGGAAGGUUUUUCCUGGAAAUUCCCUCUGCCUUGGAAACCUACUUUGGUAAAACCAAUUAGAGUUGGUAUAGGAGAGUUAAAAAUGGAUGAGAAAAUGGAUAUUGAGUGUUCAAAAUAAAUAACUACCUUUAAUUCCUCCAAAAUCUUGGACAUAACUUCCUUGUCACUUUGUUGCCCCUUCUCACUGGCCUUCAUCCCCUUGGGAGAAGAGUCAAGCUUCUUACUAGCAGGAGGUCCUAAUCAUAAAGUAAAAUUCAAUAAGUUUGAUAUUUAUGAAAAGGGAGCAGAGUGGAGAAAUUUAAAGAUAAAGUGCUUUCUUGUAAACUUUUGUUUUUUCCCUGCCCGCUUCAGCUAGAAAGGCAAUGAGAGAUUGAGAAGUUUGAGAGGUUUGGGACCUAGUUCUUUUUCUAGUUGGGGUUGCUCUAGGAGUAGGGACAUCAUCACUAGCUUUGGUCCUCUUAUCCUCGGGCUCUGAAUCAGAAGAUUCUACAACCAUUGGCUUUGCCCAAUAAGAUAUUCUGGUUUCUACCUUUGGUCUAGCCUCUGCCUCAGAUUCGCUGAACAUCUCAGAGAUGUUUUCAGCUUCUCCAAGAGUUUGGCUCGGGCCAACUCCCUGCCUAGUGGCUUCAGCAGCUGCUUCUUUUUCCUCGUGCCCGAUGACUGCUUCAGCAGGAUUGCCUUGGGUUGUAGAAUUAAGAAAACAAAGUUAACAUUUGAUAAAAUCAAGCAAUUAAAGGAAUGAGUUAGGAAGAUAAGUCACCUAUCAGCAGAAGUUAAUUUUUUGCGUUAAUAGCUUUUUUCCAUCUCUCUAGUUCUUCUUUUUUGGGAAGAGACUUGAAGAAGACUUGCCCGAAUAACCUGUCAUGGGCUUCCUUGAUAUCCCCUCCAUAUUUGUUAAACCACUUGGCUUCCCACCAAUUGGUAAACAGAGUUGUACACUCAAAGUUAAGGGUAGUAGGCUUGUGUGCGAUUUUGGUCAUCAUUUCCAGGCUACGCCUGCUUGCCCAAAAUGUGACCUCGAAGAGGGAGCAGAUGUGAUAAAAGGUGCCACAGUGCAUUGAGUCAAAGAAAAUGAGGGGGAUGGCCUGCCUAAAUCCCAACUGCCUACCACAGAAAUUGGGGUGGUAAACCUCCAGCCUGCGUUUAUAGCCAGCUAGAUCACUCAUCACUCCCCAAGCUAGGUCUCUUUGCUGGAUGCAGCUGAUGAACUUCUCCUUACAAUAUCUCCUGGCAUUCGCCUCGAAUGAAUCUUGAAAGAGAUUGUCAGAGAACCAAUGAUACCUUUUAAGCAUAGAGGCACCUCAUUUAGGAUCCGUUAUGGUUCUGCAAAUCUUGAAGAAAUAGAGGCAGGAGAAGGUUGAGUGGCUGGUAGCUAAAGCCUCUACCAGAAUUAGGGCAGGAGCUACCCCUUCAGGGAAUUCCAGGUUUGAAGCCCCGAAAUUCUGGAAAGUACCAUUGGAGCCAGAUUUGGAUUAUCCAGGUUGCUCCAUUAAGAUUUGUCUCAGAAGGCUCCCCAUUAAUCAUCUUAUAAAGCAAGUGAUAGAGGUGAGAUAGGAUGAAGGGCCCUGUAGCAACAUUAUCCAAGGAGUGCAGAGCUUCUACCAAGGGGUGCAGAGCUUCUACCAAGGGGAUCCAUUCCAACUUUACCCCCUUAGACUUGUUAGGGAACACCCACUUCGACCAAGCUGCAUCUAUCAUAGAACGAAAUUCCCUUUUGAAGUUUGACCAUUUGCAACCAAGAUGCCCUCCUCAGCUUCAUAAAGGUUAGGAGUGAACCAUUUCUUAGCAAGCAUGUUACUUUCCACGGCAAUAGGGACUCUAGAGGUCCAAGCAGGUCCUAGUGAGUGGGCCUCAUCUUCAUGGAAGAAAAUAGGGAGAUUGAGGCUAGCCUGAGGGCAAUGAAGGCCGUUAAGCCAACGGCAAAGAUUGCCAAUCCCUUUUUCAAACUCGUAUGUAGAGCGCGAUUUAGGGGCCAUUGUUGAAUUCAAAGAAGGAUGAAGAAAGUGGCUCGAGUUUAAGUUAGGGAAAGAUCGAAAAUUCAAGAAAAUUUGGCGGUUUUGAGAGUUAAGCUUGUUAAAGGUAAUGGCUGAAAAGAGUAAAGUGGAAGCUAUAUACAAGUAGGUAGUUAACGUUGGAAGUUGUGGGUUAGUGCAAAGGUUUACUUAAAAUGGCUAAGUUAAUUGGCGCUAAUACCCAGUCUUGGCAAGCGUUCAAAUUUAAUCAUUAUCAAUGUCUUGAUUAGCAUACUUAAUAAUGAUUAAAAAGGGCACUGUUUGGGUGGGUAUUUAAUAUUGGGCUCAAAUCAAGUGAAGGCCAAAGCGUUAAGUAAAACAGAAAGGGAUUGGGCUGGGACAGGUGGCAGCCUAGGGUGAAAUUAAAACCAUUUUCUGGCAGCUAAUAGGCAGCAAGCCUAUGUCAAGUGACAAGCAACAGAGGGCAGCUCACCCUCAGCAAAAAGUACUUUUCCAUGGCAUGGGUAGGUACUUCAAACCUUAUGUCAUUUCCAAUUAUUUUUGCUCAGGUUUUAGUUAUAAUUAAUCUUGUCAAACUAAUUAUUGUCAAUUUAAACUAAUAACUAAGAAAUUAACUUGAAUGACCUUGAACUCCUUUAUAAAUGAACAUAUGAUACUAUAAAUAAAAGUCCUUUGUCAAAAGGCAUCAAAAAGAACUUAGUACAGACUUAACCCAUCUAUGAACAAUCCCGUUAAGACAAGAAGUACAAAUAACUUGUGGUGCAAGUAAACAACUAACUAAGCAACCAAGAAAACAAUCUGUUAAAUAAAGGUAUCAGUGGCACGCUCGAAUCUCUAUUAGUCUUGAUUGUGAGCCUGAAGGCCUAACAAAGACCCCACAAAGGCACCUCUCAAACUAAUUCCAAAUUUAUGUUGCAGAGAACCAAACAUCAAACUCUGCCCAAUGAGAAAGACCAUGGGAGUUAUGCGAGGGACAAAUCUAGCCCGAACAAACCCUAAGGUUCUGUCUCGGGUGGCUCUCUUUGUAAUCGUCGAUCUUGAUCUCGAUGGAAAUGUACUCACAGAUUUUGAUUUUGUUGCUGUGGCUAAGAUCCAACGACGUGUUUAGAGGGACCUUGGUGCCAUUCAAAAUAGUGCCAUUGGAGAAGUCGAGGUCUCAAAACAUCCAUUUGCCUGGUUCAGAUUUGAUGGAGAGGCGCUUGGAGGAAAUGUUGGAGUCUUUGAUCAGGAGGUUGUUGCAGCGUUCGUCGCGAUUGAUUCAGACCUUUGAUUUGAGUCAGAAGUUUCGAGUGUCGCCCCUUCCAAUUAUGAAAUCCCAGGUCAUGGAGCAUUUUCAACUUGCGAGCUAAAGGCUCCAUUGUCUCUCUGAGUCCGAGAUAAGAAAGGAGGGGAAACACUAUUUGAAAUGCUUUUCUGUUUUCAGAGUGAAUAUAUCAAAAUGUCACAAUGGCGACAAACCAAUUCUACGUAAAUCUGAUUCCUAAUUGAGGGGAAACAAGCACAUAUAGCCUUAGUAGGAAGGUAGAGUGUUAGACUUCAUCAUUAGUUAGCCACCUAUACCUAUGCAGUUCCACUCGUGUGAGAAUUGCCCUAGUCAAGUAGAGCUUCCAAAUAUCUUCUCAAGUUGGGAGAUAGGUAGGAGACUCACUAUAGAGUCUCUAGAGUUGAGUCAGUCGACUAUCUUACAGAUAAUCUGAAAAUACACAAUAUGGUAAUUUUACCCAAUUCACUCCUUUUGGUUUAUUUCUAAGUAUAAAGCAGAUUUUCUGAACAUGUUUCCUACAGAGAACACUUGUAAGUUGCAACACGUAUGAAUAGGAAAAGGACAUUGUAAGUUGCAACACGUAUGAAUAGGAAAAGGAAUCAUCGCUGCAUACAUAUACCAUCACUACAAAAAAUUGCACUUAACUUUCAGUUUGCAAGGUUCCAAUGUACUCCAAGAUGGCACAAACCGACAAUGCGACCCACGAUUUGCCAUGAGACAACAAUGGUCUAUACAAGUCUUAUCUGUUAAAAGCACUCUAAACGUGAUUUGAAUCAGGAAGAAGGGCUGAACAUCAACUAGGGUGGUGGAUACACAAUUUCAGACUUCAGAAGGAAGAACGACAUCACAGCUGGAUCUGUUGGUUAGAGGUUGACCCCCAUCGGAGGCUUGUCUGGAACACAGGUACCUGAUCGAACAAUGAUGAAAUGCUACCAACUGCAAUGCAUACAUGGAAAUUACAUAAAAACGAGGAAAAUAAUGCAUUAGCUCCAUCUCCAUCUCCAUUUCAUGGUACAAGACAUAAAAUGUUGAAACAAGAACUGCUGUUAAAUAUAACAUGUCAAUAAAUCAUAAGCACAAAAUAGACUCGGGUCUGUAUUUGAAAAAAAAAAAUGCAAGUUUGGGUAUAAAUCACUCAGCUCAUUCAAUCCUGACAAAGUCCAGAUAGAGAAUUUCAUAUUUAUAAUCAUGUCACUGCCCCAUGUACGUGUGAUAAAGCAUAUGGCAUAGACAAAUUAUUCCCAAGUGUAGCAGUACUACAAAUUACUCUGUUUGGUAAAUGGCUACAACUUAUGAAAAGGGAAGAAACUAUGCAAGACAAAUUUCAUGAGAUAGAAACUCUAAGUUACAAAAUGAAAGCGGCAAAAGGAUUCAAAGAAAAACAAAGUCAAUUGGUCAGAUUGCAUCAGGUUAUCAAACAUCUGCUAGUUUUGACAUAGGAAAUCAAGUAUUGUAACAAGAAUUGGUAGAGACAGGAUGUUGAUUUUAUGUUCAUACUUCGUACAAACCUGACAAUCGAUACAAUGAAAUGUUGAACCAUUCACCCAAAGGAAAAGAAAAACAAGUUUGUUUGACAAUUAUGACGAGAUGGUCAGAAAGUAAUGCCAGCCCUAAUAACUUAGACGCACCUGUCUUUGACGUCUAUUUUGUUCAAUUUGGAACAAAUUUAACAGCAAAUCUAUAAUGCAAUGCAUGGAGAGCAACAAAAAGAAUGUCAUGGUUCACAAGAAGCCCUGUUAUGCACUUCUUGUUGGAAUUUUUAGAUCGACGGGCCCGGGUUUUGAAACUGGAACUUCAAGCUUAGUGGGAAAAAACGUAUGCAAGAUUUCAUCGGUAAGAUAUCAAAAUGAUCAAACCAAACUGCAGGUCCUAGAAAUAACAUGUAUAACUAAAAAUAUCCGGAGACAAGUUGCUAAGAUAUCCUGCUAUUGCAACUAGAGUGGUCUUGGCAAAGCAAGAUUUGAACUAAAGACAUGGAAAAGGGCUAUAAAGCGUACUUAAUAUAGGGCCAGCUCUUCCAAAACAUACUGUUGGAAGGAAAGAUAAACGUUAGUCAAUUAUUCGUACAUAAAAUCGUCUAGGUACGGGCAUGUAUUUAACUUAGAUAAAGAAAGUUCAAAAUAUUUUGAUACAAUCAGAAAACUAUAAAGUUGCAAGAAAAGGUAUAUGAGUACUAAGAAGACCAUAACAUGUCUACAUAUUCUGUACACCAUUCACAUGUGCGCGGUAUCACGCUACACAUUAUGCUUAGCAAAAAUUCUCUGCAACUGGGAACGGAUGGAGGUAAACCACAUUUGAUACAGUCAAAUCAAGAAUUCUAUUAAGACACCUCUACAAUGAAUUUAUAUUCCGAAAACGGAUGAAUAUCACAAAUAACAAUGAAGUAAUCAAAUUGAAGGAUAUCAAUUAAAACCCUAACUUCCCUAUUGUAAGCAAUUAAAAUCCAAAAUUCCAACCAAAACCCAACAAAAUUCCAAAAUUUAAUUUCAACAAAACCCAGAAGAAGAAAAAAAGGAAAUCAAUUCCAACCCACCCCAUAAAAUUGGAGAGGAACAGUCACAUAAUGGUGUAAUUCCCACUUGGGUCAGCAUCAUCGGAGAGCAGAGCCCCAUACGGCGAUUCUUGGUCGUCCAUCACAAGGCCCUCCGUCCCCCUAAACACCGCGUGCAACCCUAUCAAAACGACCCCAAUCACACCCGAAACGAUGACGUUGAGCCACACGUGAGUGAGGACCAGAGCCACCACCGUCACCAAGGCAAGAACAACCAUCACGACCCGGUCCGGGACCGCAAACCCGAACACCUCGAGGGGCUGGUCACGCGAGAAGUAGAGUACGAGCCACGCGGCGAAGACGAUCAAGAAGACGAUGAUGGAGAACGGGUGGUAGAGGAGGCUGAGGAAGAGCACGAUCAGGGCGAUCAGGGCGUAGUUGGACCGGAAGUGGGUCAAGUUCUGGGCGAGUCGGGUCGUCGCGGCGGAGAGAUUGGAGGGGAGUCUGAGUGCGGUGGGUUCCAGGAGCUCACCCCAUGGCCGGAGCGUGGCCCUCGCCGAUUGGGUGGCUUCCUUGAACUGGGACACCAUUCCGGCGGACAUGCGAGAUGAGUUUCUCCGAAAGCUUUGAACUUUCGUGGCGGAGAUUGAUGGAAAUCAGAGAGAGAUGGGGUUUUUGUGUUUCAUUUGGUUCAGUCUCUCGAAUGGCGGAAAUGGCUUUCGCUCGACGGAGUUGACCUAUGCUUGGACUGGACACUGUUAGGCGAAAUGGUUUGUGUAUCUCAAGAGUGAAAGUUGGUUCAUAUUUUUGGGCCGAACGUAUUGGGUUGGGCCUGAUUCCUGCACAUGGGGUUGGACGAACAACCAAGGUUUCAGGCUUGGACAAGAUCUGGGCAUAUAAUAAUAUAAAUUAAAACUUGGAAACAAACAGCUUUAAAAUAGAUUGGUGUUGGAAUCUUCGGCCGUCAGAGUUUCAUCCUGGCAGCCCUUCGGGUGGCGGCCUUUGGAAUAGAUUUGUGGCAUUCAGCAUGAAGGUUAGGGAGAGAAACUUGUGAAGUAGGUUGUACCAAUUCAUAUGCUUUUAAUGUUCAUAUUUUGGAGACAAUGUGGAUCUGCGAUUUUGGUGAGGGUUCUGGUGGCGGUUGGCUGGAUUCCAUGGUGGCUAGCGGUAGCAGCUUUCGUUCAUCAACAGGGGACUAUUUUAAUUUUGUCUUUUCAUGUAGUGUCUUUCUGGACCUGCAUUAUUUUUGUCUUGUUGCGUUAGUGUUUGGGCUUCGAAUACUGGGUUUGGGUUGAGGAGAGAUAACUCGGGUUGAAAGAUUGUGAUUCUCGGCCCAAUGACGAGUUUUUAGGCCAUAUAUGGUUUUGCCCAGAAGAAUGUAAUUCGACCGAGUCCUAACUCAAGUAGGGCUCUUAAGGAUUAGAUUUAGGCGUGACUCGGUCGAGUUAUGAUUGAAUUGAAAUUGUUAAGGAUCAGAAUAAUUUAUUUAUAAGAUUCAAAUUAUUCCAGGAAUCAAAACGUGUGACUAAUCAGAUAAGAAGUGAAUCGAACGCAUAAGAGGACCAAGUUUAGAGUCCUAGUUCAAGUAAAAAAAGGUCGAGGCUUGAUAGAGAUACAGUUUCGGGCGGAGAGGGGUAUGAUGAGAUAAUAUCAACAAUAUCUAGAUGUGUGCCGAAUAGUCAUAGUCCUAUUGGGACAAUACUUUGGCCUAAUUGGUCACCACGAACUUCAACCCUAUAAACAAAAAAAGGAUCUUCAACUCAACAAACAAACAAAUGCUCUGCACAAAACCUCGCUUUAAGCGAAUCUUUCUCACACUUUGAGAAAUUACUAAUUACCUUAACCCCUCUAUCAGCAUACCUUAAGUUUGUAGUAACAACAUUGUGCUGACAACCAGCAAUAUCUUUGGUUUGGAUUACUAGCACUGGAGCUGUUGAAUCAUUAGAUCGACCAAGAAGUAUCUUUAGUUUGGAUUAACAACAUAACUUUGAGUUCGAUUGGUUACCUAUCUAAGUAUUUGCCAAUGAGAAGUCAUUGUUCAUUCACUAAACAAGGUCACUUUGUUAGGUUUCUUGGUGAAGUGAGGUGUUAUCUAGGUUACUCAGUGUUUAGCACAUUUAAAGCCAAACUUUUAUUAAACUUCACAGUGAUUUAGCAACCUUCUCGUGAGAUUCUAGAACCCAAGGUCGAGACGUGUUCUUUUGUUGCCGUGAUCGUUUGAGUACAAAAGUCAAUAGCACAUUCAACACCACCACAUCUAUUCUACUCGUCAACCAAGCUUGGUCGCAAGUUGGCACGCCCACAUUCACUUGAAAGACGUAGUUAACUCUUAGUUGCUCAAUCUACGCGCCACGCAAGCUUAGUGGUUUUUGGAGGGAAUAGUCCGUUUGUGGCUAAGCUUUUUAGUUGAGCUGAGCUGUGUGUAAUCUCCUUUUCUUCUAAUAAAAAUCUUGUUAAAAACAGAAGCUUUAGAAUAGAUGAGAGAGAAAAUAAUAUUCCUUACAGAUCCUCGUUAAUUGGAAUUGAUCAUCUACCAUGUUUAAAGUACAUUGAAGUAAUAUUAUUUUUGGGACAUCAAAACAAUGGCUUUAAUGAACCGUGUGGAGUCAAAAUGCACAAUAUCAGGAAAUAAGAUUAUCUCCUCUCCUCUUUCCAUUUUCUUUCAUUCUUCUCUCAUACUUUCUAUUUUAUCUUUUUUUUUCUAUAAAAAAAAUUAAUAUAAAAUGUUGACAUUGUAAGACAGGAUGGAAAAAAAAGAAAAAAAAAGAAAAAAAAGAAUCCUUCUCCCAAUGUCAGAGUGAUCAGAGCCACAUGGCAGAAGCAGAAGAAGGAUUAUGGAUGCAUGCAGCUUUUACGUUUCUAUUCUAUUAUGAGAAUAGGACUUGUCAACUUUUUGCCCCCUUUUCUUUCAAUUUUGCCCUUACUUUUGAAUACAUAAUGUUGACAUGAGAAGGGCAAAAUAUUAAUUUUGUAUCUUUUGAACUUUUCCCCUUUUUUUUCUAUUUUGCUCUCACUUUUGAUACACAAUAUUUAUAUAAGAAGGGCAAAAUAGUAAUUUUAUAUCAAAAUAUUUACAUAAGAUAAAAAAUAUGCACUUAUAAGAUAAAUUGUUCCACCAUCAUUUUUUCAUACAAGUAAGUGAAAUCACGAUGUUUUUUUUAGAUAAUUUGAAUGAACUGAAACAGUUGUGCUUGAGAAGAACGUGAAGUGAGGUAGGAAGUUAUUCACACACACAGUGUGCUCAUCUGCUAGUUUGUAUAAUCAAAACAUGUGUUCCUUAGACACCACAUCAAGCAGCAGAUUCCCCCACUUCGGGAAACGUUAGUUUUCCAUUGUUUUUGUUUUUUUAUAAUUUAAGAGAUAGAGUGGAUGGGACUACGUGUCGUGUAUGAAAAGGAGAAGAAGAAAUAUAUCGAUUGUGAAUGUAUUUACAAUCCAGAAAUUGGGACCACAUAAUGAAAGAAGGAUUCCACUUUCGUGUCUAUAUCCUCGUCUGAAAACAAAUUUGUUGUUUUGUAAAGACAUUUAUUAUGUUGAAUUACUAAGACCUAUGAAGGUAAUUUUCGUUUUUAACGAUAUUGUUCACAUUAAAGAGAUAAAUUAAGAACAAUACUUACAUACUUAAAAAAAAAAAAAAGUUCCUAUCCAAAAUUAUUCGAUAUCGAUUUAUAGAACUUUGUUUUUAUAAUCAGAAUCGUUCAUUUAUAAAUCACUCUGUAAAGAUUCCCUUUGUAAAAAGAUCAAUUAAAACUAAGGUCGUUUAAUCAUCGAACUGUAUAAAAACAAAUGAACGGAAUCGAUAAAUGCAUUACGAACCGUCUAUGUAUUUGCUAGAAUAAAUUAACUAAAUGAUCUUAGUUUUAAUUCAUUUUUUACAAAGAUGAUGUUUACAGUGUGAUUUAUAAUAUGAACAGUUCUGAUUAUAAGUACAAAACUCUGUGAUUCAAACACGAAGAGUUUUGAGUAGAAGUUCUUAGUUAUUUUUAAGUAGCCAAAUAUUAUUCAUAAAUUAAUAGGUUAAGUCUUACAAUAGACAAGUAAUAAUGUGGUUCAAAUUUUUCUUUGACGAGAAUCAAAUCUAAAACCUCUAACUUUCAAGUGAAGAGAGAAAUACCAUUGAACUGUAAGAGUAAGUGGGAUCAAAACUCAUGUUUUGGGAUUAAAAACAAAAAUAAAAAAUUUCACAUACACAAAGUGUGUAGGCAUAUACUAGUAUUAUUUAAAAGGUUCUCAUUUUUUAACCAAAAAAAGUCGUCAUUUUAUUAAUCUCUACUAAUUAAUAAAACAAUUAUUGUCAACCAAAAUCCUAUAAAAUUACCAGUUUAACCCUCUAAUUAAAACACAUAACAUGAAUAAGAAAUAUGGGGUAGAAAUGUAAUUUCACACAACCAAAUUUUGCUAUUUUUUUUCAAAGCCUCACCUACAUGUAAUUCUAACAUAUUUCUACUUAAAAUUCAAAAAAAAAAAAAAAAUCCCACCCCCACAUUUUCUAUCACUCUAUUCCUCUCUCCUUUUAUUUCAAAAAAAAAAUAAAAAAUUUUCUCAUACACUUUGUAUGUGCCCAUAUACUAGUAUAAUAUUAUUUGAACAAGUGUUAAUCAUGCUUUUUUCUUCUUUAUAAACAAGCGAGAAUAGAGAAAAUUAAACCUCAUGCCGGGUCUUAUGUUCGUGUGAUAUUUAAUUCAGAUUAAAGUGCGAUGUUCGAAAUAAAAAAUGAUUUUCACGUUCAUUAUAAUUUUUUUUAUUUAUAGCUAUCAAAUUAAAUAAAUUAAUCAAAAAUAUGAGUGAUGAUCCAAAUGACCGCUCUUAUUUUGGCCAAAAGCACAUACAAGUUGUAUGAUACAACGUGCAGCACGAGCAACCUCUCUCUUUCCUUGAAUCGUGGCAAGUGAAAAAUGGAGCGAACGAUUCCGUCGCUUUCAGGACGAAGAAUCCAACAAAAGCGAAUAUGACAUUUGUCUUGUUGCAAUCGAAUUGCUUGCGUUGAAAAUUUUAUCCCAGUUUCUGGACUAUACAUAUGUACAUGCAAAUUAUUUUGCGGAGUAGCACGUGAUAUACCAGAUCGAGGAGAUAAAUACAAACAUGGUUUAAUGCUUCCCUGUGUGCAGACAAAUAUUGUGUGUUCAAUGAGGGGUGUAGGUGGCAGAAUCCUUUGGAUAACAUAUGGCAUCUCGAGUCAGGUAAUAAUUUGACACAUUUUUUUAUAUUUCCUACACACUACUUUCAAAUUUUCGACUGUCAACUACAAUAUUAAAAAAAUAAUUUUUUUUAUAAAAAAAUAUACAUGUAAAUGUAAAAUAAAAAUAAAUGUAUGAAUAUUACUACUUUUUCUCUUUAUCAUUUAUCGAAAAGGAAAAAAAUUAGAACGUUUACUACAUUGGGAAGGAAGUAUUUCUCUAUAUCAUUAAUUUUAUUUUUACUCAAGUGGAUUAUAACCUUUUACAACAAAGCUGAUGAAUAAAGGAAAAUCUGAACUCACAGUUAACCGAAGCUUAAGUUUUGAGAUGAGACCACUAUAACAAAAUGAUUGUUUAGCGAGGUAAUUUUCAGCGAGGAACACAAUUUUGUUCCUAGAAGACACUUUCAGCAAGAGAUGCAUGUGUCAAUUUCAUUUCCAACAGCGAUGAGCAUGUUCCGAGAGGCCUACUCGGGAAGAGUUCCUUCCCUUAAAAGUUUCCGCAACGGAAUUGGUACUUGCAGGCUGAAGCUAGGAAAACUUUCUAGUAAAACAAUUGCUUUGUUGUCGUCAGAUGUGUGCUGAUGCUUCGAUGAAGUUUAUUUGAGGAUCCAGAUUUUUAAUUAUGGGGGAUUCAAUUAUAUAACAUCUAAAAUUUAUUAGACAUAAUGUAAGAAUAUGAGCAUAAGUAUGAAUCUAUAAACUUAGUUAUUGGUCUUGAGAUUGAAUGGGAAGUCUUAUUGGGAAUGGAUUUUUAAUCCAUAUCACACUGGACUACUAUUUAAGGGAUUAGUUUCCUAUAAGGAUUCUAAUAUGGGAAUCCUUAGGGGAUCUGGCAAAGAUUAUAUUGUGUAUAUAUAGUGGCCUCUGCUCUCACAAUUGAUAUGCUCGAUCAUCGAACUAAGACCUAUUAUUAGUUAGAGCAAACUGAUUACUGGAGAGAGGAGAAUGUGCAUUGCUUUUUUGCUGCAGAAUCUGGAAUUGCUGCUUCUUCAAGUUCGUCUGCAGGUAAGUUUAUUCUCUGUGCUACAAGCUUAUGAAUUGGGUUUGUGUUUUGAUCACUGUUGUUUAUACCAUAUUUAGGGCCUCGUAUUUAGACCUCGUAUAAAUACUCGGGGGACUCAAAUGUAAUUAUGCAAUAAGGGAAGGGGCAAAUAUGUAAUAAGUGAGGAGUCCUUAUUCUAUAAAAGGACUCCUCAUCCUCACAAUUAGGAGAGGCUCAUUCUCACCCUCAGAUGCCAUUUCUGAAGCCUCUCACCCCCUCAAAGCCUCCUCACAUCCCCUAAGCUCUAAGCUCUCUCUCCCUUUUCAACAGAGAAAUAUAAUACAAUCAAUGUGGACGUAGCCCAAACCAUGGGGUGAACCACGAUAACUCUUGUGUCAUUUACAUUUCAUGCAGAUUCACGGUCGGAUUUACGUUGUUCCAAGACCAUCCGGUUUUGUGCAUCAACAAUUGUGAUUCAUAAUUACAUGUUUUUGGUAUAUGUUUAUUCUAACAUGUGGUAUCAGAGCCUGGUUUACAUGUUUAUAAAUUCAGUCUUGAAAUCAAAUGGUUCGAAAGCAUAAUAAUAAUAAUAAUAAUAAUAAAAUUCCUUAAGUUGCGACCCUGAGGAUUCGAAGUUGGGUUCUGGUAUGUGAUCUACAGAUAAUGACAAAACAUAUUUAAACUAUUAUCAUUGGCUUUUCUGCAAAACUACAGGUUGAGGCUGUUUUCCCAAUUUGGGGUUUUGAUUAGCAACUUCAUCGAACUCUUAAAUCAAUUUUUUCAAUUUGGAUAAUUAUUUCCACUGCGCUGUUCCAAAUUGAAAUCUGCAGGAGGUAUGUUUAAUAAUUCGUAUUGUUCUGUCAAUGUUUGCUUUAUAUUUCAAUGCAUAGAUUGAGUCAAGGUUUUCUGUUAAGUUUUUUAAUAAACAUUAAAAUUACGAUAACGAAACCCACGAAGAACUAAUCCUAUUGAAAUUAUCGAAAGUAAUCUGGAGACCAUGAAUGAUCAAUCAUGAAUGAGACUGCAAUUGCUUUAUACCUUGCGAAAUAUAUGUAUGCAUAUUUGUCUUAGUGCAUGAUUUAAAAUCUGGGUUUUGUUUGAUUUUGUCAAAAUUUCAAUAACAAAACAAGAAGGUCUUAAUUGAGUGAACACAAUUAGCAUGCUAAUAUUUCUGAUUAGAGCUUAUAAUCAAGGCUGUAUUUUUCCAUAUAUUCCGAAAAGUUUUGUAGUUUUGGAUGGUGGACUUAUUGUAGAGGAAGUUUUGUUUGAUGCUUUGGAAACAGUUUGGCUGUUUUAAGCUUAUGAUUAGUAAAUCCUUUAAGUCAAUGUUAUGUUGCUUUCCUAUAAGAUCGAUUUAUGUUUUGGUCUUUUUGAAAAGUGGGAGCAUAUUAUGUGAUUGACUGUUUAAUAUCAGUUUAUGUUAUGAGUCAUAUUUGCAGUCUGGAUGUGUGUGAACUUAGAAUCAAUACUGCAUUUUGGUUGUGGUUUAUGAAUCUCUGUUUCCAUGUUUUGGAGUGUAAUAGAAUGAUGGUCAUAAGGAUGGAUUCUCAAGUGAGGCUCUGUGGUCACUUCUUAUAAAUUGGAGAUGUUCAUGUCUGAAAUUGAUCUUAUGUUCAAGUGGGAGAAAAUGUAUGAAUAUGAACACGAGAUUGGGUGUUUUUGACGGUGAAUGGUUAAGUCCAAUUAGAAUAAGAAAGCCUUAUGAGAAGCUGUGUACAAAUCCUUGUUUUUGAAGGAUUAUGUUAAAACUAUUUGAACUGAUAUGGCUUGGAAAACAUAAGUUGUUUUCUAUAACGAUUGUAAUAGGAAAUCUUUGUGAUUUGACUUAAGCAAUUGGUUGAAUUCAUAUAUUGGUAAUUCUUUAUAUUAGAAUGAAUUAUUAGUUGAUAGUUUUACUAUCUGUUGGACUUAAUUGUUUCGAAUUAAGUUAAGGAAUAGUGGGAGUGGAAAUUUAGGUCCACUGAUGUCAGUUUGAUCAUAAUGUUAUAAGUGCAGAUUGAACAUAAUUUGAGGGCAUCAGUUACAUAUUGGUUGUGAUUGUAAGCUUUUGAUUCUAUGUUUUGAGAUGUACAAAUAGAUUGUUUAUGAUGUUACUCAAAAGGCUUGGUGAUCACCUUAUUGUAAAUCUUGAUAGAACUAGUUUACUUGGUUCAUACUUGCUCAAGUGGGAGAAUGUAAGAAUAUGAGCAUAAGUAUGAAUCUAUGAACUUAGUUAUUGGUCUUGAGAUUGAAUGGGAAGUCUUAUUGGGAAUGGAUUUUUUAAUCCAUAUCACACUAGACUACUAUUUAAGGGAUUAGUUUCCUAUAAGGAUUCUAAUAGGGCAAUCCUUAUGAGAUAUGGCAAAGAUUAUAUUGUGUAUAUAUAGUGGCCUCUGCUCUCACAGUUGAUAUGCUCGAUCAUCGAACUAAGACCUAUUAUUAGUUAGAGCAAACUGAUUACUGGAGAGAUGAGAAGGUGCACUGCUUGUUUGUUGCAGAAUCUGGAAUUGCUACUUCUUCAAGUUCGUUUGUAGGUAAGUUUCUUCUUUGUGCUACAGGCUUAUUGAUGCGAAAACUAUCUUAACACACAAAUUUAACCCUCUUUUGACAAUUGUAGUACAAGUAUAAGUAGGGAUCGUUCUGGACCGGGGAUUAGGAGGGCUUGCUAAUAACCUCUAAACUGACUCAAAAACAUAAAACUAAAUUUAAAAACACUUAACAAGAUUCACAAGACUCAAAGCAAACUUAAAAUACUCAAAACAGCUCAAAACAACCAAAUAAACUUAAACUAGACACUAGGAAUGACUUUGGACGAAAAUGGACUUUUACUUGAAUCAAACACUUAAAAAUACAAACUAAAACAGAUUUGAAACACUUUGAAACAAGAACUAAAAGGGGGGUUUUGAUUUGGAUGAAGUUGUAACAAACAAACAAGUAUGAAAAUCUAGACAGAUUGUAGAACGAAUGUGAGAAAUAAGAUGAUGGAUGUGAUAGCUAGAGGUUUUUUCUCCACACAUGACAUGUAUGCAAAUAAUUCGAUUUCCAGUUACUACUUCAUUGAAUUAUGAACGACAAUGCUCCAAAUUAACCGUGACAUCACUAGUUAACUCUCAGAUUUUCCUUGUUUUAUUGAAUUGGAUGACAUCAUUCGACAACCCAAAAUAUUCUUCAAAAGUUCCUUACAUGACAUCAUAAUAGAGAUACAAUUAAAGAUCAUUAUGUUUAAUGAAAGUCAUAAGCAUUGACAAGGCACUUGCAACUAUGACAUCAUGUCACUCAUGCUAGGAAUUUAACUUAACGCGAUCGUUUAUAAGCGACCUUCAUUACAUGUGAAUAUAAGUUUGUAACGAUUAUGUGAAACUUCCUUAUACUCUAGCAACGGAUUUAUGCAUGCCAAUUAAGUGUCGACCCUAAAUUAACAAAUACAAAUAAGUUAUCAAUCAAAUAGUUAAGCCAAUUGCAUUCACGAUUCAAGAGUUCAUAACUGGAAUUUAUAUCAAAUCAUAUUACACACAUAAUCAUGGCUUUGAAAAUCACCUCUAGCUAAGAGGGGUUUAGCCACUCAUAUUCACAACAAAAUGAAAGAAAAUGAAUUUAAACAUUGGAAACAAAAGAAAGAAAACACCUAAACGCUCCAACGAUCCAAGUUGGACAGCAAGCACGUCCAAGCACUUUCCUUCCCUUCCUUUGCUAUGGCACAAGGUGUUGGUGAGUGUUUGAAUGUUUGUUUGUAUGGAGGAAUGGAUGUAAAGAUGAAUGGAUGUGUUUGGAUGAAGGUUGUAUUGAAAUGGGGAUGAAUGAUGAAGUAAAAACUAAACUCUAUGGCUGCCACACACACUUCCUUUUAUAGAGGAAGUGCACGGCAAGGAGAUGAAAAUGGUGGUGUGUGCAGCAAUGAUUCAAUGAAAUGGACAAGAAUAUUGUGCACAUGGUAGACAAAGGAAAAGAAGUGGAAUGGUGCAGCAAAUGAGUGCAAUCAUUCAAUGUAAUGGUGCAUGAAAUCAGAUAUAAUGGAGGGGACAAAGAAUGGUGCAGCAAUGAGUGAAUGGAGUGGAGGUUAAAGUGAUGAAAUGGUGCAUGAAAUCUGAUAUGAUGGAGGGGACAAUGAAUGUGCACGACAUAGGCAAGGAAAGUGAAGGAGUGGUGCAUCAAUGAGUGCAAGGAGUGGAUAAGAAUAUUGUGCACAUGGUAGACAAAGGAAAGAAAGUGGAAUGGUGCAACAAAUGAGUGCAUGAAGUAGACAAGAAUGGUGUGCACAGCAUGGGUGGAAAUGUGAUGGAUAACACCCUUUUGCAGCUGUCCAUAUGCCUUUAAACUUGAUUUUCUGUACUCUUUGGCAGGUGUUCCAGCUCACUUCUCAUGUGUGUGUGCUGUCAUGUAAUCAUCAUUUCCACAUAACAUCAUUUCAGCUAGCAAUCACACACUUUCUGCCCAUGCCAUGUCUUUCAUUUCCUUUGCUUAUGUGUGCUGUUUUCUUUUUUCUUUCCCAUGUGCCGUGUAUGAAUGUUGUCUCUCUGUCUUUGCAUGUGUGUGUGCUGUUUUCUAUCUUUAUUUCCACAUGUACCAGCUGUUACACUUGCACACACAUGUUCUUCAUCAUUUCAGGUAGCAAUCAACACAUUUUCUGCCAUCACAUGGCAGCUAUGAUGUUUGUAGUUGUAGGUCAACACACUUGCACACACACAUGUUGAUUUCCAGCCUUCUAAUCUUCAAAAACGUCCAUCCUCAUGUCUCCAUGCUUGCACUAUCCAAUCUUGGCCCAAAAAUGCUCCAAAAUGCACUUUCUUGCCAACUUUGUUAUUAGGACCUACAAACACACAAAAAUAGCUUAAAAUACAUAAUUAACUAAGAAAUAACAACAUAAAUGCACAAGAACAAGUUAACUAAGUCGCAUAAAUAUGCUCCUAUCAAAUUCCCCCACACUUAGCUUUUGCUAGUCCUCGAGGAAAACAAAAGAAACAAAACAUACCUAGACCUUCCAACAUUUGCCUCAGGGAUUUCCAAUGCACAUGACAUGUUAAAAAUCAUCAUUCCCACAGAAUUUUGGUCAUCUUCACACUUGAGCACAUACUUAAUCACCGUCACCACUUACUAGUUCACAAUUAAUCAAUUAAAACGAUGUUUUGAAUGCAACACAUGCCUUAGAGAAUUUGCUCAAUUCCGUACAAGAUAUUCUCUAUUUUCACACAUUUUUUUCUGACUACACACCCUACACUAGUUAUAUGUGAGAAGAUUGAUGUAAACACGAAAGACUAGGACUUACAUAAGUUAUAACAAAGAAAGCAAUUUUCUGGAGUUAUUAAGCAUGUUUAGAUAUGAUCUCAUGAAUGGAAUGCUACUACUUAGAUGCGAGAACCAGUGACACCAUAUGCUCAUACCAAUUUCGAAAUCCACAAAUUGAAACACACAACACUCAAGAUUGAAGUCAAGGGUUGUAACAGGGCUUGGGGGUAAUGGCUAACAAAGAAAGGAUAGGGAUAACAAACGUUCUUAAAGCGAUAGCAAGCAAAGCAAUGAAAUAGACACUUGGAAUUCACUUUAGAAUGCAGAAUCAACUUUUAAAUACAAAGGGAAGAUUCAUGCAACAUUUAGGGCCGAAUUCAAUGUUUUGGACCCUUUUUUAACAAACAACACUUUAGAGCUCUUUUUCAUACUCUUUUCAAUUCUUUUUUUUUUCUGUUCUGCCUGUGCCUUAUUAAAGACUUUGGCACACACACACACACAAGAAUCACUUCCCCCACACUUGCUUUCUGCAAUACAUUGAAAAAAAGGAGUUCAUUUUAAGUCAUGCUUUACUAUGCUUCAAGAACAAGGGUAUGAAUGGUCCUAAAACUAGGCUAGGUAAGGAUAGUGUGGAGUAGCAAAGAACAUAGGCUUAACAAGGCUCAAUAGGGUUAAACUUAAACACUUAAUGAAAUAGGGGCAUGGUAAUUUGGCUUUGGUGGUCAUUACACAACUUCAUCUUUAAUAUGUGUUAUGCAAAUCAAUAACAUGCUCUGAAUGAAACAGGCAUGAGUUCUAGCAUUUGGAACUAAAUGAUGAAACGCCUUCUAAGUAGCAACCAAGCAAAGAAUGAUGAGAUCAUGCAACGACUUUAGAAAAUAAUGAUGCACAGAUUAUUAACUCUCCAAAUAAACGUUUAGGCUCAAGUCUCACAAGGUUGUAGCAUUCAUUUGAGUUCCUUCCUUCAAGCAUGUUACAAAAACUGAUUUUUCCUUUAUGAUUGCAUGUGAAUUCAUAAAUUAUAACCACAACCAAUCAUACACCAAAGAGUAAAUCAAAUUUUCAUCCAUGUUUAUAACUCUCUUUAACAGUCAUGUAAUUAAAAAUCAAAUCCUCAUCAUUGUGUUGGAAGGUACCCUAAGACAUAAAUAAACACAAAAACAACUCUUUUUGGGUUUUUCAAAACAAUUUUUCAAAUUUUUAUGAGAUUUUCGGAUUUUUAUGUCAAAACAUACUAAAACACUCCAAAAUAGCUUAAAAACACUUAAAAACAGCAAGGAACAACACUAGAAGUAAUGGGUGAUAAACUCCUACGAAUUUCAUGCAAAACAACUUGGUUACCCCCCCCCACACUUAAAUCAAACAUUGUCCUCAAUGUAUCAAGCAUAAACUCACACAAAAACAAGCAAACAAACAAACAACGAAUAAACAUGACAAGUAUGGCCAAGUAAAAACCAGACAGAGUAGAGUUUAAGAACGCAAAUCUGGUUUUGGAGAUAGAUGAUCUUGUUGACUUUCCAUAGCUUUGAUCUUGAACUGGUUUGGAAUUCUAAGCGAGGAAUAUGAAAGUUCCUUGGUUUCAAAUCAGACUCCUUCUGCUGGGUUGAUUUGAUUGUGCAGUCUGCAUUCUUCUCUGCUUGUUUCUUCUGCAUGGCAGGCAUGCACGAGGUAAAGGUGAUGGUCUGUUUCAUUUUUCAAUCUUUCCAAGUGCCGACCAUUUGCUUUCUUUCUCCUUGUCCCUAGCUGAGGAUGAAUUAGCACAUUGUCUCCACAUGCUUCGAGGUAUCAUUUUCACUUCCAUUAUCUGUUCUUCAGGCAGAUGUGGUAGCUUUUGAGGAAGCAUAAGAUGUUGAAAAUGAGUACUCGAGAGCAAGGCUAGGUAAGCAAUCAGGAAAGGGUUCCAGGCAGUCGGUUCCAGAUCAGAAGAUUGAUACCAAAUGCUGGCUGAUUGCUCUCUUUCUCCUUGUCCCGCAGGUGAAAACAACGACAAGGAGAAGGACAUGGAGAAAGCAUGAUAUGAGAUACUUUUGCUUUCAACCUUCAUGAUAUGAAAUACUUUUGUUUUUUAUGGGUUGUUUGCAGAGGGAUCCUAGAGAAUAAGGAACACUGAGUGACUCGAGAGGCUUUGUUGGGAAGGCAUUCUCGGAGAUAAAGAAGGGUUAUGUAUGUCUGCGUUGCAAUGAAGGGUGAAGGUCGACAUUUAUAUGAAUUAAUAACCGGUACUAUUCUUUCACUCUUGUCGGCAACCAUUGGAUGAUUGAAUAGUAAUCUUCACGUGCUUUCUACGUCACCAGAAAUCUUCAACAGAUUGCCCGUAAUUUUCACAAGGCUGAGUGUGCAUGUGACAGGUGCUGACACGUCUGGAAAAGCAGGUGCCUCUUCAAUAUCUGAAAUCGGCACUUCGAUAAAUUACCCGUGAUUUCCGCAAAGCUGAGUGUGCAUGUGAUAGAUGCUGACACGUCUAGAAAAGCAAAUGCCUCUCUGAUUUCUGAGCUUGCCUCUUCAAUUUCUGAGCUCCGUCGAGUGCAGAGGUUGCAUGUGACAAGUGCGGACAAAUCUGGAAAAGAGGAUGGCCUGUGGUUUCUGAGCAAGCUCAGCUUUUGAGAAAGCUGGCACCUCUUCGAUUUUUAAAUUGGCCUCUUUGAUUUCUGAGCUCGCCUCUUCGAUAUCUGAAAUCCCGUCGAGUGCUGAUUUUUAUAGAGGCACGCAGUUCGUUUCAAAGCACACUUGAAUUUCCGCAUGUAGAAACUCUUUUCAUUGCACUUCUAAGAUCUCGAUUUGUCCAACCUCUUCUUUCUUCAACACCUUUGAAAAUGUCUGGCCCCUCCAACCGUCGUUUUGACUUGAACCUUGGUGAAGAGGCAUCUAUGCCUUCUCCAGACAACAUAUGGCGCCCAUCCUUCAUAUCCCCUACUAGUCCUCUUACCGUUGGGGAUUCGGUGAUGAAGAAUGAUAUAACCGCUGCAGUGAUGGCCCGAAACCUUGUCACUCCCAAAGAUAACAGACUACUUUCCAAACGGUUUGAUGAGUUAGCUGUUAAGGAUUCUUUGGCUCUCAGUGUGCAAUAUGCAGGUUUUGUGUCUAAUAUGGCCCAACGUCUAUUUGCUCGAACCCAUCAAGUUGAAUCAUUGGCGGCUGAAGUGAUGAGUCUCAAACAGGAGAUUAGAGGGCUCAAGCAUGAGAAUAAACAGUUGCACAGGCUUGCACAUAACUAUGCUAGAAACAUAAAGAGGAAGAUUGACCAGAUGCAGGAAUCUGAUGGUCAGAUUUUACUUGAUCAUCAGAGGUUUGUGGGUUUGUUCCAACAGCAUUUGCCUUCGUCUUCUGGGGCUGUACUGCGUAGUGAAGCUUCAAAUGAUCAACCUCCGAUACCUCCUCCUUCUGUGGCUCCACCGACUACUGAGGCUCCGCCGACUACUGAGAUUUCUCCUAAGCAGCCUUUAUGAAGGCUCCCUUUUGUAUUUUUCUGCCUCCUGUUCAUUUUCAACAAAUUUUAAUGUAAAAAUACCUUGCAUAUCUGUCAAUGUUUCAAACAUAAACCCACACAAAAAACAAUUAAACAAGCAAUAAAUAAAAAUGACAAUCAUGGCAAAAUAAAAUUGCAGAAAAGGGAAGGUUUUUAGGAACGCAAAACAUGGGUUGCCUCCCAUGAAGCGCUUACUGUAACGUCUUGCAGCCGGACGAAACUUCCUUCUAAGCUUGGAUAGGGCCCACGGCACUGAGUGGGAUUUCUUCCACAAUCUGCCCUACAUCACUCUCAUAAUAUAGCUUCAGACGAUGCCCGUUCACUUUGAAUUCGUCGCCGUUCCUUAAGCUUUUAACUUGGACUGCACCAUGGGGAAAAAUAUUAGUCACAACAAAUGGCCCAAUCCUCGUAGACCGUAACUUACCAGGGAAUAAUCGUAGACGGGAAUUGAAUAGUAGCACUUUCUGUCCAAUUGAGAAUGUUUUUCCCCGAAUCAUUUUGUCAUGAAACGCCUUUGUUUUCUCCUUGUAAAUUCGCGCAUUAUCAUAGGCUUCGUUCCGUAUCUCCUCAAGUUCAUUCAGUUGGAGCUUCCUGUUCAUUCCAGCAACAUCCAAGUCCAAAUUGAAUGUUUUCACAGCCCAGUGCGCUUUGUGCUCUAGUUCCACAAGUAGGUGACACAGCUUGCCGUAGAUUAGUCAAAAUGGAGACAUCCUUAGAGGUGUUUUAUAGGCAGUACGAUAUGCCCAUAGUGCAUCAUCUAAACGUAAGCUCCAAUCCUUCCGGUUUGGCCCAACAGUCUUCUCCAAGAUUUGCUUGAUUUCUUUAUUCGAGACUUCGGCUUGGCCACUUGUUUGAGGGUGGUAUGGCAUGGAAACCCGAUGUUGUACAUUGCACUUUUUAAACAGCGCCUCAAUGGUGCGAUUGCAAAAGUGGGCACCUCCAUCGCUUCUGAACACCUUCGGCAUGCCAAAUCUGGAAAAGAUGUUAGCUUUGAUAAAAUAUGCCAUCACUCUAGAAUCGUUAGUACGAGUGGCUUUGGCUUCCACCUAUUUCGACACAUAAUCAACGGCUAACAAAAUAUAAGUAAAACCAUAUGAGGGCAGAAAGGGUCCCAUGAAAUCCAUACCCCAUACAUCAAAGAUCUCCACAUUAAAGAUGGGGGUUUGAGACAUUUGGUCCUUGGCACCUAUUGUACUUGUUCUUUGGCAUCUAUCACAAGUUAUACAAAAUGUUCUAGCAUCCUUAAACAAUGUAGGCCAAUAGAAACCACUCUCUAAAACCUUAAAGGCUGUCCUUUGGGUGCCAAAAUGACCCCCACAUGCAUAACUAUGGCAGAAUGCAAGAAUUGAAUCAAACUCAGAAUUGUGCACACAUCUAGGGAUAAUCUGGCCAGGACAAUACUUCCACAAAUAUGGAUCAUCCCAUACAUAAAAUCGUGCAUCAUUUUUGAGUUUAUCACGCUUGUAUUUAUCUAGAGUGCUAGGAACUUGUUUUGUGACCAAAUAAUUGACCAAAUCAGCAUACCAGGGCUCACUUACCUCUAGGGACAGCAAUUGCUCAUCAGGGAAUGUCUCUAGAAUGGGUAAGGAGUCCUCCUUGUGCACUAAACGGCUGAGGUGGUCAGCCACCACGUUUUCACUCCCCUUUUUGUCUCUUAUUUCAAUGUUGAACUCUUAAAGUAGGAGCAUCCAACGAAUCAGCCUUGGUUUGGCCUCCUUCUUGGUGAGAAGAUACUUCAACGCUGCAUGGUCAGAAUAUACAAUCACUUUAGUGCCAAGUAAGUAUGAACAAAAUUUAUCUAAAGCAAAUACAACUGCAAGAAGUUCUUUCUCAGUGGUAGAAUAAUUCAAUUGAGCAUCAUUUAGGGUCCGGGAAGCGUAGUGGAUGACGUGGGGCUGUUUGUUCCUCAUUUGGCCUAAAACAGCACCAAUGGCAUAAUCGAACGCAUCACACAUUAGCUUAAAUGGAAGGCUCCAAUUUGGUGGCAUGAUGAUAGGGGCCGAAGUCAACAUGUCUUUGAGGGUUUUGAAAGCGGUCUCACACUCCUUGUUAAACUCGAAGGCUACUUCCUUUUGGAGUAAUCGGCAAAAGGGUUGGGCGAUUGUUGAGAAAUCCUUGAUGAACCUCCUAUAAAAUCCUGCAUGGCCAAGAAAAAAACGAACCUCCCUCACCGAAGUGGGAGAGGGUAAGUGACGUACAAGAUCUAUUUUAGAUUUAUCAACCUCAAUCCCUUUUUCUGAUAUGAUAUGCCCUAAAACUAUACCUUGUUUUACCAUAAAAUGUCACUUUUUCCAAUUCAAGAUAAGAUUAGUUUCGAUGCAUCGUUGUAAGAUCAAAGUAAGAUUAUUCAAGCAUGCAUCAAAUGAGUCACCAAAAACACUAAAGUCAUCCAUAAACACUUCAAUGAUCUUUUCCACAAAUUCUGAGAAAAUACUUACCAUACACCUUUGGAAUGUGGCUGGUGAGUUGCAUAGCCCAAAUGGCAUGCGUCGAUAAGCAAAGGUACCAAAGGGACAUGUGAAGGUAGUCUUUUCUUGGUCAUCAGGAGCUAUCAUAAUCUGAUUAUAACCUGAAUAGCCAUCAAGAAAACAAUAAAAUGAAUGACCGGCUAACCUUUCCAGCAUUUGAUCAAUAAAGGGCAGCGGGAAGUGAUCUUUUCUUAUCGUAGCGUUGAGCUUCCGAUAGUCAAUACAAACUCUCCAUCUGAUUUGGAUUCGGGUGGGCACAAGCUCAUUAUCUUCAUUUUUUACCACAGUGACUCCGGACUUCUUAAGAACAACUUAGACCGACGAGACCCAAUGGCUAUCAGAAAUUGGGUAAAUCACUCCACAAUCUAGUAGCUUGAUGAUUUCCUUCUUCACAACAUCCAUCAUGGGUGGAUUGAGUUAGCGGUGUGCUUCUCUAGAUGGUUUGGCUCAUUCUUCCAAGAGUAUUCGAUGCAUGCAAGUGGUAGGGCUAAUUCCCUUGAUAUUGGCCAAUGUUCACCCAAUGGCAGUUUUGUAUUCCCGAAGCACCAUUACCAACUUGUCCUCCUUUUGUGCAGUAAGUGAAGAAGAGAUGAUGACAGGCAGCGUCUCUUGUUCUCCCAAAAACACAUAUUUCAAAUGGCUAGGCAAUGGUUUAAGCUCUAGGGAAGGGGGCUGGAUUACAGAAGGAAGCAACUUGUUAGUCGAAAUGGGAAUUGAAAUUAGGUUAGGAGACUUACCAAUAUGCCUUGGAUUUGACUCUAGGGCAGCAACCAUCUUUACCAAUUCUUUUUGAAUAGGCACGGCAAGAUGUUCCAUGUUGUUGCCGUGUGCAUGCCUAAGUGCUAACCCUUCCUUUUUUAGUCUAAUGCUUUGCGUGAGAGUCUUUUCAAGUGCAUCCUCACUCAAAUCAUCAAGGAAUUCCUGCGCCCAAGAGUUAAUCACAUCAAUAGAGAAACAAGAGUGACCAUCAUGAGGAUAUCUCAUAACAUCAGAAAUAUUGAAAUCAAUAACUUCCCUAUCAAAUUCCAUGGUCAAUGUUCCCUUGAAUACAUCUAUCUUUGUACGGGCAAUCUUCAUGAAUGGUCGGCCAAGUAAGAUUGGUAAUUGAGGGGAAUGGUUCGAGUCUUCCAUUUCAAGCACGUAGAAGUCCGCUGGAAAGACUAGGUGAUUCACCUGCACUAAAACAUCCCCCAAAACACCUUUUGGAUACGCAUUAGAUCUAUCGGCCAGUUGAAUGAUCACUCCAUCAUUUUUUAAUUCUCCUAAGUUCAUAGAUGCAUAUAUUGAAUAAGGCAUGAUAUUUAUUGAUGCACCUAGAUCUAACAUGGCAGAUUCAAAGCGAGUAUUUCCUAUAACACAAGAAAUUGUAAAACUGCCAGGAUCUUUGCACUUAGGAGGUAAUUUUCGUUGCAACACAGCUGAGGCAUUCUCACUUACCCUUACCACCUCUUUGUUCGAAGCCCUCUUCCUUGUAGUGCACAGCUCCUUCAGGAACUUAGCAUACCUGGGGACUUGUUUGAUUGCAUCUAGAAGUGGAAUGUUAACUUCCACCUUUCUGAAUGUGUCAAGGAUGUCUUUGUCACUCUCAUCCUUCCUUGAUUGCAUAAACCUGCGAGGAAAUGGUGCAUUGGGUGGAAUGGAAUUAGAAGUCAUGGAAUUUGAACCCAACUUACCUUUGGUGGUCGAAUCAGGGUGUGUAGGUGGCUACGGCAAAGAUUGCUCAAUCCUUGCCGAGGGCAAGCCUUGUUCCUUCUCCUCUGAUUGCAUCUUUUCGUCCUCCUUUUGAUUGGAUUUAGAUGGGCUGGGAUCAGAUCCAACUUCUUUUCUACUUCGUAAGGUGAUGGCUUUGGCAGAUUCUAAGCCUAUCUUUGGAUUCACAUCCGUCGAACUAGGUAACUUACCUUGUUUUUACUAAAUUGCCCCAUGAACUCAGCCAUUUGUCCUAUUUGUCUCUUCAAUUCAGUCACCUCUCGAGCUUGAUUUUGCACUUCCUUGGCGUAAUUGUGCAUAUCUUUGGCUUGAUUUUCCUGACCCUUUGCCAACGUAGUUAGUAACUGAAUAACUUGGGCAUUAUCAAAAGACGAACCUGAGUUAUUUUGGGCAGGUUGUGUUUGGGGUUGUGUGGGUGCAUACGGCCUUUGGUAGAAUCCCGAAGGUUGCUGUCUGAAUGCACUUUGUUGUUGGGUUUGUUGGGGCUCCCUCCAUUUGAAAUUUGGAUGAUCUUUCCAACCUGGAUUGUAUGUAUUCGAGAACGGAUCAUUCCUUGGUUGGUUUUGAUUCCUAAAACCCAUGACGUUGGCAGAUUCCCACUCUCUGUUCUCGAUCAAUUGAGGGCACUUAUCCGUGAGAUGUCCAUUCAUUGAACACACGCCAUAAGCAGCUACACUUUGUUCUUUUGGUUUUUUAACCACCUGUGAAAGAAGAAUAGUAAGAUUAGCCAUUUGAUUUUGAAGUUUGGAAAUAACACUUACCUCAUUAACUUGUUGCUGCUGUGGGUUGUCUCUUGGACUAACGCCUUCAUAUUGUUGAGCAUUCAAUGCUCGGUUAGCAAUUAAGGUCUUGGCAGCCAUAGGUGUUUUGUCCACCAAAGCUCAUCCCGCUGAGGCGUCUAGCAUUUGACAUUCAAUUGGUAGAAGCCCUUCGUAGAAAUAUUGAAGAAGAAGCUACUCCUUCAUCUGGUGCUAUGGACAUGAAGCAACAAGGGUUUUAAAACGCUCAUAGUAAGUGGGAAAUGAUUCACCUUGGUUUUUCUAAAUGCCACUAAUCUUUUUGCUUAGUAGAAUGACUCGAGAAGUUGGGAAAAACUUCUCCAAAAAUGCUCGUUUCAUACUCUCCCAUGAUGUGACAGUUCCGGGGGCUAGCUCAUACAACCAAUCUUUAGCCUUUUCCAAGAGAGAAAAGGGAAAAGCCUUCAUUUUCAGAAUGCUCCCAUCAACAUUCAUAGGGGUCAUGCUCGAACAAACAACCUCAAACUCCUUCAAAUGUUUAUUAGGAUCCUCCAUGGACAACCCAUGGAACUUAGGAAUAUGGUGCAAUAAACUGGACUUUAAUUCGAACUCGUUGGUCUUGUUUUGGGCCGCCCUUGGAUAUUAAAUGCAUAAAGGCAGAGCAUUGUCCAAUCCCAAAGCGAAAGCUCCUUGAUUGUUCGAUUGUUUACUGCCAUCUCUUGGACUUCUUCAAAAGUCCUUGUCGUGGCUUCCUCUUGCUCUUCUACUUUGUCUUCUUCAAGAUCUGGCGCAGGUUGAGAUGGUUGCGGUUCUUGUUGAUUCCUCGCUCGUCUCAAAGUUCGUUCAAAAUCGUCAUCAAAGUCAAAGAUGUGCUUAUGAACAGGUUGAUAACUUCGAGUCAUAACCACCUAAAGAAAACAAGUAAAAUCAGCAACUAGGAACAAAAACACAUGAAAAUAAACAAAAAGAAAUAACAAGGGAUUAGCAAAGUUGUUAAUCCCCGGCAACGGCGCCAAAAUUUUGAUGCGAAAAUUAUCUUAACACACAAAUUUAACCCUCUUUUGACAAUUGUAGUACAAGUAUAAGUAGGGAUCGUUCUGGACCGGGGAUUAAGAGGGCUUGCUAAUAACCUCUAAACUGACUCAAAAACAUAAAACUAGACUUAAAAACACUUAAACAAGAUUCACAAGACUCAAAGCAAACUUAAAAUACUCAAAAUAGCUCAAAACAACCAAAUAAACUUAAACUAGACACUAAGAAUGACUUUGGACGAAAAUGGACUUUUACUUGAAUCAAAACACUUAAAAACAAAAACUAAAAUAGAUUUGAAACACUUUGAAACAAGAACUAAAAGGGGCGUUUUGAUUUAGAUGAAGUUGUAACAAACAAACAAGUAUGAAAAUCUAGAUAGAUUGUAAAACGAAUGUGAGAAAUAAGAUGAUGGAUGGGAUAGCUAGAGGCUUUUUCUCCACACAUGACAUGUAUGCAAAUAAUUCGAUUUCCCAAAAGACCUUGUGCUCGGUAGAGAUGAGAAUAUACAUAUAAGGCUUACAAAAUCCUCACCCCUGGCGAUGUGGGAUCUUACAAUCCACCCCCCUUAGGGGCCUGACGUCUUCGUCGACAUACUUCCAGCUAGGGAUUGGCUUUGAUACCAAAUUGUCACAUGCCGGCCCAGGCCCUUACCACAUCCCAGGCUCGACUUCGCCCUAGCACAAUAUUGUCAGCUUUGGGCCCUGACCACGCCCUCACAAUUUUUGUUUUUGGGAACUCACACGAGAACUUCCCAGUGGGUCACCCAUCCCGGGAUUGCUCUCCCGCGAACUCUCUUAACUUCGGAGUUUCGAUGGAACCUGAAGCCAGUGAGCUCCCAAAAAGCCUCGUGCUAAGUAGAGAUAAGAAUAUACAUAUAAGACUUACAGGAUCCUCACCCCUGGGCGAUGUGGGAUCUUACAAUACACCCCACAUACUUUUCCUUAAUACCCUCACACCCCACAUUCUCAACAUACACCCCACAAUUUUUUACCUACACUCCACUUCACAUUUAAGUGCAAAUACAUAUUUCAUGUUUUUUUUUAAAAACAAUUUUACUCAAUGAAAUCGGGUUGAAGAAGAAUGUGGGGUUGAUAGAACGCCUCCAUGAAUCAUUGGAUUGAAGAAUUUUAUUGUAUGUACAAAACAACCAAUCAUAUGUGCAUCUGCGAGAGAUUUUGGUAUCACAACCAAAGAAGCGAGUAGCUUGACUUGGAUGCUCCUCUCCUUCCCUUCCUAUUUGGGUGUAAUUUGAAGCGUCAUAACGAGAAUCCUCAAGUUCUGAGUCCCCUCUGUCAAAAUCAUCAUAACAAAGGCAGAUUUGUUGAUUUCAUAUGGAGAUGAAGUUGUAGUGGUACGGUGAAUGAAAAUUAGGAGGCCAUUGAUGAAUAUCCCUGGGCUUUAAAGUUGUGAUUAACGUGUUUGUAGUUCCAUUGAUUUAGGUUUGUUUUACAAUAGAGGAUAAGAUUGGUUUUGAAAGUUGAAGAAAAAGAAUUGUAAGAUAUACAUGUUAAAGUUGUGAUUUGGGGUGUAUUUAGAUUUUUUAUUUAACUUUACAUGAGGUUAAAAUUGUCAUUGCAUAUUAGAUAUAUAAGUCAUUUAAUAUUGAAUUUUAAUGUGAGGUGUAUUCAACAUUAUGUGGGGAUGCUAAUAAAAAAAGCCCAUCAUUAAUUAUUUUAAUAAUAAAAUAUUUUGUGUUUUUAAAUAUAUUCCUUUAGUGUUAAAAAUGUUACAAUUAGUAUAUUUAUAUUUAUGGCUACAUUUUUUAUCAUAUAUUUUUAUUUUUAGUUUGUACCCAUUUUUAAUUUGCAAAUCUUUUUUUAAUGUGUACCAAUUUUCUUUUCAGUUUUAAUUUGUACCCAUAUAUUAAUUUCUUUUUGUGCCCAUAUUUUUUAAAGUUUUAUUUGUAUUUGUGCCUAUUUGUUUAUCGUCACGUAACAUUAUAUAAUUAAUCAAUGAUAGAUUACAUAUGGUAUAUUUAUGUUUUACGGCUAAACUUUGUAUCAUAUAUUUAUAUUUUUUGUUUGUACCCACUUUUAAUUUGCAACCUUUUUUUUUCAAAUUUGUAAUAUUUUCAUUUUAGUUUUAAUUUGUACCCAUGUACUAAUUUCUUUUUGUGCCCAUAUUUUUUAAAAUUUCAUUUGUACUCAUAAUUUUUUAAUCUUUUAUUUUUACCCUAAUUUAUUUAUAAUGUACCCAUUCUUCUUUAUUAAUGUACCACUUUGUUAUAUGUGAAAUGUACCAAUUUUUUUUGUAAAAUGUACCAAUUUUGUUUAACACUAUGGAUACAUUCUUUUGCCAUUUAUUAUUUCUUAUUGUUACAUAGUUUUUAUCCAUUUAUUCAAUUAAAAUGUUUGAAUUUUUUUAUUGUAGCUGUUUCUAAUAGUAUUAUAAUGAGGGAUUUUAAAUUUAUAGGAUUAUAAAUCUCAUAAUAUAUCAAACAAUUAAUGUCAAAACUAUAAAACUAUAAAUAGUAAUAGUAAUAUAAUGAAGUGUACAAAGUCAAGGAAUUUUGAUCAAACUUUGAAUACCAUUAAGGUUUUAGUAAAAAAGUGUUAGGGACUAGGGACUGCAUCCAAAGUAUCCCUAAAAUUAAAUUGCAAUUUAAAAAAUGUAAUGAAGAGAAAAAUAAUUUAUUUAAAAUAAAAAUAAAAUGUAUGUACAAGGAAAAAGUUUAAAAGUAUGGGAGUAAAAAACUAAGAAAAGAAGGUGGAAUAAUCUAUGGGGUCGUCAUUCAUAGGCGGCUGGAAAGCUUGGGGCAAGAAGGUCUCAGGGUUGAGGAUGAGCUCAAAGGUUGAAGGGGCGGAGUUCUAGGCAUGCUUGGGUUGGAAGGGCUCGGACGUCGACGGGGUACAAAUAUCCGAGAGAUGAAUGUCGGACUCACUGAGGGCCUUUACAAUCAGUGACAUUUGGCUCUUAUACAAGGCGAGCUCAGUCCUAAGGCUGACCACCUCUGCUGUCAAAGUUGUCACCUCGCCCUUUGACUAAGAGCAUGAAGAGGCUUUAGGUUCCUCUUGCCAAGCAUUCCCUAUCCCCCUACCAUACGUCCUCUACCUCAUUCUGAAGAACUAACUGCCUCUUCUUCAUCAUCGUCGCCUAUGUAAUAUAACAUGAAAUAUUAAUAAUAACAUUGAAAUAAUAACCAUGAUACUUGAAUGCGUAAGAUAGUAAUUACAAUUGAAGAAUACUUACAUGAAGGGACUCGGCCAACUCAUCCCCGUGUCAAACAUAAACGUCUGCAAAGACAUCGGCAUUCGGGAAUUUUGAACCCCUCUGAAUAGAACAAGAUAAGAAAAAUGUUAGUACGAAAAAAAAUUAAUAUUAUUGACAUAUUAAAAAUUGAAUAUGAAAAGCUUUAGUAUUACUUGCCGCCACGUUUCCAUCCUAUAUGAGAAGGGCCUCGAACCCGAAUGGUGGAGAAGAGUCUUCUUCUCCCGAAUGGUGGAGAAGAGUCUUCUUCUCCCGAUUGAUCUUGUUGGCUUUCGCCUUCUUUUGUUACACAAAAAAUGAACGUAUCAGUUGUAAUGUAAAUGAAAUACAAAAAAAUAAAUAAACAUUAGUAAGAAACGUAUAAUACUUCUAGAUUUAAUAAAAAAAAAGUACCACAUAGUUAGGCUCCUGAAAAUCACUACAGAGCCAUACCCAAUUUUCUCCCGGUCCUUAAACUCCUUCGGGCAACCCUCCUCAAGAGUGACCUGCGGAUCAUCAAAUGUCUGAAAAUAUUGGUGUAGGUCGCUUUUCCACUGCUUGUACCGUUCAACGAAGAGCCUGUUGACUUACGCCAACAUAUUGUUGUUGAUGUCAUUGAAAUUGUAGUUCGUUUUCAAUGUAACAUAUUAAUUACAUACAUUAAUCAAUAUAAAUAUAUAAACUUUAAAGGAAAAGCAAUAAAAAGUCAAGAUACUUACCAACAAACAAUCGCGCACCUUCGUCUUCACCUCGUCUGGCAUCGCCUUCCAAGACUUCCAUCGCAUAGGGCAAUAGGUCCGAAUGAUGUGACUAAUGUCGUGGGCCAAUGCGCUAUGCUGCUCCGCCGUUGGUACAACCCGAUGCCUAUCGUUGUAUCUAAUCGUGAUACGUUCAUUGGUCACCCGGGUGACCUUCGCAGUCUUCAACUAGCGACAAUGCAUCAGUAGUGGAUGCCAAUGUCAUGUCAGGCGUACGAGGGUGGCGGUGACCACGCCUGGCGCUAAUAGGUAGUGCCACUGGAGAGGCUAAUGAUGCGGGCGCCUAGGAGACUCGAGGACCAAUCGGAUGAACCUGAUUAAUCGGCUUGAGGUCCAUGUCUGCUGGAGCAGUUGCAGCUGAAGUAGGAGGCUGGGGAAUCGAACGGGGUGUAGUCGUCAUUGCUUUACGGCUUCUAAUAAGCUGCGACAUUUGCACAAUUAGAGAAAAAAAAUUCAAUGCAUAUAUAUGUUGUGCCCCACAUAAUGAUCCAUAAUACACACACACAUAUUUUGUAACUGAAAUGGCAAACAAAGGCUAAUUAGAUCAUUAUUUAAGGUAACAUCUUCUCUACACUAUUUACAAGAACAAGGGUUUUUUAUUUCAAGAGUUUAUUUUCAUAACUAAAUUUGUAGUACUACCCUCUCCGUCGUGUAGCAAAACACUGAUGCCUAAACAACUUAGUGGAAGAAGCAUUUAUUUGCAAGCUUAUAUCAGCUUUUGGUAGUUGAUAUCACACUUUCUAAAAAGGUCAUAUAAACAUGAAAAGUGAGGACCAAGAACAGAGCCUCUGAAGAAGACUGAAACGUUUAUUCCAGUUGAAAGGUUGUUUACUAACUUGAAGAACAAAAGUUGAGAUCAUUUUACAGAAUAAGUUUCCCAUGUUUUACAAACUUAAUGCACCGAACGCAUAUCUGACCUAUAUUAAAAAUUUAAAAGGCAAAACACUGAGAAAACAUUAACAAAUAGACCCUGAUUCAGCUGUAUAUAUUAUUAGAAAAUAUAUUUUCAUUUACUUAACUGAUAAUAUUACAUCUUGAGUAUAUAUAUACAUGUAAGACAAGCCUAACAAAAAAACUAACUGUCCUAACAAACUGUAACAAUUACUUAGUCUCUAAGAUUUAUCUCUUGAAGAGAUAUUUACACUUUUGUCCUUAAUAUCCCCCCUCAAACGAAACUGAGGUAGCCGAAGAGAGAGUUUGUAUCUGAGAAGUGUAAAUCUGGAUUUGGACAGAGGCUUGGUACAAAUAUCAGCAAUCUGAUCUUGUGAACACACAAAACGGAUAGCAACUUGGUUGGCUAAUACUCUCUCCCGUAUGCUAUUUCGACAUGCUUUGUGCGAGCAUGAAAAAUAGGAUUCUUUGCCAGAGAAAUGGCAGAGAUAUUAUCACACCACAGUUGAGGAACACAAGGAAGAGAGUAGCCUAUAUCAGUUAAAAUUUUAGAAAUCCAUGACAGUUCUGCGGCAGUAUGAGCAAGAGACCUGUAUUCAGCUUCAGUGGAUGAUCUUGCCACUGUUGGUUGCUUUUUAGCACUCCAGCUGAUAAUAGAACUGCCAAGAAAAAUACAGAAGCCACCAGUGGAUCGCCUGUCUAAAGGGCAACCUGCCCAAUCAGCAUCAGAGAAUGCUUGAAUAUCCAAGGGAGCUGAAGUUUUAGAAAACCAUAACCCCAAAUCAAUAGUACCUUUUAAGUACCGAAGGAUUCUUUUGACAGCUUGAAGAUGAGAGACUCGAGGACGAUGCAUGUACUGACAAACCAGAUUAAAAGCAAAGCUCAAAUCGGGAGCGGUUGAGUACUGAUAAUGUACCACCGACCAAAGAUUGUAAGAUUGGCAAGAAGUGGAGAAGUUGGAGAUCAUCAAGCUUGUCUGUACUCAGGGGUGUUGCACAGGGUUUGGCUCCAUCCAUAUGAGACUUGUGCAGAAGAUCAAGAAUGUAUUUUGAUUGAAAGAUUAGAGAAGAUCCCAGAAGAUUGAACUUCAAUGCCUAAUGAAGAAAUAAUGCAACGGACCAAGGUCUUUAACAGGGAACAAACUGCUCAAUUUCGUGAUUCACUGUUAGACAUGCUGUAGAAGAGGUCCAAGACUCAAAAUGUCAUUUUUUAGAAAGGAAGGGAAGACCAAAGGGGAUCCUUGGAUUUUGAACCAGAAUGAUCAUUUUGGGAACCAUGAAUUGGUAAACCCAAAAACUGUAAAACCAGAGCACUAACAUUGUAAAGACCACGAUGAAAGCAAACCAUUGGAGAGGACUUUUGGCCAUUUGAAAACAAGCCUUCUAUCCUUUAUCGGGCCUUGUAUCUAUCCCAAUAGAAGCCAUCAGAUUCCUUCUUGAUUCUGAAACCACUUGUACAAGCAAGCCAAGAAUUUUGUAUUUUUUGAGAUAUGAAUUUUAGAAAGGGACUAAAGACCAUGUACCUGUGCUUGAGAAGAGCAUUAUAAUACUCGUCUUGCAUUGCUUUGCGCCAAGUGUGAGGAUUAGUGGAUGCUUGCAGUUUAGAUGCUAGUAUGAGGAUAUCAGAGGAGGGCAUGGGUUGAAAUUGGAUGCUUUGUGACUGUGAAUGCCCUGGGUUUGAAUAUUCCAGAUUUGGAUCGUGUUUGCAUUUGGUGAUGAUUAGAUGAAGGAUGAAGGAAGGAAGGGAAGGUAAGGGUAAGUUUGAUUAGGAGGGGAGGAAACUUGUAACUCUGUGGAGAGAAGGGAAGGUUGCUGAGAAAUCGGGAUAGGCAGAGGGUGAGAGGAUGAGGGUGGAGGAAGAGGGUAGAAUAGGGGAUGAUAAGGAGAGGAAAUGGAAGUGGUAAAAGUGAGAGAGGAUGGGGAUGUGCUGGAAAAGAUGGAGGUGAAAAUGGACAGGGAAAGUUUCUCAAAGAGAACAUGCCGAGAUAUGUGAUUCUCUUGGAAACUGAGUUCAUCCAUUUAGAUUUCCUUAUGAUGUAGACUAUAACCGAAGAAAACACAUAACUUGCUCUUUGGAUGUAGCUUUGAAGGAGAAUAGGGUUGUAACCAAAGGAAGCAAGCACAUCCAAACACUCGAAGAGUACUGUAAUUUGGAACUUUGUGAAAUAACAACUCCCAAGGUGAAGAUUUGUAUGCUGUAGGUAAUCGAUUGAUGAGAUAAAUUGCAGUUGCAAAGGCAUCAACCCAAUAGAAAUGAGGUACAUUAGAAGCUGCCAACAAAGUCCUUGCAGUUUCAACCAAAUGUCUAUGUUUCCUUUCGGCACACCCAUUCUGCUCAGGUGUAUGAGGACAACUAAGUUGAUGUUGAAUGCCAUUAUCCACUAAAAACUGAGAGAAAGAAGUACUCAUGAAUUCACCUCCAGCAUAAGAUCUUAGAGCAAUGAGUUUAGUACACAGAAAGUUUUCAACAAGAUUCUUGAAUUGAACAAACACAGAGAAUACCUCAGAUUUGUAUUUCAAAGGGAAAAACCAAGUGUACUUGGUGUAAUCAUCCACAAACAGUACAUAGUAUCGAGAACCAUGAAGAGAAGACACAGGUGCUGGCCCCCAAACAUCUGUGUGAACAAGUUCUAGAGGUUUACUUGUAGUGCAAGGAGUACAUACAAAAGGAAGUCUAGAACACUUGCCUAAUGCACAAUCUGAGCAAAAAUACUUAUUUCUACUAUUUGAAAUGGAGAUACAAGAAUGUGCAGCCAAUUUAUGCAAAAUCUUCACAGAGGGGUGGCCCAACCGUUGAUGCCACAUAGUAUUUGAAGCUUUAACAGUUGCAGUCAAAGCCUUGGGAUGCACAGCAUGGGAUGAAGCAGGAUGAAAAGGAUAGAAACCGUCGUUGACAGGACCUUUAAAAAGCGUCCUCCCCGAAGAAAGAUCCUUCACAGUGAAGUGAAAAGGAUAAAGAUGCAUUGAGCACCAGUUGUCAAUUAAAAAUUUGUUUGCAGAAAGUAGAUUGUGCUUAAGUUCAGGAACAUGAAGCACAUUUUGUAAUCGAAAAUUAUGAUGUGCAGUAGGCAAAAGAGAAGAGCCAGAAUGAGAUAUGGAUAAACCUUUUCCAUCGCCAAUAUAAACUUGUUCAGGUCCGGUAUAUGGUUCUGGAUUCUGAAGAUUGCCAUAAGAAUUGGUCAUGUGAGAUGUAGCCCCUGAGUCUACAAUCCAAGUAGGAGCAGAAGUAGAAGUGUUCGCCACCAUUGCAGAGGGAGAGGAUUUCACACCAUAAUGUGCAUUCAUGCGAUGAGGACAGUCCCAAGCUUCAUGAUCAAAUUGGCGACAGAUUUGACAAGGAACUUUCUUGCUAGAAAAUUGAAAGUUGUGACGACCUCCACGAUUAUUAUGAUAGGUUGGCCUCUGAUUUGGGCGAUACGAAAAUUGCCGCUGAUUGUUAGUGUUGUUUGAACGAAAGUUGCCUCGAUUGGAAGAGUAAUUCCUUGAAGUUCGAUCCACACCACGGCUGUUGGUUGUGGAGUGGGCGAAAUUCUGAGCAGUGAAUGCUUGAGGCGGUGUAGGCAGAAUACCAGGGAAGGAUGAGAAAGCCUGAAAAGGUGGCGCAGAUGACAAAUUCUUGCGACUGUUGAGUUGAAUUUCUUUGCUGAUCAAGAGGCCAUGAAGUUCAUCAAUCGUUGUAGAUCCAAGGCGAAAUUGUAUCGCAUCAACAAACGAAUCAAAUUCAGGAGGCAGGCCAUGCAGAGUGACAGAGAUGAGAUCAGAAUCAUCAACCGGUGCACCGGCACUGGCAAGGGCAUCAGCAAUUUCUUCAAUUUUCUGAAGAUACUGAGCAGCCGUGGAUUCACCUUUGGAAAGAUUACGAAGGUGAGAUCGGAGCUCAUGAAUAUGCGACUGAGAGGCGGUGGCAAGACGGGAUUCCAAUUUAGCCCAAAGCUCUCGAGCAGAGGUAACACCAAUGGUGUAGGGAAUGAGAGACUCCGAGAGGGUUGAAUUUAACCAGAUGAGAAUGUUCUGAUCAUUCUCGAACCAAGUCACAAAAUCAGGAUUCAAUGUCGUAGUACAAUUUCCGGAGGCAUCAGGAAGAAAUUGAGGUGGUGCCGCCAUGGAUCCAUCGAUCAAACCAGUGAGAUUAUACCGACGGAAGAUCGGAGCAAAAAGAGCACGCCAUGUCAGAUAAUUCGUAGUAGUGAGCUUAAUCGGGACCAGAGAUCCAAUAUUUUGAAUCGUGAUGGAUGUAAUUGCAGAAGAGGUGGAGGAAGAGCGAUGAGAAUCUGCAUCAGAGGACGGAGAUGCACUAGUCGCCAUGGCUAGGGUUUGAAGUUGGGGAAGGAGAAAGAAGACAAAUCGGGGAAGAAGAUCAAAGCGGGAAGCGGAAGAGUUUGGAUCGAAAAAGAGAGGCGGUCGUUAGACCAAAAAAGGCGGUGAUACCAUAUUAGAAAAUAUAUUUUCAUUUACUUAACUGAUAAUAUUACAUCUUGAGUAUAUAUAUACAUGUAAGACAAUCCUAACAAAAAAACUAACUGUCCUAACAAACUGUAACAAUUACUUAGUCUCUAAGAUUUAUCUCUUGAAGAGAUAUUUACACUUUUGUCCUUAAUAUAUAUUACAACUAUAGAACAAGAGAAAAGGCAUUAUAAAAAAAGCAGAUGGAAGAACUUAAAUGAUGAAACCAAUUGAGAAGCAUUCGGUGGAAGUAGAGUAUACCCCGUCUAACAGUUAACAAAUAAGGUAAAAACCUAACUCUUUAAUGUGCAGAGUUAGACCCAAGGUGUGGAAUGAGCAAUAUCACUACCAACAACUGGGUGGUAUUUGAACAAGUAAAACUGCUAUCAAUAUUCAAAAGUACAAAGAAAACAUACCAAUCAAAACAUCUACAUACAACUAUACAAGUCUAUGCUUUUGAUCAGUGACUAAGAAGUUAUAACAAGAACAACUCAACAAACAAAUAACUAAAUGAAUAAAAAGGAGAAUUUGGUUAUAUCAAAUGUAUACCAAUAAUAAGCAUCAAUUUGUAUAUAAACAUAAUUGCAUUAUAACUAUGUAUGGAGGAUCUUAUUACCAUCAUUAUUGAAGAAUAGAAUUAGAUUGGAAGACUGACCGCACUAAAAGGAAAGAAUCUACUUGAUAAUUCCAGAGGUUUGGGGUUUCGUUGGGUUCGGGAAAAGACCCAUUCUUAAGUACCUUGCAAUGUAAUUGAAAGCCUAAAUGAUUUUCUAUUAGUUUCCAUUUUCACACAGGUCUUAACAAACACACUGAACAAGGUUUUCCCACCUGGAACAUAACUUAAUAACAACCAGUAACUUCUAAAACUACGGAAAGUCAUCAUGCACUUCUUUUCUAUCAGUUGGAUGAAGCUAGGAAGGUAGCUAGCAAAUAGUAGGAUUGAGAUUAUUCAUGCACUCCCUUUAAGUAGUGGAUAGGCCCUGGGCCUUUGGGGACCAAAAGUCAUGUGUUGGUGUAGCCUAGGAAUAAGAAGAAGAAUACAUAAAGAUAUAUGUUCUGUGUUCAUAGGACGAAGAAGAGGAAGAAGAAGAAUACAAAACUUGUUAAAUAGCUGCAGUCUAAGAAAGACGCUACCACCGUUACUUAUUCCAUGAAACAGUUGUACGAUUCUGGAUUAUAUGUAGCUCACUAUUCUCUUUCUGCCCUAUGUAAAAGCCCACAGACUACCCAUAACUAACAGCUGGCAGCUAAUAUUAACUAAUCUAUGUCACAGUAUGAAACCUUGAACCGUUAGAUUAAUCUAUUGUCACAGUUCCCUAUAGGACCAAGGAGUAUCAUUUCUAGUCUCUUGCUGCAAUGCAUAUCAUGUCAAAUGGGACUACCAUUUAUAUAAGAACCAACAACAAUUCACAGGACAAAUACCAACAGCAAUUCACAGGACAAAUCAAUCAUAUUGUCUAAGGAACAUGCAAAUUUAGAAACUGAAGGAACGUACACACUUGGAACAUCCAGCUUAUAUUUGUCAAAGCAUAUCAAUGGGCACUGGAUGGUAAAAGGAAUCGACAUUUUCACACGCAUUCUCGAAUUCAACAUCCACCAGUGUUUCCUCUUUCAUCCAUAUAUGAUCAAGUAUUACAAAAUCAAAAACAAAGAAAGAAUUACAAGUUUUAAAUCAAUAAAAUGUAAAUUCUACGGGACUUACAGAAGCUAUCCAAGAAUUUGCAAACUACUAACAAGCAAUGAAUUUGUAUUAAUACCCUAAUUUAGAAUUUUCACUCGACAUAUUAUGUGUAUAAAAAUCAAUUAUAAAAAUCAGAGCAAUUAUCAAAGCAGAUUAAACCCUCAUUUAGAGCAUUAGAUUUCGAGCAACCAGAAAGCAAUUAAUUAUAAAAAUCAAAGAAGAUUAGAACCCUAAUUAUAAAGCAAUUAUCAAAGCAUGAAAUAAUCCUAAAGUUACCUCAGAGAGAGAGGGUUGUCAGAGGAGGAAAAGAGAGGGAUGUCGGAACAGGAAGAGAGAGUGCGAGGGGGCGAGAGGGCAAGAAGGUGAGAGGCCGAGAGGGAGGGUGACAGAGAUUUAGUGAGAGAGAGGGCUGUCGUAGGAGAGAGUUUACAGAGAGGAAGAGCUGAGGGGAAAGUGUUUGCGAUUUCAGUUAAAUCUCGAGGAUCUUGCGCGACGAAUAUAAUAUAUUCAUCGCGCAAAACUUCAAAUUUUCAUGAAAUUAUUUUGGUGCCCGCCUAGAAAGUCAAAUUUUCAGCUCAUUGCACGACGAACAUGAAUGUAUUUGUCGUGCAAUGAGUUGAAAAUUUAAUUUCCCUGGGUCAAUUUUCUUUUAAUUUAAAUUUAUUCAAAUAAAAACAAUUUAUUUAUAACAUAAGAUAAAUAAAUUACAAAAAAAAAUCAUUUAAUAUGUUUUACAAAGCAAGUCACAAAUAAAUUGCAUUAUUUAUCAUCCGAACUAUAAUAACUUUCACUAUCUUCCUUGAUAGGUAUGUCACCGUCGUCAUUCGGGCCCACUGCAACAUCAUAUCGCGGAAGAUUACCGAGUUCAAUUGUAAUUGACUGAAUCGGUAUUUCGAUUGAAGCCAUUGCUUGUAUCUAAAACGGUUCUUGGAUAAGAUUUGUAUCUCGAAGUGUUUCCGCAUCAUUUUCUGUUGAAGAUUCUAAACGUUGAUCAGUGACGUUGUCAACGUCGUCUUCAGUAGGGUCUUGUUCUGGUUUAGCAUACAUAUUCCUCUUAUCCAUCUUCUGAACAACUUUCCAACCUCUUCCGGCUUUAGGGUCAUCUAGAUACACAAUCUGUUUUGCCAUGUUUGCCAAAAUGUAAGGGUUGUCAUCGUACCAAGUCCUGUUAGUGUUCACAAAUAGUAAGCCAUGGUUGAUUUUAACACUUCCCUACCUAUUUGGGUUUGUAUCAAACCAUCGACACUUAAACAUGAUCACUAGGCAUCGGUCUUUGUAAAGAAAUUGCACGACACUUGUUAGUUUGCCAUAGAAAUCAAUGUCCUUACUUUCGCCUCCACUUGGGACAUGGACACCACUAUUUUGCAUACACAACUUGUCAUCUCGUGCAGCCCCUAAAAACUUGACACCGUUAACAUGGUAACCCGAGAACAAAUCAGUGCGAAUCGGUCCGAACUCCAAGUUAUAUAACUCUUCACUGUAAGUGGCGGAUUUCGAUGCUUUCAAUUUAUUCACCUAACAUUAUACAAAAACAUACAACUAUUAGUUUGAGAAAAUUAAAUACUACAAUAUAUAUGUCAAAUACAAAACACUUAUAACUUACAUAUUUGAGAAACCACUGUGGAAACAAUUCACGGUGUUUCUUGGCAUACAAAUGUGAUGGAUGUUUUCACUUCAUCAUCUCUUCAUGCUCAUCUAGGUAUGCCAUUGUCUUGUCACAAUUGUUCAGUACGAACCAAUGUGCUACCUCUAUGUCAUUUUUGGAAAAUGACUCGCCUCGUACAAGAUCUCCAAAGGGUUAUGCGCAUUGGGCAAAAACAGAAAGUUUCUCCUUUCUCACACCCUCAUCAUUCUGGCGCUGAGAAUGAUUGAAAGUCGUCUCCACAUCUUUUAAAUACAUUCCACAAAAUGUUAGCGACUCAUAUUGAACCCAAGCCUCUAUAAUGGAUCCUUCGAGCUUCGCCCUGUUGCGUACACUUUUUUUUAACUCCCCGAGAAGCCUGCCAAAAUAAAACAAUACGAUACAAAUUAGUAAGCGUCAGUUAAUGAUGAAUAAACAAAUGAUGCGUAUUAUAUACUUUUCUAUUAGAUACAUCCAACGAUAGUUGACAGGACCAUCAAGCAAUGCCUCUUCUGGCAAGUGAACCAUUACGUGGAUCAUCCUUAUGAAGAAAGCUGAAGGAAAUAUCAUCUCAAACUUUCAUAGGACUUGGAUAAUGUCAUGGCGCAACUGAUUAACGUUUGUUUUUAGGAACGUUAUUGCCGUCAGUUGGGAAAAAAUUUGGACAACAACACUACAUCUUCUGGCAAUAAGUGUCGAAUACCCACAAGAAGUAGGCGUUGCAUAACCACACGGCAGUUAUGACUCUUAAGUCCAACAAAGUUACCCCUGUCAACAUUCACGCAACAAGAAAUAUUAGAACCAUACCCAUUGGGAAACUUUACAGAGGAUAAAAAUUUUAAUAACUUUUUUUUGUCAGUUGGUUUCAUGGAAAAAAAUGAAGAUCCUUUCUAGGUUUAUCAGUGUCCCUAUUCAUCCAUAAUCCCCUCUGUAUUCCCAUUCUUUCCGAAUCAAGAAGAGCUUUGAUCGUGUCCUUUGUCUUGCCCUUGAUAUCUAGAAUAGUGCCCACCAAUGUGUCAAAUACAAUUUUCUCAACAUGCAUAAUGUCGUGGUUGUGUCUCAAUUUUAGUUUCGACCAAUAUGGAAGCUAAAAAAACAUAGACUUGUGCGUCCAGUUCAUAUGUGUAGAAGGUUUAGUCUUACUCACUAUUUUCCUGAAUGGAGCAAAAUUCAAACGAUUAAGCUGUUCCAAAAUUAGAUCACCAUUAUUUUCUAGGUCUGAGGCAAUGCUCUGUUUUCCAGUCGAACUCUUUAUCAUUUUCCUGCCACUCGUGGUCCUAUGGAAACCAUCUUCGAUGACCAAAGGAACAAAAUUUUCCGACGUGCCAACAAGAUGUUACAUCAUCCUUGCAUACAGAGCAUGCCAUAUAACCCCUACUGAUCCACCUAGAAACCAUUGCAUAUGUGGAAAAAUCGUUCACAGGCCACAUAAUUGCUGCCGGUAAAGUGAACAUCUUCCCAGUACACUUAUCGUACGUGCGCACACUGUUUGUCCAUAAAUUCUUUAGCUCAUCAAUCAACGGCCUUAAGUAAACAUCGAUUGACCUACUAGGAUCUUCAGUUAUCAAAAGAGUCAUCGUCAUGUAUUCCUUUUUCAUGCAUUUCCAAGGUUGCAAAUUAUAUGGAAAUACGAAAAUCGAUCAAGUGCUAUGGUGUUGGUUUAGAACCCCGAACGGAUUGAAUCCGUUAGUGGCAAGUCCCAAUCUAACAUUCCAGGAAUCAGCAUUAAACUCUGGGAAUGUUUGAUCAAACUCUGGGAAUGUUUGAUCAAACUCUUUCCAUGCCUCCUCAUCUGCAGGAUGCCUCAACAUAUCGUCAUCUACCCGUUUUUCCUUAUGCCAUCUCAUGUCGGUGGCAGUAUGCGUCAACAUAUACAAUUGCUACAACCUAGGUUUCAAAGGCAGAUAACACAUGACUUUUUGUGGGAUCUUAGUCGUUUUAUUCUGAGAUGUCAUUUUGAACCUCAACUCAUUCUAUAUAGGGCAUUUAUCCAAUGCUUUAUUCUCUUUGUAUAAUUAAAUAUAAUUGUUUUUACAAGUGUGAAUUUUUUCAUAACCCAAUCCUAGAUCAUUCAACACCUUUUGCAUAUGUCUAUGAUAUUUCGGCAAACUAUUGUCCUUUGGAAGCAUUCUCUUGAAAACCACCAAAAACACUAGUUCGACAUACGAUACUUUAUUUUUCCAUGCAUUAGUUCCACAAUGGCUAUGAGAAUCGAAAGGUUGUCGCACCCUGGAUAUAACUCUUGGUUGGCAUUUUUUAAUAGUUUUUCAUAUCGUUCAAACUCUGCACUAUCCAUUGGUAUAGGAACAUCAUCUUCCCCUUCCUAAUUGGUGUUUGUCGAUGCAAAUGGAAAAGCAUCAUUUAUAAUAUCCAUGACUUGUUCAUUAGGAUCCACAUUAGGCUCAACAUUGCCCACUCUUGUGGCAUUUGAGGACGAAGCAUUGUCUAAUUGUUCCCCAUGAUGGUUCCAAGGAUUAUAGGUCUCAACCAUUCCAUUCAUUACUAAAUGAAAUCAAACAUUUUCAUUUGUGUCCCUUAAUGUGUUGUUACACCUCCUACAAGGACACCAGAUUCUAGUUGCACCUGGGUUGUGUGUAUGUGCAAAGUCAAUAAAAUCCUUGAUUCCAUCCAAGUUUUCAUCUGCGCAUCUAUUCAGGUUUUGUAUCCACCUUCUAUCCAUAAUUCCUGCAACCACAAUAAUAAUACAAUAAUAACAACUUCAUACAAAUGAUAUUGUCACCUUAUACCUCUGGUAAGGGCCCUAUCCCAUUCGAGAAUGUAAAAUUAUGUCACAUAAUUUACGGCUACAUCAGAUUAGAUUUCGACGUGAAGGAAUUUCAGCAGCAUCUCGGUACAAUUCUUUAGUUGGAAGAUGUAGUUAUGAAAUACCUAUGUGCCACCCAAAGAACGUACAAAGAUGACACUGAAAUCCCUACAACCGAAACCUAAUCCUUCAACCAUAAACUACGCGCCAUAAUUGUGUACUCCCAAAUUGUCCAAAUAAUGGGACAAUUCAAGAAUCAAUUGGAUCGCAGUCAUGCUUUGACAACCAUGUGCGAAAUCCAACUAAUCCUCAAACAGGAAACUAUGUUUUACUAAAAAAAAACACAAGUACAAAGUUAAUUACAAUUAACUCCGUACACAACAACACAUAUUUGUACAUCAUGUACAAAUUUAACAACAUAAUAUAAAUAUAAUUUCACAACAUAAUAUAAACAUAACAACAUAAUUUAAAUAAUUUUAUAUUCUUUAAAAAUAAAACAAAGAAAAUACCUUCUAAAUCAUUCUCCACCAAUCGCUAAUCACACACAAUAUCCCUAUAGACAACGAAUUUCAUGGUGUUCGUAUGAAUUUAAAUUAAUACUUUUACCAUUGUUUGUACCAUACUUGACCAACCCCGAAACUACUAAGCACUAGUCAACAUUAUACCGCCAAGGACUCAUAAGAGUCUCCCUCCAACCAGGAGGCCAAUCACAACGCGACAUAUGUCAACAUCAGAGGCCAAUCAUAACGCGACAUAUGUCGACAUCAGAGGCCAAUCAUAGCACGACACGUGUCAAUGUCAGAAUGAAACUAGAAACUCUCUUCUAUAAAUAGAGAUCAUUCUCUCACAAUAUUUCCUAAUGUCAUUUAUACUAAAUCAUUCACUAGUACUCACUAAAGGAGAGCCUGAACCUAUGUACUUGUGUAAACCCUUCACAAUUAAUGAGAACUCUUCUACUCCGUGGACGUAGCCAAUCUCGGUGAACAACGUACAUCUUGUGUUUGCUUCCCUAUCUCUAUCAAUUUGCAUACUUAUCCCCACUAGUGACCUGGCCAAUCUAGCGAAGGUCACAAACUUAACACUUUAUGUUGUACCAAAGUAUUCACUGAUUUUGUGCAUCAACAACCAUAAAAAUAAAAAAAAAUAAAAAAAUAAAAAAAACGCUUACUAGACACACCGAGAUAGCUCGAUCAACCUAGAGAAGAAGAUGGAGGGAAUAUUAGAUGAUAAAAUUGAGAUAAAAUGGAAAUGACGGAUGCCGGAUUGAAGAAAAACAAAGGGAAACAGGUGGAGAGGCUGAAUUUGUAGUUUUACUACAGUUUUCUACCUUUGCAACUGAAACCACCUUAUAAAGAUUACUUUGGACGACUCAUUUUGCGCGACGAAUAUGAUGUUCGUCGCACAAAGCAGUUUGCACAACUAAGGCAUAUAUUCGUUGCGCAAGUUUACAUUUUUUUUUUCGUUUGCUUUAUAAUUUAUUAAUGUAAUCAAGUUACGCGACGAAUACUAUUUUGGUCGUGCAACAUAUUUUUAAUUUUUUUUUCAUUUAUUUCCAUUUUCUUUUUAACUAAUGUACAUUUUUAUUUUAAUCUAAAUAAAAAACUCAAACCUAACUAAACAUUACCAAAAUAAUUAUUAAAACUAAUUUAUUAUCCCAAAUACAUAUUAUAACAAAUGUAAAUUAAUAUUAAUAGUCAUCCAUAUAACAUAAAUUUAUUAAUUAAAGUCAAAUAUAACGUCUAAAAAAUCUUAUUUCAUAAAAAAAAAAAAACAAUUAAACUUCAGUCCUCCUCCUCCGGGGCAUCAGCACCUCGUUCUGCAUCCCGCAACACGUAGAACUUCCACUGCCGAAAAUGUAUCAGUAAUUUAAAAAUACUACUUUUUAACAAAAAUAAUUAUACAUUAUUUAAUACAAACUUACCGAUAACUCCCCCACCAUGGACUUCUUCAACUCCUCUGGCACCUUUUUCCAAGACUUAAACUCGACAGAACAUUGGCUCCACACCGAACCCCCAAUAUCCAACCUAAGUUCGGUGUAUCAGCCCUACUUUUGUCUUCAAAUUAGGGCACUUGCUUACGACGGUACCUCUCUAUUCGCAAUACACCUUUCCUUUCGCGAGAGCCUUAUCUUGAAUCGGUCAUUGCCUUUGAAACAAAACCUUUGAAAACUAGGGUUCUGAAAUUGUGUUUAUAUAGAACCCAUAACACUUUGUGCAAAAUGCGUUAUAAAUACGCACUAAAUGGGAGCGGUUGAAGGGUAUAUAACAAUUUCAGUGAAACUUUGCGUGACGACCACAAGUCUUCGUCGCGCGAAGUAUUCUUUCGCAACGACCACUAGUCUUCAUCACACGAAGUAUUCUUACGCAACGAAUAUUUUCAUCUCAUAAGGUUUUUUCCCCUAUCCUUCCAUUUUUGCACAACGAAUAUAUUUUUUCGUCGCGCAAGUGCCACUUAGGUGAAGAAAAUUGUUUCGUCGCGCAAAAUCUCGUUGCGCAAGUUGUUUUUUCUACUAGUGUAUAUUCAUAUAUAUUUUCAGAAGACUAAAAAUUUAUUAUAUUUGGUUAAAUGAUCAAGAAGUUUAACAAGAAGGGGUGGUUUUUCCUCCAUGAAAUUGAGGAGAUGUCACAGGUUCAAAACCCUAUGUGUGUUUGGGGUUUUUUUUUUUGGUUCCAAAUUUUUUGAAUUUUUUUCCGUAAGAGUAUAAAUUUUCAAAAUAGGUCAUAUGAUCAAGAAGUUUAACUAUAAUUGGUGGUUUCUACUAUUUGAAAUUAAUAGAGAUGUCCUACGUUUGAAAUGCUAUAUGUGUUUAUUUUCUUUCCGGUUUUUACAGAUUUCUGUUUGGUUGUUAAUUUUUUUUUAUCUUGUUCUGGAUUAUAGACCUAUAUUUACUAGUUAGUAGCUAUGUGGGUCACAAUUUUUAUACAUUCAUUCUAAUUCAAGUCUAACCUUCAACAAAGAGUAAUGUUAGGUAUACCAAAUUGUUAGACCAAAUUUGCAAACCAUAUGAUGUGUCAUAAAUACAAAAUAAGCACGAUAAUCAACACUUAAGUAAUAAUCCAAUCAUCAACAACAACAUCAUCAUAUGGUAUACAAAAUUUGAUUUAAAAAUUUGUUCUCGUAGCAUUAGCUUUCAAUAAAUUAAUGUAUGUAUGUCUUUACCAAUACUAGCUUACCAGGUUUUAUUUGGUGCUUAUUCAUUACAUAUACAUAUCAAUUAAAGAUUGGAAAAUAUGAUUAUUUUUUUUAGUCCCAUAUUGACAAGGUUAAUAAGAAAAAGUACCUCACAAUUUAUAUAAAAAUAAUUCAAAAUUCAGACGGAGGGGAAACAAAACACAUCAUCUAUCUAUUUGUACUCCUACUUUUUUUUUUUUGGGUCCCUUAUCUCAAUACAAAAUAGAGAAAAUUGUGGCAAUGGUCGUUCAACUACAAGAUCAUUAGUCCCUUAACUCAUCAAAAUGUGCAACUAUUUUCCUUUUCGUCAACUUUGUCAGAAUUCUGUCAAAUGAAUCAUGUUGGAAGAACCAUUGCUACAGUUGGGUUAAAGUUAAUAGACCAUUACUCCAAUUGGGUUAAAGUUAAGGGAUCAUUUCUUCAGUUAGGUUAAAGUUGAGGGACCAUUGUUACAAUUUUUCUCAUUUGGUUUUCCAUAUUGGCCAUUGAUUCAGCUUCAUGUGUGUGCUAUGACACACGCCAACCCGGAAUGUCCAUUUGGACUCCAAAACGAGCUGCGCUGGCCAACACCAGGAGGGUGACCAAGGCAUAAAGUGUAGUGGUGUGGAAAAUGUGAGUAAAUUUAAACCUAAAAAGUGCCCAAUUGGAAGAGUGCGCUUAUGGGCGGGAAAUGAACCCAUUUCCCACGUGAUGUCACAGCAUAAGUAACACAGUAAAGACAAGAUGAGAAUUAUACCACUGAAGGUAAUCACCAAUAACAAGAUUUGCCAAGGAUCCUCAUCGAUACAAAAGCUCUAUUACUAUAACCUAGAGGGGCAAAAAACAAGGGUGAGUGAGCCUAAAAAGGCUUUUUAGCCAAAAUGGUCCCUGAGAUUUUCAUAACUCCUCACUUUGAUCCUUGAGAUUUGAAAUCAAUAGAAAUAAUCUCUGAGAUUGUCCACCAUUAAUCAUUUUGGUCCUUUGAUGAAAAAUUAUGUUAAGUUAGGAUCAAAAUGACAAAAAUACCCUUAAUUUAAUAAACAAUAGGGCAAAAUGAUUUGACAAAAUUUGUGGGUAUUUUUGUUAUUUUAUUCUUAUUCAAUGGAGAUAUUUCAGAGAAGGACCAAAAUGAUUAAUGGUUGACAAACUUAGGGACCAAUUCUAUUGAUUUCAAAUCUCAAGGACCAAAGUGAGGAGUUAUGCAAAUCUCAGGGACCAAGUGAGGAGUUAUGCAAAUCUCAGGGACCAUAUUGGUUAAUAAGACGCCUAAAAGUAAAACUUUGUAAAACCUUUUUGUAAACAUAGUAACGCCUCAUCGUAAAACAAGUAUAGUUUCCAAAAUAUACAUACUACAUAUAGUAUGAAAAUACUUACCGUAGCCUGCAAUAUCUCAAGAAUUCAAUACAUCACCUUGUUUCGUAAAUAAACACCUAACAUCCGGUAAUCACAGUCUUGCAUAAACAAACAUAUAAUAUCGAGUGCUCAUCAACAUAUGUUGACAUACGAGUUCAUGCAGAGGUAUUCUAACAUGAACAGGAUUAGGUGUAAUAAUGAUUUACACUCUAGUACUAUAAUGACGUGAAGACUGGCGUUAUGCGUAUCACAUACGAGUCCUAAUUGCCCAUAGUAAUCUAGGAUAGGACUGGCACCUACAAUGGAUCCAAAGUGAGCGUGCGAUGUGAACAUACAUGUGAAGUCUGGCCUUGGUCUGGGCGAGUAUUAACACCAGAGUAGCACAUGAUGAGCGGAUAACGUAAAUAAAAUCUUGCAACGGUAAUUCGAUAGUUCACUUUGACAUAAUACUAUUCAUGGCUAUAAAUAGAAUUAAGGCAUCCGCUUAUAGUAAGCUUACCUAUGCAUCCCGUAGGAUUAUUUCAUAAUUUCCCAACAAUAUGACAUUUCAUAUAAACGUUAAUUUAAUUAUGGCAAUCACGUAGGAACUUUGUUAUUAGAUGUGUAUAUGAAAACUAAACAAGUAUAUAUAUACAAUAUAAAGAAAAGACCUACUCACAGAUACUUGCGAAGUCGUAGCUAUUCGAAAAAGGGAAACUGGAGUCUCCGAUAGUUAUCGCACAUAAGCAUAAUAUUGUAAAACUCAACUAAAACGAUUAAAUUUGGGAAAAUGGAGUGCGGAUUUGGAAUCAGGGUGUCGAAAUACGCUAAAAAGGGUCCCGGGCAAAUUUUGUAAUAAGUCAAUAAAAAAGUCAAUCGUCAACCCAAAAAGUGAACCGAGCCGCCCCGACGAUCAACUAUGUUAAGACUUCGGAAUUUCACUAAAUAGAUUUCAAAACGGACUCAGGGUUCUCGAGAAAAAUUUGAAAAAGUGAACGCAAGGAAUAUUCUAGAGAAUAUUUCAAGAAAUAUUCCAAAGAAUAUUCCAAAUCCAUUAGGAAGUGGGCCAGGUCAGAUCCCAGUUUAGGGUUAAUGGGCCACAUGUGUGGUCUGGUUUAAGGAUUUGGUUUGGGGCCUUUUUCUUUAAAUUCGGGUUGGGUCGAUCAGUUUAGGCUCGCGGGUCGUACAACACCCACCGGACCUAGUGAAGGAGAAAGCCAAAAUUUGUGGAGGGAGGCCGAAAAACUUCAAACGCCUAUAACAAGUUCAAAACUCAGCCAUUUUCUAGGAUUCAAAAACCAAAAUGAAGAUUAGAGCAUAAGAAAUAAGAGUCUACCUAAGUGGGGCUGAGUCAUGGUCGGUACUGGCCGAAAAUGGCCUGCAAGCGUCGGAUGGUUUGCCAAAUACUUCCCCGUGGUAUUUCGGCGACCAAACAUCAUAAACUGUCUAAUAAUUGUAGUCUUAACAACAAUCUACGAAGGUUUGGAGUGGUUUUUGAACUUGCCUCGUCGGAGUAAAAUUUAGAACCGUGGGGGUACCAUUAUGCAGAGAACAAGAGGUGUGGUCUGGUUUGUGGAUCUGAUUUCGAUCAAUGGAGUGAAGGUGGUGGUGCGGUCGGGUUCGCCGGAAUGAUGAGAGGUGUGGGGGUCUCAGGAUUGUCGAGAAGUAGAAAGAGCCCAGAGUUCUAGAAAGAGAGAGCUAAGAGGGUUUUAGAGAGAGAGCUGAGAAAGUUUGAGAAGGACAAGAGAAAGAGGCCAGCGAGAGUGAGGGCCCCAUGGGCUAAAAAUAAAUUAUUUAAAUAUUUAAAAGAUCAAAUCAGAAAAUAUUAAAAUACAAAAUGGUAAUUUUUACAAAAGUAUUUUUUGGAUUUGUAGUUCCUUAAAAUCUUCGUCAUAACUCCGAAUUCGAUUUCGCUUGCCCUACAAGUUUGUAUCGUCAAGUACUUCGAGAAUACGAUAAAAUGGUAGCUCGUUCACAUCACGAAUUGACAGUCAACGAAAGUCAAUAAUCUUGCCUCAAGGGGCAUUUUCAUCAAUUCAUUCCUUUAAAAUUUAUAAAAUCGUAAAAUUACGGACGGGUUGUUACAUGCCACAUUACUCAUUUUGACAGAAGUUCUAAUAAAGUUGAUGAAAAAGGCCAUAGCAACACAUUUUGAUGAGUUAAGGGACCGUUGAUCACUAAUUUUUAGUUGAGGGACCAUUACUUCAAUUGAGUUAAAGUUGAAUGACCAUUGCUACAAUUUCCUUUACAAAAUAAAUUGGUUUUUUGUGUUUCUAAACUAUUAAGUUUGAAGUUAUUUUCUAAGUAUAAUUUUAUCAAAGUUUUACUUGUGAAAACAAAUAAUUUUUCUUAUAUAAAGUUAGAACUUUCAUUAACGCGUGACGUGGCGUCCACAUGAACAAUGAUUAGGCGUCACGUGUCAAUAUGGCCCCACAUGUUCAUAAUUUUUUUUUUUAAAUUAAUGGCCCUACAUGGCCCAUCUAAGUUUCUUUAUUUCUUUCAUUUUCCUAGGAAACAAACAGAAAAUAUCCUUAGGAAGUAAACAGAAAAUCUUGACCGAGGUAAAAACUCGACCUUCUCUUUUGGAAAUCUCCAUUAUUUUGAAUAGUCAAAUCCUUAAAAACAGUUCUGAUUCGUUGUCCCUUUUUUCACUAUUUUUUUAAUCUUUGUUUCUCAAAAUUGAAUCGAAUUUUCCAAUUAACCUGUAAACAUGAAAAUUCUAUAACAAAUGAAACGAGAACAUGUGUAGAAAGUAGAUUUGUAUUGAUUUAAAUUUGUAGGUUGCAAUCUCUAUUUACAAUUUUCCUUUGAUUCCGUCUUCAAAUUUGAUGUAAAUGCGUAGGUUGUUGAUCUAAGGGUUGCGAUGACUUGAUCUUGGAUGAACGAUUGAACGAUUGUUUCAAGUUUUGAGCUUGAAACAAUGCUUGGAUGGUCUUUACCUCAAAGCUGCAGCAAAGGUAGUGUUGAUGUAGGAUUUCGUUGAUUCAAGGUCUUGGUGACUUGAUCUUGAAACAAACGUCGUUACAAGUUUUGAGCUUGCAACACAGUCUUGAAGGAAUCGGCACAAGUGCUUGUUGAUUUUUUAAGGGAAUGCUUCGGCUUUGGUUGAAAGAAAGCUUCGGCUUUGGUUGUGCAUUCUUUGAAGAGAGCUUUUGGCAGUGUAUUAGUCUUCAAAGAUUUGGCAGAGGUUCUCCUUUUGUGAGAAUUUACGCCUUUCAAUGUAGAAAUUGUCGACCUUUAUGCUUGUUUGAGGACCUUGUAUUUAUAGACUUCCAAAGCCAUGCCUUUGGAUGGAUUUGGCUUUGGUUUGUGUCUUGAUUCAUCCAUAGGAGAAUUUAGGCAUGUUUUGUGUCUUAAUUUUAGUCACCUUCCCUUACCUUGGCCGAAUUAUAGGGCACCUAUUUUGCUAGCAAUCUUCAAUUCUGACUUGUUUUGUGAAGAUGCUUUAGCUUUCUUUCCAGUUUUGGGAGCAAUUUGGACCCCUUGCCAAUUUUAAGAGGGAUUUUCUCCCUUUUGCCAACUUUUGGAAAGGUUUUGUACUUCCUUUGCUUGAUUUGUGCCACAUGUCUUUGAUGACUUGUCCAUUUGUGAUGAGUCAUAUGUCACGUGGAGCUUUGUGAUGCAUCAUUUAUAUGCAAUGAAAUUUACAUGUCUACUGGAGAAAACGAACCGAAUUGAAAUCUUUUGGUUAGGUUUUGGUUUCAAGGGUUCAGAAACCGAACCGAACCGAAUUAUUAUAUAUUUAUUUUUUAUUUUUUAAGCCCAAUUCCCACCCCAAUUCCAACCCCAAUCUCCAAGCCUAAUUCCAACCCAAUUUAUAAGCCCAAUUAUAAACCCUAGCACUGCCCAUUUGUUUUGCUCAAAGAGCCGCAUGCCUUCCUUUAUCCUCCUCUCCAUCUUUCUUUCUUUCUUUUUUUGUCCCUCUUUCUUCUUCUUUUCUUUGUCCCUCUUUCUUCUUCUUUUUUUUGUCCUUAGACCUCAGCCACAUCGUCUUCUCUCCCUUUUCUUUCAUUUUUUUUUUCCUUUUCCCUAGACCCCACAUCUUCUUUCUUCUUAUCCCAAUUUUGAAUCUCACCCACCAACUCUAUCCUCCCCAGAAUUCCAAAGCUCUAUUUCUACACUUCUUGCUUGAUCUCUAGCAGAUUAACUCCGUAUGUAGCUCCCGACGCCUCCACCAUGGCCGAGUCUACCAAGCACGCCAUAGCCGAUUCCACCAAGCGGUGCCUCGCAAAUUUAUUCAAAAAUUUAUAUGUGGAAUUUGAAUUUAGAUUUCUCAAAUUUUCAUAUCAGUUUAGGCCUUCCUAAUAAAAAAUUAUGCAUGCAUGCUUAGAUUUGUGGAAAAUUAAAUUUCAGGGACUUGUGGUUUGGUUGAUUAGAUAGAGAUACACUUGUUUAUGAAAGAUUUUCGUGAUAUGAAAAUUAGCAUUCUAAAACUUAGAUGAAAUUCAAAUUUUGGACUUUUUCGAUGAUUGAAUUUGAAAAUUUGUUUAUUUAAUGAUAGGGUCAGUUUGUUGAUUUUGUUCUGCAAUCCAUGUAUUUGGAAACAAAUUGAUUUAUUCUUCAACCUAAAAAAGUUGCAAAAGGGAAAAAAAAAAAAAAAAAAAAACCGAGCCGGAUAAAACCGAAACUGAAGUUGAACCAAACCGAAAAAACAGAAAGGAAACUGAACCGAAUAGUAAUUUCUGUUUGGUUUCUGAUUUCAGCCAAAAAUUGAACCGAAUGGAACCAAACCCACCCCUAGUUUGAGUUACUUCAUCCGGAGAGAUAAUGUAGGUAAUAAUUUAAUUUCAUUAAUUUCAUCUGGAUCUAUUCAAUCUGGACGCUUCAUGUGCCAACACAAUGAACAAAUGUGGUCUUGUCUUUCAAUAGUAUGAUUCUAUGUAGUCCUACUCCACUGUGAUAAUUUUAUGUGUUUUCAUUUUUCUAGGAUGACCAAUGUGAUUGUUGGUAUAAGUCUGCAAUGUCUAUUGUUUUGUUAUGAAUAUGUAUUGGUGGUGUUUAAUAAGUUUGUACUUGUGUGGUAGCCUUAUAAGGGUUUACUAUAGUUUGUUUGAUUGUGCAAAUUCACUUCAGAUCAAUUACUUAAUCAUUAGAGUUGUGAGCCUGAUUGGCACCAUUUCAAUUGUUUGUGAUGUUCAAUGAAAACUAUUCUCUCUCUUCUUGUAAAAAAAAAAUAAUAGGGGAGGACCUCUUCUUGAGAAAUACUAGCAACCUCCUCACUUACUUUUUUUAUUUCAAUUUUGGGUGCAUUUUUGCUCACCCACACUAACUCUAGGGUAUACUUGAUAAGUCUAAAUCAUAGUAUAACUUUAGAGCAUGUGCACAAAGAAUCCCCUCAAACUCAAACUUUUUGCAACUACACAAAACUAUUUGAUUUGCAAGGUCAUAUAUAAGUGUUCUAUUAAUUCCUCAUUUUCCUGAGUUCAUUACUGUGUAUGUACGUGUUAGCCCAUCAUCACUUUCUAAUUUCAGUGGCCUCAAAUUUAAAACUUUCUUAACCUCCUCUUGGAAAUAAUAAAAAAUCUUACUUGUAUACUGCUUUGAUGCUUCAAUCUCCACAUUCCAAUUAGAAUACAAACUACGCCAUUUCUGUUUAGUUGCAUUUUCUGCUUGCCUUCCCUUUUCUUUUCGAUCCGCCAUUGCUCUAUCAUAUGGGAUGACGAACUCUUGUAGAAGGAGGUUUCGAGCAAAAUACUUUUUCAAAAACUUGUUCAUGCUUUCAAUUCUUUGUGUUGUUGUCAUACCUAAGAAAAAAAUGGAAAUUGAUCACAGUAUAGUGAAAAAAGAAACUUGUGAAUAAUAUAUAUAAAUAAUAUAAUAGGAAUUGAUCAAGAGUAAUACCUGCACAAAAAUGGUCUCGACCAUAAACUUGUGCCCAUUUCUCACGUAAUAGAUAUAUCCCUUCUAGCCAAUCAUUUCCUCUCAAUUCAUAAUCAUCAAGUAAUUUAUCCCAAUUUGAUUCAAAUUCUUCAAUAGUCUCCGGAUCAUAUAUGCAUCUUUUGAAAUCCUGUGUAAAUGAUUUAAACUCACUGAAAACAUGAUUCAAGUUCCUUGCAGCAUCUGAUAUCUGUGCCACAAACAAAGUUGGUGGUGGCAAUUAGGAAAUAUUUCACUAAUCGCAGCAUCGAUUGAUUGGGCUUGAUCUGUAAAUAUGGUUCCUGGUGUUUUUCCAUCCAUUGGUUGUAAAAAGGCCUUGAAAAGCCACUCACAUGCAUCUGUUAUCUCUCCAUCUACCAAACCACAUCCGAAAAGUAUGGUUUGACCAUGAUUAUUGAUACCAACUAUUGGGGCACACACCAUAUUAUAUCUAUUCGUUUUAAAUGUCGUAUCAAAACACACAACAUCACCAAAUAUAGUAUAAUCGCGCCUCGAAUUUCCAUCACAGAAAAAACAACUACUUAUUUCAUUCUCCUCGUUUGUUCGAAGAGAAUAAAAAAAUGAAUUGUCUUCAGAUUGCUUUUUCUUAAAAUAUUCAAGCAAACAUUCUAAGUCGCCCUUUUUAAGAAUCCUAAUGCGCUUUCUCAUUAUCAAAUUGUUACAAUCAGACUGAAUAAAAUUAGUUUUUGAGACCCUCCUACUUCUAUGGUAAAGUAUGAGAAGAUUUGAGAUGGCUGUAGUCCUGCAGAAUGCAUUUGAUCUAUCAAUUUUGCUUGAGAAGACUCUAUUAAUCAUUGUGACCUUAAUAAAUGGGAACUUGAUGCCGGAACAACAACAUGACUAUGUUCAACAACAAAAUUUGUCACAACAAACUUCCUUUCUAAAUUAAGUUUGAUUUCAAGCAUCGCCUUGCAGCCACAUCUUGUUUCUUCUCUUUUCUUCUUUGGAGUUCUUUUUUUUUUUUUAUAAAAACCUUCACAAGAACAACAAAAUUGUUUUUUCUUUAGCACACCUGACCUGUCCUUAUUUUCUCUAUUCUUUCUCACGCUAAAUCCAACCCUUCUAGCAUAUGCAUUGUAGUAAUUAUAUGCAUCGUCCUCAUUAUCAAAAGUCAUCCCAAGAGAAAUAUCACCAACUUGCUUGUAAAUUCUCCUUUUUCUUCAUUUUGAUCCAAGACUUCAAAGGUUUCGAAAUCUAAAUCUGAAUCUAAGUGUAUACAAUCAACUGCUUCUUUGGCAUCACUAGAAGAUGGAGUAUGAAACUCAUAAUCUCGAUGUUCCAUCUGUAUAAGUACCAAAUUACUUAAUAUUCAAUUAAAUUAACAUCCUAUAAUAAUCCUAAAAAGCAUAUAUAUUAACACCCUAUAAUAAUCAUAAAAAGCAUAUAUUUUGACACUCUAUAAUAAUCCUAAGAAAAGCAUAUAUAUUUAUAUAUUGAUAUCCUAUAAUCCAUGAUGGAACAUAAUUUAAAGUAUGUAUGAUGAAGAUGAAGAUGUAGACUCUGGGCAGUACUAUCCCGUUCGGUUACACCACCACUGCCUCAUCCUCAACACGAAAUGGGUGUUCAAUGCCCAUCCUUACCUAUAAUAGUCCUAAAAAGCAAAUAAAUGGGAAUUGCAUACCUUUUUCUAGUCGGAAAAAAAAUUGCAGAUGGAAAACCCAGAAGAUAGGUAGCAGAUGGAAAAACCAAAUACGUAGCAGAUGGAAAAGCAUAGCAGAUGGAAAAUCCAGAUAUGCAUGCAAGGUUGAAUUGGUAUGUAUUCAAAAAGGAGAGAAGAUUGAGUCGGUUUGUAUUCAAAAAGGAAGUUUAAAGUUUUAAUAAAAUAUUUAAAAAGAAAGGAUAUAUAUGGAAGUAAAUAAGUACAAAUUGGAUUCUCUCACCUAUUAAUUAAAGUAAAAAUAAAAUAAAAAUAAGGCUUAACUAGAGUUAGUAUGGAUUACACAUGGCAAGCAUUGAGAGGGGUGGUGAGCAUACCCUAGAGUUAGUGUAGGUGAGCAAAAAUGCACCCUUCAAUUUUUUUAGUUCUUCUCAUGUCACUUGUACUUCAUUAAAACUAAAAACUAAAAUUUAUAACUAUAUUAAAAUUGCACUAUUUUUCUUCCUUUGUUAGUAUAACUGAAAAUUUAAUUUGUCAACCAAGAAGGAAUUAAAUUGUUAGUUUUACAUGCUAGUGAAAUAUACAUGGCAUGAGUAGAAGUGAGAAUGUUAAAAUGAAAAUGUUGCUAGCACUCCCCUUGGCAUGCACCAUCACAACACAUGCCAUUUUGUUGUAAGGAAGAAAUUUCCACUCGAAUUCUAAUCAAAUUAUUCUCAAACUUGUUACAAUUAUUUAAUUAACAAACCAUCACUCCUAAGUGAUGUUUGAUUGUUAGAAUGGAAAUAAGAGUAAAAAUAAAAAAGAUAUUAAGUGAGAGGAUUUGCAAAUUGACGUUGAGGGUCUACUGUGGUGAUGAGUGGCCACUGUUUCACAAUCUUGAAGGUCCUCGACGAGUUCGAGAUAUGGAAGAGCUUAAUAAAGAACAUAAAAAAAGGUUUUUGAAUUAGCUUUCAAAGUAGAGCAUGAGAAGGCGACUAUCAAAAUAUUAAGCAUUGCUUCCGCCUCAACAUCCCAUGUGUUACCUAAAGGUGCUGGAGACUAUGAAAAGUGUCCUCGCACCAAGUGCUCCCACACUGAUGGUAUGGUCCUCUCAAUGCGGUUCUCUUUGCUGAAUAAUACGUGUACUAUUUCCCACCAUUUAUGCCAAUUAGGGUAUCUAGAGCAUGAAGUGCUCUGCUAUUUCUUUUGUUUGUCCGGUGUCUUGUCACACAAUGGGCAUCAAUUAUCACUCUGUCGCUAAAGUGAUGCCCACACAAAUGCGUGUUUUCUCAAGCAUCCUAACAAUGUGAUGUUCACUUUUUAAUUAUUGUUAAUUAUGUGAUGCUCCACAACUUAGCCACCGUCAGUUUUGAGAGAUUUUUCAGUGUAAUCGGUACACAGUGUGGUACACUACGUGUCAUUGUAUAAAUGAUUGGAUAUGUGAUGAAAAGUUAAUAACUUAAAAAAAUAAAUUUCCCACCACAUAUAUAAAAACACAUGAUGUAUCAUCCGUAUUCCAGUCACGAUAAAAAUUUUGUCCACCAGUUAUAGGUGCAUGGUUUCUUUCACGUAAUCACCAUCGUUACAUCACAACUAUGUCCAAAUCAAUGAGUACUAGUCAACAAGUAUAGGCUAAUGAUAAUAUUUUUCUUUAUUUGUAAGUGAAAAACUCGACUCUCAUUAAUCACAUGUUCGAUACCAUCUUACUUGGGAGGUUUUUCCCACAAGUUUCAUUCUCUUGAUGGUUUCGGAUUUGAGUUUUGUGGCAUGAUGGAGAUGGGUGGAACCUUCUUGAUUUCCGAUUUGGAGGCUUCAUUUGGGUGGAUUGCGGUGCUUACAAGAGGUGAUAGUUCGUGGUCGGCAAUGUUGAUGGCGGCUAUGUACUAAGGGUUUUUUUUGCUUUUGUUUCGUUUGUUCUGGCUCAAUCUUUUGGUUGGGCUUGUUGUUGUAGGAUUCAUAUCUUAGUUUUGAGAUUUAUUUGUAAUUGGAUCCUAGUUUGUAAAUGUUUUCUGUUUUGGUAUUGAAAAUUUACCUUUGGACCAAAAAAAAAAAAGUCGGUACGCGUACGGUUGAUCCUUUCAAGAGUGUUCCCAUGGAGAAAUGUAGGUUUAUUCAAAAACAUGUAAUUCAAUCCAAAGGUAUAUCUUAUCUUAUCCUUACUUUACCCCUAAUUAUCGUCCAUUUUUUCUUUAACUUCUAUAUUUGUUCUUUCGUUGUACGUUGUCCAGAUUGAUAACAAAUUUUUCAAUAUUUUUCGAAACUUAUAUUUUUCCAAAUUUUCUCGUUGCUUCUGGGCAAGUGUGGACAUCAAAUUGAGCUCACUUUGUGCGAGAACUUGAAAAUUUCUUGCUUCAAGCGAGGAAAAUAAGCUAAAUGUCGUGUUGCAUGAUGCCAAGCUAUGAUGAGCAGACCUCAUACGCUUAGUUGAAAGCCGAGCUAACCAAACCGCAAAAUUUCUUUAAUCAAUAAAAUCAUAAAUGUUGUGUUACAUGAUGCCGGUGAAAACAAAAUUUUAGAAGAUAUGGCUUUAAUUUUCAUGACAUGAUUUCUUAAAAAACACAUGCGCAUUAAUAAACGAAAGAACAAAGGUUUCCAGGGGACCGCACAAACUCUGCAAAAGCUGGUAGAGUUUGAACCAACUUUGGUCCACGUUCCACACAUUGUUUUACUGUUGACAUGAUUCCUUAACAGAUGCAUGUGAAGCACGAGGGAAUCAGAUCGUCUAUCUGCUUUCAACAAUUGGACCAAAUUUAAUCACCACAAGGGAAAAGCUUCUCUCUACAUCUUUCUCGCUCCUUCAUAUUUAUUAAUUUAUACUUUUAAUUUUAAAGUGCUGAAUUCCAAAACCAAAUUGACAAAUUGUAUAUAUGUGCAGUGCGGAGAGCAGUAAAUGUUAAAAGAUAUUAUUUGUCUCGCUUAAUUGAUUAUGUUGGGUGCUUGCCAGUUCAUGUAUGAACUGUUGAUGCUACAGCUUAUUUAACGCGCAAAGCACUAAUUAAUCUUUCUCAUAUUUUACGUGUUCGUUUGAGUUUUGUUUGGACAAACAAUAGUAAUAUGUGCCAUAUUCAUUCAGGGUAAGUACAUUUCACAGGAAGCUCACUACAAGUAAAAUGAUUUUUAAUGACAUAUAUUAGUGGCGUUUAACCCAAAAACGUCAUUAGAAUGUACAAAUAUGACGUUUUUGAUAUCCGUGUCCUGAAAAAUAUAUACGAUGGCGUUGAUUGUAAUGAAAAGUUGAUUUUAAGGAAACUAUGGUUCAUUUCAUCAAAUAGGAUAUCAUCCAUUGAUAAGGUGUGCCUCGCUAGAUCAUGACCAACAACAAAAAUAGUUCGCCAACCGACUCAUGGAUGAGUUCUGCGAGAAAUACAAGUUCAAGCAGCACAAGUCUUCCAUGUAUCAUACUUCAGCCAAUGGUCUUGUGGAAGCAUUCAACAAAAUGCUGUGCAACCCCCUAAAGAGGUGAUCGGCCGAACAAAGAGAGACUGGCACAAAAGGAUAAGUUACGCCUUAUUAUCUCAUAUAUGCCGUGGAAGCUGUUUUGUCACUCGAAAUUGAAAUCCCCUCACUAAGGAUGGCUAUACAAGAAGGCUUGACUGAAGAGGAAAAUGCAAAGCUACGACUUCAAGAGUUGGAAACACUCAACAAAAGAAGGCUCGAAGCUCAACAACACUUCGAAUGCUACCAAGCACGACUAUCCAAGGCAUUCAACAAGAAGGUCCGCCCAAGAUUUUUCUAAACUGGAGAUCUUGUCUUGGUAUUACAAAUGCUUAUCACCAUAACUCAAAAGACAAAAAGCAAGUUCACGUCAAAGUUGGAUGGACUUUACGUAAUACAAGAGGUCUACACCAAUGGUGCCUACUUAAUCAUGGCGAAGGACGGCUUAAAGAUUGGCCCUAUCAAUGGCGGAUUCUUGAAGCGUUAUUACCUUUAAACCAAACAAACAAAGCUCCUCGCCUGCAUGAGCCUAAACUGUAUGGCACAAUGCUCCUUGUUCGCACGAGCUUAAAAGGCGACACUUAAUGCUCCUUAUUCGCACGAGCUUAAAAGGCACACGAGCUUAAAAGGCGACACUCAAUGCUCCUGGCCUGCAAGAGCAUAAACUGUGUACGGCAAAAUUACCAUCAAAACCGUCAAAACCAUCAAAGCAACCCAUCACUUCUUUAAACUACGUCAUGACUUGAUCCCUCCUCAACCGAGGGUACGUAGGCAACUUGAAGUUUCAAAACUUCAAGUACAGUCACAUCAUCAACAAAAACAUAAACACUUUGAAGAAUAAAGAGCAAAUUCAAGAAUGUGAAUACUAUAUUUCUUUAAAGGAAGAAUUCGACUACAAAGCCGUAUUACAGAAUUAGCAAAAAACAAAGACGGCUUCUCUAGUAGUCGACAAAGUACUAUUCCAAGUCGUAGUUCUGCUACGAACGCAAUCUCCAAGAAGCUCAAAUGAAGCCAGUGAAUUGUCACAAGCAUGGUGCAAAGAAUUCAAGAUAAGAAUCCUCGACGUACACUCCUUCUUCUUCGUAUUUGUUCGACCAAAAUUAGUCACCUCCUAAGAUAUGUCAGAAGACCACGACUUGAUAUCUAUCAAGUUGUCUUUUGCAGGAAGAACAAGCGUCUUAGGGCCAGUCAACGGCAUGUAAAAGCUUGAACGUCAUCCCCCUAUCUUGCGUUUGCCUUCUUUCGCAAGAACAGUGAUGGCAUUGCUUUUAAAGCACUUGAAAAUUACCAUUGCUGCAAGAAAAUAAAUAAAGCAACAUAAGCACAAAAGUGAGGUGGCAAAGAAAGAAAAAAUUAUUUCACUAAAGCAAAAGACAUGCGAGACAAACCUCGUGAACAUUGAAGCAUAACGAUGACCACAUCACAACGACACGAGGAAAUCAGCCACGAAGCUUAAUCAAGCACGGCAAAGAGGGCAGCUACAAGAUGGCCCUUCAAGGCACACUAUUGUAGCAAAGAAAACCAAAACGCCAUGUAAUCGCACUAUGUAAACUCGCAGCGAUUACGCAAGCAGUUUCUUGCACUACAUGGCAACAUCACCACCAGGGACAACUGUGACCAAAAGGCACUACACAACAUAUACUUGCUACAAUCUUUUGCACAGCUCCACACUGUAAAAGUGAUGCACUGCAACAAGCUUCAAGCAACUACAACUCACACCAAACAAUAGUAAAAAAGGCACGAUAGCAGCAGCAACAUAUGUGCACGGCAACGUCACUACCUAGGGAAUACUGUGACCAAAAGGCACUACACAGCAUAAACACGCUGCAAUCUUUUGCACAACACCACAUGGUAAACAAUGACGCACUGCAACAAGCUUCAAGUAGCAGUAACAAGCAAAACCUACGGCAAAAGCUCCAAGCAAGCCCAUGGCAAGAAUUGUGUGUUGUGAAAAAAAAAACACAACCAAUUAUCCUAUAAAUAGGGGUCAAUUUCUUCCUAAUGCUAUAAGGGAAAUACAUACCCAAAUAGCAAAAGAAAAAUCAAAACAAGGAAGCACAUUCCAACCAAAAGAAGGAAGCAAACUCCAAAAAAUGCCAAGUUUUAGCCAAGCAGGACGUUUUUGGUGAUAAUUCAACUUUCCAAAGGGGUUUUGAUGCAAGGCAAAUUGGAGAAGGAAGCUAAGUGGCUAAGGAUCAUCGUAUCUAAAUUUCAUAAUUUUCCCUGAAGCCAAACGUUCCAGUUUUCAAAGUUAUUCCCGCAGAAGUUGUUUUCAAGUCAGGAUUGCGAACUGUAGGAAAAUGCAAAUUUGAAGGCUUUCACGAUUUUUCCUAAUGGCAUACGACAUAUGCCUGAACAAAUAAGGGAUAAGGCUACGUUUCACAUAUUUUUUAGAAUUUUCUAGAAGAGAAAUCAACAUCAAACUGGGCAUGCAUGUCAGAUGACAUGUUUCCCAAAACAAAAAAGGGGAAAGGAAAAAUACCUCCUUGCCGUGGGGAAUCAUAAGAAAAAAUAAAAUACCCCUCCUUGCUAUAGGAAAUCAAAAAGGGAAAGAAAAACUCCUUUCUUGCCAUGGGAAUAAAAAAGAGGAAAGAAAGUUGUCCUUCUUCCAUGGAAAUCAAAACAAGAAACAAACAAAUCUCCUUCUUGCUGUGUGGAAUCAAAAGGGGAAAGGACAAAACACCCUCCUUGCUGCAGGAAAUCAGAAGGAGAAAGAAAAAAAACACCUCCUUGCCGUGGGAAAAGAAAAAAAAAAGGAAAGUGAAAAAAAUGCACAUCCUACAUACCUUUCCAAAACCAUGAAGGAAGUCACAAAAGUUUUCCAACACUUUGAAGGAAGUCAUUCUCGUUACCAAAAUUGAAGAGGAUUCCAACCACAAGGAAAAACAUUUGUUUCCUACGACCACAAGGAAAAAACAUUUGUUUCCCACACCCACAACAAAAGGAAUACACCAAAUGUAUUUUAUCAAAAAAAUUAUGGAAAAUCAAUACGCACAAUAAGUAUGUGCCGAUUUAUCCAUUUCCAAAAUUUCUUUCAAGAUCAAGCCUCUAUGGUCCUUGAAGAAAAAAAAUAAAAUUUCUUUCAAGAUCAAGCCUUUACAGCCCUUGAAGAAAUGUGUCUUUCAAGAUCAAGCCUCUACGGCCUUUGAAGAAAAAAAAAUUCAUUUUUUUCAAGAUCAACCCUCUACGGCCCUUAAAGAAAACUUUCAUUUCAACUCAAGACCAAGCAUCAACGGCCUUUGAAGAAAUGUUUCGUUCAAGAAAUAUGCCUCAAUGGCCCUUGAUGAAAUUCAUCACCUCAAUUCAAGACCAAGCCUUAACGGCCCUAGAAGAAAUGUUUCAUUCAAGAAAUAUGCCUCAAUGGCCCUUGAUGAAAUUCAUCAUGUCAAUUCAAGAAAUACGACUCUACGGACCUUGAAAAGGCGAACUAAUUCAAGAUCAAGUCUCGACGACCCUUGAGAGUUAAAACAUUCACACUGCAGGACUUUAAAACACGGUUCCUACAUGUGGCAAUCACAUGCCUACAACGCGCCUUAAAGUGCGGGCAUUUGUAGACAUGUAAAUUUAGUUGCAUACAAAUGAUGCAUCACAAAGUUCCAAGUGGCAUAUGACUCACCACAAAUGGACAAGUCAUCAAUGACAUGUGGCACAAAUUAAGCAAAUGAAGCUUAAAGGUUCCCAGAUUUCAGUCAAAGAGAGAAAAUCUCUCUUAGAAAAAAGGGCAAGGCUCCAAAGUGUUCUCAAAACCGGAAAGAAAGUUAAGGUAUCUUCAUAAAAUAAAGGCAACAAAGACUCUAUAAUUCGGCCAAGGAAGUAAAGAUGGCUGGAAUUAAGACACAAAACAUCCUUAAAUUCUCCCUUGGACGAAUUAGGACAUAAAUAAAAGCCAAAUCCAUCCAAAGGCAAGCUUUGAAAAGCCUAUAAAUGCAAGGUCAUCCCAUAAGCAUAUGGGUCAACAAAUUACACAUUGAGAAGAACCUAUGCACAUAUCUUUGAAGACUAAUACGUUGCUAAAGCUUUCUUCGAAGAACGUACAACCAAAGCUGAAGCUUUCUUUCGACCAAAGCCGAAGCACUCCCCUUGAAGAAUCAACAAGCACUCGUGCCGACUCCUUCAAGACUAGGUUGCAAGCUCAAAACUUGUAACGACAUUCUUUUCAAGAUUAAGUCGCCAAGACCCUUGAAUCAACGAAAUCCUACAUCAACACUCCCUUUGUCGCAACCCUAAACUUGAGGUGAAGAACAUUUAUACGUUGUUUCAAGCUCAAAACUUGAAACAAUUGUUCAAUCGUUUAUCCGAGAUCAAGUCAUCGCAUCCCUUGGAUCAACAACCUAUGCAUCUACAUCAAAUUUGAAGACUGAAUAAGAGGAAAUUUGUAAACAGAGAUUGUAACCUACAAAUUCAAAUCAAUACAAAUCUAAUUUGUACAUGUGUUCUUGUUUCAUUCAUUAUAAAAUUAUUGUGUUUACAAUAAGGUGGAACCCGGGACUAGUAGACCAGGAGAAGAAAAGAUCCUAGAUACAAGUUUGCCUAAUCCUCUACUAUUCACACUAGAUAGUAAGGGGCAGAUCGGGCAGGAAGGUAGGAAGUUUGGAAUGAAUCAACAAGUUAGAGAGUCCAGUGGAAAAGGUAUGCCUACGGCUGCGGGCAAGCCCCCUUAUAGGCCACCACCGUUGGCUUAUAAGGGAGGGGAGGCCAGGUAGAGACAGCCAGAACCACAAAGGGAGGCUUUUUAAGGCAAUGAGCGUAGCCCAAAGUGGGGACCUCCUUACACCCUGCAUAACAAUGCAGCUAAUCAGCAACUUAGAAAUGAGUUGGUCGAGCUGAGAAGAAUGGUGGUUGCCCAACCACAGGCUCGCCCACUAUUCAGGAUCACAUAUUAGAAGCCUACUCGAAGUAUAUUGAUGAGCAAAACACUUUUCCCCUCAACUUCAAGAUGCCCCCGUUCCCAACCUUUAGUGGGGAGGACUGUAAUGUGUCCUUUAGAUACCACAUUUUCAAGUUUUCCAAUUAUUGGGUGGCAUUUGAAGAUAAUCCUAACUACAAGUUGAGGUUGUUUAGGAAUUCGUUGGUUAACCUAGCUUCUCAGUGGUACACUCUAUUACCUUCUAAUUCUAUUGCUAGCUGGGGCAAAUGGAGAUGGCUUUCCACAAGCAGCUUUAUAGGGUGGAGCCAGAGAUAACCAUCAAUGAUCUAAUGGAGGUGAAACAAUAUAAGCAUGAGUCUACUAAGGACUUCAUGAUAAGGUUUAGAAGGAAAAUGAUGAGGUGCCAAUUUCCUAUCAAUCAUGUGCAGCUUAUAGCUAUUGCCAGAAAGCUUUAAGGCUACCCUUGAGGAAAAUUUUUUAUGAUGUGCAAUUUAAUGAACUUCAAGAGUUGGUGAUUGCUGCUACCAAGUAUGAGAAGUUGUUGACCAAGGAACAGCAAGUGAAGCACUCAUCUAAGGUGCCCUAUUUCUACAAGAACAAAGCCCAAUACAUCAAUUGAAGUUUGAAGGCCUAGAACUAGAGAAAAUGACAACAAUGUAGGUGAAGGAAUUGAGUUGUGCAUAGCAGAGAUGACCACUCCCUUCAAACCUUUGAUGGUGAAGGCGUUGGUCCAACCAGUUAAGGACCAAAAGAUUGUGAUGAAUGACGGAGGAUUUAUGACUGUGAAGCCCCCGAAGUACCAGACUUAUUCUUUUAAUUUAACCAAGGCUGCUAACAUCAACAAAAAGUUAGUGAAGGUUAAAGUGAUUGUGCCCGAUAGUACCAAAAUAUGCCUAAACCAGAAUAGUUGAAAGGGAAAAAAUAUUGCAAGCUUCACCACACCUUCAACCAUUCCAUAGCCAAUUGUGUCUAGUUCAGAGAUUAGAUCCAAGAUCUCAUAGUCAAGGGGAAGCUGUUGUUAAAAAAACCCCUAACUAACAUGAUGAUUGACACAUAUCCCUUCCAGAAGCCCCCAUCAACAUAAUCAACCUUAACUGGGUUAAAGAGAAUGGCUACUUGGGAAGAUAAAGGUGAGAAAAGACAAGUUGUUAGACCUUCUGAAUAUGUUAGAAGAUUGCCUGACAGACCACAAGCAACUGUAAUCAAGAGAGUGGUCUUAUACAAUAAAUGCCAAUAUGAAUGUGAAUUUGAGGUGCUAGCAUUGGGCACCAUUAUUGACCGAGAAUUAGUUAGAAGAAAAGAAAUAAAAGAUGAAAAUGCCUGUAAAAGUGUUAUUCAGGCAGCAGAGAAUGAACCUCCAAGAAUGUGUUCCAAAGAUUAGGAGAGGAUUAUGAACCUAAAGGUCUUUUUAAGGUAUUCAAGAACUAUGAGGCCUCAGAAAAAGUUGAGGACAAGGAAGCCAAGAUGCCAAGGUGGAUAGAAGUGAAACCUCCCCAACCAAGUCAUCACGGUAGGGCAAGGCAAGGAUGGAAAGAGAGAACCAUAAAACCAGUGCCCCAACUUACUAAGAAAGAUUCAGCCCGACUUGGUCAAAAAUGGUUUAUGGGUGGCAAGGAUGGAAGAUUUAUUAAAUAAAUGGAGGCAUCUAUGAUCAGAAAAGUCCAAAGACAACCUAAGGCUCACAUGAACUCAAUGAAAAUCCCUACCAUUUCAGAAGCUGUGGGCAAUGUUAAGUUUGAGGAGGCUACAUAAGGUGGAAGAAGACAACUCCAAUAGAAGAGCAAGAAAAAGGUUGAAAGAGCUAAUAGUAAGAUGGAGGGUAAAGGAAAUUAUGUACCUCAUAAUCCUCAUCCAAGAAAGUACAGAGUGUUAAGAAGAGCUCAGAUGAGUGUAGUGAUAAUGCCUACACUAGGUUGGAGACCAGAGCAUUUCUAUUUUAGGACGAUUUUCCCUGAGAGAGUGAUACCUUCACCUAUACUGGAAAAUACACCCUGUGAAGCCCCAAGACAAUAGCUUAACUUUGAUAUAAUAGUAGAUGAAGAGGUGCCUAAGUUGAUGUUAACAAAUGAUGCUCAGGCUGGAUAGACGAGUUUGAGUAUCAGAUUGGAGGAAAGAAAAAAGAUGUACCUGGACCCAGCAACUUCCACGUAAACAUGACUUAUGUUUUAUCAGCCAUGUUUUGGGCUGAACCAAAUCAGCCAGCCACAAUGAAGGUGAUUGUUUGGCACCAGAACCAAUGAUGGCACUUAUUAGUGUUGAAGAAGCUGAGACAGAAGGAUUAAGUGUCGCAGACUGGCCCGAACCUGCACAAAAGAAGCCCAAUAGGGUAUAUUCUAACCAAAUGGUGUUCAUCAACCCAAGUCUGGCCCUAGCCAACCAUUUUAAACCCAUAUACGUAACUGCUCAUCUGGAGGUAGGACCCUUCAAAAGGGUGUUGAUAGAUGGUGGAGCUGCAGUCAAUGUGCUUCCACUUAAACAAAUGAAGAGAUUGGGUAGAAGUAAGGAAGAUCUUAUUCCCACUAAUCUAAUAGUUUCUAGUUUCUCUGGAGCCAUCACCAGAACACAUGGGAUAUUGCCUUUGGAAGUUGACUUAGGGUCCAAGCAAAUCAUGUUGGCAUUUUUUGUGAUGGAUAGUAGUUCUACCUAUCGAGCACUGCUUGGCAAAGAUUGGAUUCAUCAAAGUCUGUCUAUGUCGUCCACUCUACAUCAACAAGUUACCAUUUACCACGAGUUUACAGCCGAAAAACCAGGAUUUUGGGAGAUUGUGGUGGCCGAGUCACGGCCAUUUCUCCCCACGGCAAAUGUUGUAGCGGUAAACUUCUACAACCCCAGUAUUGGAAUCUUCAAUGUUUAGGAGUUAAUGAGAACGACCAUUCUACUAAGGUGACAGCCUAAAAGCUCAUAGAAUAAGGAUUGUCUCUCACUAGGGAGGAAUUGGACAAGCCUCACAUUGUCCCAGCCUACCAAUAUCAAUUAUGUCAGAACAGAGGAGAAAUGACCAAGUGAUUGUAGUUAGGUCUUUAAUUAAUAGGUUAUUGGUGUAUGGGAGAGAGAGAAAAUAAGUGAGAGAAAGCUCGGCCAAUGAGGAGGUAGAGUGGGAAAUAGAAACUUCAACCACCAAGGAUAGAGAAAAAAAAGAGCUUUUGGGAGAAGAGAUAGAGGCAACCAUUCAUAUGGCUGAGUGUAUAUAUAACUUAGAUUGGCCAGAUGAUGUGCCCGAAAAUCCAAAGUUAGUUGAAUAUUUGUGUAUUUAGCCUAAUAAGCCAGCACCAGAAAUACAAGACCAUUUGGAAACCAUUAAUUUAGGAACUGAGGAGGAUCCAAGGCCAACACAACUUAAUGGCUUGUUGAAAGCUAGAGAUCAGGCAAACAUAGUAGACCUUCUACAUGAGUUCUAGGAUUACCUUAAAUGACAUUACACAGAGAUGUCUAGUAUGAACCCUAGUUUAGUAGAGCACAAAAUGCCUAUCAAGGAAGGGUACAAACCUAUGAAGCAAGCUCUAAGGAGAAUGUCGAAGGAGAUAGAAGAAAAGGUCAAAGAAGAGAUCGAGAUACUGGUAAAAGCUGAAUUUAUUAGGCCUGCUAAGUCUGUCGAGUGGUUGGCCAACAUUGUACCUGUAUUAAAAGCUAUAACUAAUGUCAUCCGAUGUUGUGUCGACUAAGCCACACCUAAAGAUGAAUACCCCAUACCUAUGGCUGACCUGUCCAUAGAUGUAGUUGCAAAACACAAAGUUCUAUCUUUUAUGGAUGGGAAUACUGGUUAUAAUAAAAUAAAAAUGGCUAAUGAAGAUAUUCAUAAGAUAACUUUUAGGUGCUUGGGAUAUGUACGAGCAUAUGAAUAUGUUGUCAUGCCGUUCAGGCUCAAAAAUGCUGGUGCCACCUAUUAAAGGGCAAUAAACGCCAUUUUUCAUGAUUUAAUUAGUCAUAACAUGGAGGUAUACAUUGAUAAUUUACUAGUAAAGUCAAAAACUAAAAAGCAACACUUAGAAGACCUCAGACAAGCCUUCGUGAGAAUGAGGACCCAUAAGUUAAAAAUGAAUCCCAACAAAUGUGUUUUUGGAGUCAGAUCGGGUACCUUUUUGGGAUUCCUUGUUCAUUAAAGAGGAGUGAAGGUAAACAAAAACAAACCUCGGGCCAUAAUGGAAUCGUCUUCCCCCACCAAUAAAGUACAAUUGCAAAGGCCACUGGGGAAGAUCAACUUCUUAAGGAGAUUCAUUGCUAACUUGGCGGGCAAGACCCAACCAUUGACUCCUUUACUAAGACUGAAAAAUCAAGAAGAGUUUAAGUAAGGGCCAAAAUACCAAGAGGCUUUUGACAAAAUGAAAGCUUACCUAGCCUCUCCACCAAUGCUUAUGCCUCAUUAGAGGAGGAAACCUUAAUAGUUCUAUAUCUCUGCCUUGGAAAAGUCAAUAUGAAGCUUAUUGGCUCAAAACAAUGAAGGAGGGAAGGAAUCAGCAAUAUACUACCUCAGUAAGAUCCUUACUAAGGUAGAAACAAGAUAUACCCCAAUUAAGACAUUAUGUUUGGCUUUAUAAUUCAUUGUCUGCAAGCUAAAGCAUUACAUGUUGCCUUGCCAGCCAAGACUGGUGUGAUCAAGUAUAUGCUGGGAAAUUGAUUCCAGCACUAUUAGAGUUCAACUUCCACUAUGUACCCCAAAGAGCAAUAAAGAGGCAAGCAAUUGUAGACUUCUUGACUGAGCACUAAAAGUCACAGGAUGAACUUGUCAACAUCCUAAGAACUCUGGAAAUAGCUAGUGUAAGGAUCCCUCAAAAUAAAGAUCAUUCGAGCAAGGAAGAAUGGAUUUAGCAAAAAGUAAAGAGAAUAGCAAGCCUAUGGAUCACUCUUUGGAAGUUGUAUUUUGAUGGGUCAUGUAUUUAGCAUGCUGUUGGAGCCGGGAUUGUCAUCGUUGAUCCCAAGGGAUUUCAGCAUUACUACUCAUUCAUUCUUGAUUAUCAAGAUACUAUCAACAAUCGGGCAGUGUACGAGGCAUUGAUUAUUAGCUUGGAAAUCCUGAUAGAGCUAGGGGCAACUGAAGUUGAGUUGUUUGGUGAUUCAGAAUUGGUGAUUAAUCAGCUUAAUAGAGACAACAAGUGUAGACGCAUCACAAUAGCUGGUUAUUAUUUGGCAACCACUCAAUUAUUGAGUUAUUGGGGCACUAAAGUGUCAGUCAAUCAUAUUCUUAAAGACCUAAAUUUAAUUGCUAAUGAGAUGGCACAGUUGGAUUCUGGAGCACAGAUCUAAGAAAUAAGGUUCGAGGUGGAUGUGGAACUACAAAGAAAAAAUCUCCCUUCUAUCUUUGAAAUAGGGUUCAGCUUAGAUAUAAUGACUAAAGAAGCUGAGAUAGAAGAUUAGAGAACACCCAUCAUCCAGUACUUGAAAGACCUUUCUUCUCCCACAAGUAAGAAAAUUAGGCAACAAGCAACUAAGUUUGUCAUGUGGGAUAGAACUCUGCUAAGAAAAACUCCAGAUGGAUUCCUAUUAAAAUGUUUAGGCUUGGAAGAGUCAAUGAGAGUGAUGGCUGAAGUGCAUGAAAGCAUUUGUGGAGCACAUCAAGCUGGAACCAAGAUAAGGUGGUUGUUGGGAAAAUAAGGCUAUUUUUGGCCCGAUAUGGAGAAGGAUUGUAAGGUUUAUGCCCGAAGGUGUGAAGAAUGCCAAAGGCAUGAACCUCUCUAAUACAUAUCCUUAGUAUUCUCGAAUCCAGUGGGUAAUGGACUUCAUCGGGCAAAUUUACCCAGCUUCUAGUAAGGGGCAUACUUUCAUAAUUGUGGCAACAGACUACUUCACCAAAUGGGUAUAAGCUUCAACUGUUAGACUAUCACUUCAGCUGUUGUGAAGAAAUUUAUUGAAACCAAGAUCUUACACAGAUAUGGGGUGCCCGAGACAAUUGUUAUAGACUGAAGGCCAUCUUUUAUCUCGAAAGAAGUAGAAAAAUUUGCAAACAAGUUUAAGAUAAAGAUGAUCCAAUCUAGCCCUUAUUACCCCCAAUCAAUGGUCAAACAGAAGCUAACAAUAAAAUCUUGGUAAAUAUUAUUAAGAGAAUGGUAGCAGAUAGCCUGGAGAAGUGGCAUGAGAAGUUAAGAGAUGCUCUGUGGGCUUACAGAACCUCAAAGUGGGUAGGAACUGGAACCACCCUUUAUGCUUUAACCUUUGGGCAAGAUGUUAUACUCCCUAUGGAAAUCAAUGUAAGUUCUGUCAGGCUUCAAAACCAGUUUGGCCUACAUAAUGAAGAAUACAUUCAAGCUAUGUGUUAAUAGAUUGAAGAUUUAGAUGCAACCCAAAUUCUAGCCUUGAAUAAAAUCCAAGAAGGGAAGAAGGUUGUUGCCCAAGCAUACAACAAGAUAGUGAAGUUAAAGGCCUUCAAUGAGGGAGAGUUAGUAUGGAAGACAGUGUUACCCUUGGGAGCUCAAGUUAGAGGUUUUGGGAAGUGGAGUCCCACUUGGGCAGAUCCUUUCAUUAUCAACCAAGUGUUUGAUAGAUGAGGAUAUUACUUGGCAGAUUUAGAAGGAAACUUGCAAAGGCAUUAAUGCUAAGUUUUUGAAAAUAUAUCACCCAACUUUGUGGGAUGUUAGAGAUUAUUGUAUUGAGGAAGUCUAAGCAUUUUAAGGGUUGAAGUUAGUUUAUGCAUCUACCACAGUUAAGGUUUAAAGUAAAAAUAAGACAAGUUGGAAGUGAAGAAGGAAGUUUCAUUUUUUUGCAUCGAAUAAAUAAGUUAAAAAGUCAUUGCCAAACAAUUUUACAUCUUUAACCAAUGCAGCUAUCCUAGAGUGAUAGGUCUGCAUGACCGUGAAAAUUUGGCCUGGCUCUUCUAAGGCAAUGUUACUGUUGGCUAAUUGAGCUUCGGCAUCCUUUACUUCCAGAUUAACUUUCUUCACUUCUUCAAUUUUUUGGUAAAGUUAGCUUAAAAGGGUCAUCUGCUCGACCUUCAGUGCAAAUAACUGCUCUUCCAACUUUUGAAUCUCGGAGGCCACCACCAAGAUCCUGUCCUUCAUGGACAAGCCUCUCAUCCACCAGCUGCUGCUGAGAAAUAUAAGUCUUGAGAUGCUUCUCUUUAAAGCACUUGAUUAUAUUCAAUUGUCUCUCUACCUGUUGAUGUUGGUCCCUCAGUGCCCUCCAGUUCUAGAAGAAUGAGAGGAAUGACUCGUAUUGGAGGGGGCAUCACUCCAGUACCCCUAGAAGCUGCUUCAGUUUGAAGUGAGGGAUGAGGCCUAGAAGUGGAGGUGGCAACGACAACAGUCGUCUUCUGCCAAAGCUUAGGGAUCCCUAUAACUCCAGAGGGAGAAGAAGAGAUAUGACUUUUAUACCUAAGCUGAACCUUGAAUAGUGGAAGGGGGCACCUUUGUGGUCGUAGUUGUCUUGGGAGAAGAAGGUGGACUGGCCCGAGAAGCAGCCUGAGGAGCCCGCGAGCUAGUCACUUCUAAAACCAUGGGGAUCUCAAUGACUAUUAGGUCCCCAAAAGUUAUUGGUGGUUGCUUAGUGGCCUCGUGCACUGGAAAUGACUGAUAAAAGAAGAAUAUAGAGUAACCUAAGGAAAAUUCAAAAGAAAGCCUAGAAGAACUUAAGAAGAAGAGUGCUUACUGAAGUACUAUCAUCUUCAAUGUAGUGCAGCAUCUCCUCAGUCUUUGGGGUGGGAAGUGGGAGUUGCCACUAUGGGAGGAGGAAGAGUUGAAGAGGUAGGAGCAAAAUUUUACCCUACCUGAAAAGUAGAUGCCCCAACUUUAGCCUGAGGAAAAGAAUAAAGAUGGUGGUUAAUCUUGAAACUUGAAAAAUCAUAAACCAGGAUUAGGAAAUAUGAUACCUUUGAGGGCUUGGCCCGACGAUGGGAAAGAUGCACUGCUCGAGCAAGAGGAGAAGAAACCUCAGGCUGGGAUAUCUCUUUGCCUCUAGUAUCCUAUUUCAAGUAAACAAAGAGUUAGCACGAGUGUUAAAGAAAAUGAAUUUCAAAAGUAACCCAGUACUUAAGAAAAUGAAGGCUAUACCUUCAACUCCUCAAGGAUUUUAUCGAGGACUGCCUUAUCCUCUGGCUAGACUUCUUUGCCCAACUGCUUAUCUGAAGGAAUAGGGGCAGGUUUCUUAGUUGCUGAAGGCCUUGAUUACAAGAAAAGAAGGGGGUGUUAGUUCAUGCCCCACGAUAAACUGAAAACUAAAAUUGAGAAGAAAAAAAAUGACUAAGGCUAAGAUCACUAACUGAAGGAUUUUUGCUUUUUCCUACCUGCUUCAGCUGGAUGGGCAGAGGAAGGCUUUAAGGAUUUGGAGGCUUGAGAAGUCUGAGACCCGGUCCUCUUCCUGGUAAGAGUUACCCUAAGGCCAGGCAAAGUAAGACAAGGCUGAAGCCGCUAUUCAGGCUUGAACUCUGGUGACUUUACCAUGGUUACCUUUGCCUGCCAAGGUACACGAGUCUCCACUUCAGGCUUAGCCUUAGCCUUUGAGCCUGUAUAGAGGUCGGAGAUGUCUCUAGUGUCUCUAGCAGCUUGGCUGGACCCCGCCUCUUACCUUGCUACCUUAGUGGUGGCCUCUUGAAGGAUAAAUGCGUCUGCAACUUCUUUUUCUUGCCCGACAUCCACUUCUUCAGCAUUGCCUUGGGCUAUGAGAUCAGAGUGAAAGUUAAUAAACAACAGACUAUGAAAACAUCACAAAAGAGAAGACAAAAUUAAUAAGGUAUACCUAUAAGAAGAAGCCGGUUCUUCUGGUUGAUCACAUUCUUCUAGUUCUCAAGUUCCUCCUUCUUUGGGUAAGAUUUGAAGAAGAGCUAUCCGAAUAGCCAAUCGUGGACUUUCAUAAGAUCUCUUUCGUACUUCUUUUGCCACUUGGCCUCUCACCAAGUGGCAAAAGAAGGAGUGCAUUCAAAAUUUAGAGCCACGUGCUUAUGGGCAAUGCGGCUCAUCAUUUCUAUGUUGUGCCGAGCUGUCUGGAAUGUCACAUCGACGGGAGAGCGAAUGCGGAAAUAGGUUCCACAGUGCAUGUAGUUAAAGUAGAGCAUUGGGAUCAAGUGCCUAAAUCCUAGCUGUCUACCACAAAAAUUAUGAUGGUAGACCUUUAGCUCGCGCUCGUAGCCCAUGCGGUCGCUUCGCACUACCCAAGCCAGGUCUCGUUGUUGGAUGUAACUUACAAAUUUCUCCUUGUAGGUCUCACUUUUUUGGAAAAUCUGGUUCGAGAACCAUGGGUACCUCUUAAGCAUAGAGGCACCCCACUCCAAGUCUGCCCAAGUUCAACAGAUUCUGAAAAAAAAAUAUAGUCAAACUAGAGUUCAAUGGUUUGUAGGAGAAGCCUCGGCCAAGAUACGAGAUAGAGCCACUCCUUCAGGGAACUCCAAGUUGGGCGCCCGAAACUCAGGGAAGUACCACUAGAGCCAUAACUGGACCAUCUAGGUUAGCUCGAUGAGAUUGGUCUCGAAGGGCUCGCCUCUGGUCACCUUGUAAAGGAGGUGAUAGAGGUGGGCAAGGAGGAAAGGCCCCAUGGCCACUUCAUCGAGGGAAUGAAGGGCCUCCACCAAGGGGAUCCACUUCAGCUUCACUCAUUUGGAUUUGUUUAGGAACACAUGCUUGUUCAACCAAUAUAGGAAGAAGUACAUGUGUUCUUGGGACUUAUCUGUAGUGGAUGAGGGCGGGCUGAAUGUUUUCUUUGAGAAUGGGAUAAAGUCCGCGAAGGACAUGCCAUAGCUUUUGAAGGUGGAAGAAGUUUACUCUAGGCAAGAAAUGGACUCAAAAGAGCCUGAGCUUUCAGAAGUUAGGCUAAAAAGUGAAGACUAAUCAUGGGUAAUGUCCAUGCACCUACCUGAGGGCCUUAGCCCGAAAACCUAAGCCAUGUUAAAGAUCAUGGGAGACAUGGGACCCAUUUUAAAAUCGAAUGUGUUGGCCCCAUUGUUCCAGAAGAGAAGAGCUGUGGUCAGCAGCUCAGGCUUAGCAAUCACCGUGACCUUGGAAAGCAUGAUAAGCUCAUAGAUUCCAUUGGUCAUUCACUUCCAGAUAGGCUCGAGCUUGUCCACCCAAUGUGACCAGGCCUCAUCUCUCCUUAGUGGGAAACCCCUUUGAAAGUUGGACCACUUGAAGGUCGAUAUACCAGCUUCAACGAAGUAAGGAUUGGGAGUAAACUAGUUGGCCAAGGCAUGUUAUUCUCCACCUCAAUUAGGACUCAGGCAGUCCAAGCUAGCCCCAAAGAAUGCACUCAUCCUUCCUCAAAAAAAAAAAAAUUGAGGAAUUCAGGCUAGCCUGAGGGCGAUGAAGGCUGGUGAGUUGACGGCACAUGGUGGCGAUGUCCUCACUGGACUCAUAUGCAGGACGAGUUUUAGGUGCCAUUGAUUAAUUGAGUUUUGGGAAGAAAGUGGAGAGGGCUAAAGGCAGAAAGCAAAAAGGAAUUGUGAGGGCAAGGGAAUUCUGGAAAAUCUAGGAACUUUGGAAGCUCAGAAAAUAGGAUUGCUAAAGGUAUUUGGCCAAGAAAUUUAAAUAGAGAUUAUAUAAUAGGUAGUUAGUUAACAUUGGACAUCGUGGGUUAUUGCAAAGGUUUAUUCGAAAAUGGUUGUUUAAAUGGUGCAAGUCCCAAGUUAAAUCAUGCGGCUGGUAUUUAAUCAUUAUUAAGGUCUCGGUUUACAGACUUAACAAAUGAUUAAAGGGUGCACUUUUUGGGUUAAUAUUUAACAUUAGGCUUUGCAUUAGGAAAAAAUCCAAAGGCGCCAAAAUAAGUCAAACUUGUCCAAAGCCCAACAAUGAAGCCUAAAGCAAACUGAAGCUUUUUUAAGCCACUGUGCCUAUGAUGGAAGUGACAAAUGACAUAGACCAACUCAUUAUCAGCCAAAAAACACUUUCUAAAGACAUUACAAGUAAAUAGGCCAUCGGCUAAGAGUAAAGCUAAAGCAGUUGGGCCAAAUUGUCUAUAAAAGGAGAAAGAGACAACAGAGAUAAGGACACUCAACCAACCAAUAAAAAAAACAUACAAACUCUGCUCUCAAGCCAAUUCGUACCCAGAAAGCUUAAACUUGUCCAGAUUCAGUCCUUUUAAAGCUAUAAUUCCCUUAGAAAAACUAUCUUUUAUCUAGUGUAAUAGCUCUGCUACCUUCCCUUGGUGUUGUAGUAUCGAUUCCCUCAUGUAAAACCUAUUUACCAUCCAUCCUUUUUAGCAUACAACCUCUAUAAACUCAAAGAAAAAUGGUUGUAAGAAGUUCGACCUUGCCCAACAAGGUGAAAUCUUGUCUGAGUCUCUUUGUUUGCACUUUAAUUUAGUAGAUAUGUCACUUAAUGGACUUUUUAGCAUGUAUUCAAGCUAUUUCCAACUGUUUUCCAUCUAAGAGUCCCAUUUGCAUUUGAAUCUAUUUAACUUAAUAAACCUAUUUUCAUUAAAAACAAACUGCAUUCGAGGAAAUGGUUAAAAGGGCCCUUAACUCCCUUUGUUGUAAACGUAAAAGAUUAUGAACUAAAAGUUCUUGCUCACAAGGCAAGACAAAGAACUUAAUGUAGACUUAACUCAUCUGUGACAAUCAUUUAAUAACAAGAAGUUUAAGUAACUUGGGGUGUAAGUAAUCAACUUAAAUCACAUAUAUUCAACGUCUGUUAUACUAAGAUAACAGUGGCACGCCAAGAUCCUUGUUAGUUUUGAUUGCGAGCCUUAAUGCCUACACCUAAGGCCCUACAAAGGCACAUUUCAAACUAUCUUUAAACUCUUCUUGCAGCACACCAAGCAGCAAGAGCUCACCCAACAAGACACCAAGUGACAAACCACUAGGGAGCUAUGCAAAGGGAAAUCAUAGCCGAAACCGGAUGAUUGUGCAUAACCUAGUUCCGAAUGGUAUAUGCUAAUUUCCCAUUUCCAUGUCAGGAAAAGCUGAAAUUGGUUGAAUGUCAAAACUAUUGUAAUGCAAUAUUAAAAAUUUGAAAUUGACUUCAAACCUUAAUUAAUAGUACAAAAUGUACUUAUCCCAUUCAUCUGAGUGCAAAAUAUACCUAGGGGUUGUAUCGAGUUUAAUGAAUUUUAUUUGACUCUCAAAUCUAAGUGUAGUCAAUAUACAUUGUAAACACAAAAAUCGUGUGACAAAUGAGACAAGAACACGUGUACAAAGAAUAUUAUUUGUAUUAAUGAAUUUGUAGGGUUACAAUCUCUUUACAACUUGAUCCUUUUAUUUGAUCUCCGAAAUGUGUAGAUGUGUAAUGUUGUUGAUCCAAUGGUCACGAUGACUUGAUCUUGGAUGAACGAAUGCCGCAAGGUUUUGGUUCUUGGCAAUGGAGGAACCGGCACGUGUAGGGGUGCUUGGCGGUUCUUCACAGGACUUGACAAAUAACACGAAGGAUUUUUCGAGUCCUCUUGAGUGUGUUAGUGUUUGGGGGGUUUGAGUGCUUGAGAGCUUCAGAAUUUCAAAGAUUCAGCGUCUAGGCGUGAAAUGAUUUCUCUACCUUUUCUUUGUCUUGGAGCCUCCUAUUUAUAGACUUUCCAAGCCUUGACUACGGAUGGAUUUGGCCUUGAUUGUGGGCUUGAUUAAUUGAUGAAAAAACCAAGACUUGAUUUGUGAGCUGGUUCGUGAUUUGACUCCAUCAAUUAACAUUUGAUUUAAUUUAAUUAAAAUCAAAUAAUUCUUUUCCGCCAAGUGUUGACAUGUGUCAUUCUUGAUUACUCGUCCGAUUUUGUUGAGUCGCACGUCAUGUAUACAAUUUGUGCGACAUGUGACACAUGCCACGUAUGCCCUGGCACGUCAAAACUUUAAUGCAUUAGUGAACAUUUCAUUCACCGAAAUUUCGAUGUCUACAUACACUUUGAAGAAAAACUUUUCAGGACUUCUAAAAAGUCUAUAAUAAUUUUGUGGUAUUCAAUUAUGAUUUCUUGUAAGUCUAAAAAAUUUCACAUGUUUUAAAAGAUUUAAAAAACUCGUGGAUUUUGAGUGCUUUAAUAGUAACCUUUUGUCAUAGCAAAUCUAACAUAUCGCCUUAAGAUUUUGAUGGAUUUCAUUUCUAAUGAGAUUUUCUACCAUUCACGAUUAUGUAACGACUAUCGUUAUCACCACAUUCCACCACCAUGUCGUCACCCCAACACCACCACCCUCAUCUCCUCCACCACCCCAACACCACCCCGCCAUCACAAUCACCACUCCUACUAUUAUCGCUACCACAUAGACAACAACUUUACUAACCAUCUUCCAAACAAUCAUCACGUGUUAUUCCACCAUCAUCGCUGCAACCACCACCUCAGAAGACUACUAUAUUAUGGUCACGAUCACUAUUUCAUUAAUGAAACUCAUCUAUAAUAAGGCUCAUUUAAAUUGGUCAGUAAAAAGUUCAUGACAAUCCACAAAAUUUAAAAAAAAAAAAUUCUAUGAACUCUCUAAAAUUAGGCAAAACUCUGUCAUUUAACUCCUUUAUUUUCCAAAAAUAUAUGAUUAAAACUCUAUAAAAUUUUGGAGAGUUUGUAGUCAAUAAAAAUAUACUAAAUUUGUAAAACUUAUUACUUUAAAAACUCAACAAAAAUCCAAAUGAAUAUUAAUACACUAAAAUCUUGUUAGCCCAUUCCUUUGUUUUUUUUUUAACAUACGAUAUUAUCUACACUAAGGGAAGGUGGGUAGGUUUAAUUUCACAAUGGACUAGUAAUAAUGUGAUUCAACUUCGACUUUGGCAAGAAUCAAACCUAAGAAUACUCACUUAUAAGUGGAGAUGAAUACCACUAUACUGUAGUAUUAAGUAACUCAUUCCUCUUUUUAAUCCAACUACUGUCAUUUGGAGUGCAUUAUGUGGUCCAAUUUUUGUUUUAUUUUUAAUUUUUGUUACAAGCACGGAAACAUUAAGGAAAGAAGGUUUGAACUCAUAACCUAAUGAGUUUGAAAUGCCCUAUGUACCAGUUCAAUUCACCACUUACCUAUAUGAACCAAAUUAAGAACUUCAUAUAGUUUUCUCUUUCUGAAAUUUCAACUUUUUAAUCCUCUUAAAAAGCUUUUUAUAUUAAUUUAUAUCUAUGGAGAAAAUCUGCCCCGAAUUAAUUUUAUUGUCAUGUGUUGUCAGUCUUGCCUUCAGUCAAGAAAAUAGUGCCCUGCUUUCCAACGGAGGUAGAAAUUAUGGCACUAGGACACAACAAAAUUAUCAAAAAUUGUACCUUUCAUUUAUAGUUCUACAUAGGUGUUUGCCUUUCUUCUCAUCAUAUGUUUGGGUUCCGCACCGAGAGGAAGAAAUUCAAACCGUUGGUGUCAUAGUCACCUAUUGACCCCACCCUCCCUCCGGUGCUGCUGCUUUCUUUCUUUCUUAUCUUCAAGAACCUGUUAUCCUUUAUUUUGGAAUCUAUUUUUAGCUAGGCGAUGCUAUUAUGUUGCUCCGUCUUUGUAGAACAUGGUUAAUUUUGUGUUCUCAUUUGCCCUUAUGGACACAUUGAUACAUCACACUAAUUACGUCACAAACAUAUCACAUCACUAAUUAAUGUGAAUCACUGAAUAUAAAGAACAAAAUAUAACCUUCAAAACAAGAACUCAUAGCCCUAAAGAAAAACCCUUCCCGCGUUCCCGUCUUUGGCCUUGUAGUCGGCAGUAAUCUUUCUUGAUCUCUUACUUCUUUUUCUCUCUCCAAUUUCAUUCGAGCAGAGUCUUUCUGGUUGUAAUCGCUCUCUCGCUUUGUCGAUGAGAAUUUCAUGAUUGUGGUCGUAAUCAUGACUUUGAAAUGUGUGACCUCUUGAAUUGCUUUAAGGAUCACAUUUUUUAUAUGUGUUCUUGAUUAUAUUCUUAAUGAAAUUUCUUUUGAUAAAAAAAAAUGUGAAUCGCGAAAUAAAUUUUCAUCAUUUACGAACUGUCACUUUUUAUAAAUUAAUUUGAGACCAGGAAGAAUCUGGCGUAAUUAUUUUUGAUAAGCAAUGCAAGUUGGUACAUUUAUAUUUGCAUCCAGGAUUAUGAUUCACACACCCAUUUAUGUUCAUAUACAACAGUAAAAAAAAUAAAUUUUCAUUUUAUACAAAACACCUAUCUAACCUUCAAAACAUUUAAGGGUAAAUGCAUUUUGCAUCCUCAAGUUUGAGUGCAAUUGCAAUCUCAUAUAUCAUCUUUAUAAUUCAUACACAAAAUUAUAAUUAUGUAGCAAUGUCUUACAUCCGUUAUUCAUUAUGUUUUUUGAACUGUUAAAUUAUGACUUGGCUAUAAUAAACUUAUAUUUAUGAUGAUGUGCCAUAGAAGACUUGAAAUAGGGAAUUUCAUGCCCAUAUUCAGGUACCAGGGUUGGACUCUGGUACAUGGCGCUCUGGGUAAGACGAUUCUGGUAGUGGUGCCAAGAUGUUAGCACUAGCUUCUCCUUGAAUUUUGCUUCUGCUCAAAAUAUCUUGGCGGUGGCGAGUUGCCUGAUAAUUGGAGGCUCAGAGAAGGUGUUAUAUUUGGUGGCUAGAACUGGCUUUGCACUGGAAGAUGCCAGAAGAAAAUCAGAGGUACCCGUUCGAAUAUUCACGUUGCUAGCGCUUCUUACAAAAGCCUGUCAUCAUCAAAAAAUAGGCAACAACAACAACAACAACAACAACAAAGCCUUUUCCCACUAAGUGGGGUCGGCUAUAUGAAUCCUAGAACGCCAUUGCGCUCGGUUUUGUGUCAUGUCCUCCGUUAGAUCCAAGUAAUCAAGUCUUUUCUUAGGGUCUCUUCCAAAGUUUUCCUAGGUCUUCCUCUACCCCUUCGGCCCUGAACUUCUGUCCCGUAGUCACAUUUUCGAACCGGAGCGUCAGUAGGCCUUCUUUGCACAUGUCCAAACCACCGGAACCGAUUUUCUCUCAUAUUUCCUUCAAUUUUGGCUACUCCUACUAUACCUUGGAUAUCCUCAUUCCCAAUCUUAUCCUUUCUCGUGUGCCCAUACAUCCCACGAAGCAUCCUCAUCUCCGCUACACCCAUUUUGUGUACGUGUUGAUGCUUCACCGCCCAACAUUCUGUGCCAUACAACAUCGUUGGCCUUAUUGCCGUCCUAUAAAAUUUUCCCUUGAGCUUUAGUGGCCUACGACGAUCACACAACACGCCGGAUACACUCUUUUGAUAAAAAAAAAUGUGAAUCGCGAAAUAAAUUUUCAUCAUUUACGAACUGUCACUUUUUAUAAAUUAAUUUGAGACCAGGAAGAAUCUGGCGUAAUUAUUUUUGAUAAGCAAUGCAAGUUGGUACAUUUAUAUUUGCAUCCAGGAUUAUGAUUCACACACCCAUUUAUGUUCAUAUACAACAGUAAAAAAAAUAAAUUUUCAUUUUAUACAAAACACCUAUCUAACCUUCAAAACAUUUAAGGGUAAAUGCAUUUUGCAUCCUCAAGUUUGAGUGCAAUUGCAAUCUCAUAUAUCAUCUUUAUAAUUCAUACACAAAAUUAUAAUUAUGUAGCAAUGUCUUACAUCCGUUAUUCAUUAUGUUUUUUGAACUGUUAAAUUAUGACUUGGCUAUAAUAAACUUAUAUUUAUGAUGAUGUGCCAUAGAAGACUUGAAAUAGGGAAUUUCAUGCCCAUAUUCAGGUACCAGGGUUGGACUCUGGUACAUGGCGCUCUGGGUAAGACGAUUCUGGUAGUGGUGCCAAGAUGUUAGCACUAGCUUCUCCUUGAAUUUUGCUUCUGCUCAAAAUAUCUUGGCGGUGGCGAGUUGCCUGAUAAUUGGAGGCUCAGAGAAGGUGUUAUAUUUGGUGGCUAGAACUGGCUUUGCACUGGAAGAUGCCAGAAGAAAAUCAGAGGUACCCGUUCGAAUAUUCACGUUGCUAGCGCUUCUUUUACAAAAGCCCUGUCAUCAUCAAAAAAAUAGGCAACAACAACAACAACAACAACAACAAAGCCUUUUCCCACUAAGUGGGGUCGGCUAUAUGAAUCCUAGAACGCCAUUGCGCUCGGUUUUGUGUCAUGUCCUCCGUUAGAUCCAAGUAAUCAAGUCUUUUCUUAGGGUCUCUUCCAAAGUUUUCCUAGGUCUUCCUCUACCCCUUCGGCCCUGAAACUUCUGUCCCGUAGUCACAUUUUCGAACCGGAGCGUCAGUAGGCCUUCUUUGCACAUGUCCAAACCACCGGAACCGAUUUUCUCUCAUAUUUCCUUCAAUUUUUGGCUACUCCUACUUUACCUUGGAUAUCCUCAUUCCCAAUCUUAUCCUUUUCUCGUGUGCCCAUACAUCCCACGAAGCAUCCUCAUCUCCGCUACAAGCCCAUUUUGUGUACGUGUUGAUGCUUCACCGCCCAACAUUCUGUGCCAUACAACAUCGUUGGCUUUUGCCUUAUGCCGUCCUAUAAAAUAAUUUUUUCCCUUGAGCUUUAGUGGCCUACGACGAUCACACAACACGCCGGAUAUACACUCUUACACUUCAUCCAUCCCAGCUUGUAUUCUAUGGUUGAGAUCUCCAUCUAAUUCUCCGUUCUCUUACAAGAUAGAUCCUAGGUAGCGAAAACGGUCACUUUUUGUGAUCUUCGCCAUAUUGCUCCGGUCAUUAGUGUGGAUAAGUAUAUAAAUGGAUAGAGAGAUAGGAAAGCAAACACAAGAUGUACGUGGUUCACCCAGAUUGGCUACGUCCACGGAAUAGAGGAGUUCUCAUUAAUUGUGAAAGGUUUACACAAGUACAUAGGUUCAAGCUCUCCUUUAGGGAGUACAAGUGAAUGAUUUAGUACAAAUGACAUUAGGAAAUAUUGUGGGAGAAUGAUCUCGUAACCACGAAACUUCUAAGUACCGGAGUGUGGUAUCGUCUUGACUUUCCUUAUCUGUCUCAUAGGUAGAUGUGGAAUCUUCUCUGGAAGUACUCUUCCUCCAUCCAGGGGUGGUAUCUGUAACUGGUGGAGAUGCACAAGGUAAUGUAUCAAUGUCACUUGAAGCUUACUUGUAGUUUCAGGCUUGGUCAAGCGCGAUACAAACCAUGUAGUAGGAGUCCCCCAAGUCGCCGAGCUAGGAGAUCUGCUGAAAGAGGUAACAGACAAGGUAAGCAAUCAGAGCUCCGGCUGAUUGUUCACAUUCUCCCUAUCUUGCAGGCAGCAUGAAGGAUAAAGAGAAGAAAAAUGAGAAGAGAUGAUAUGGGAUACUUUUGCUUUUGAAGAAGUAACUUUCCACAGGCUUAUUCUUGAACUGGGCUGGAGGGUUUUCUGGUUUCCUCCAAAGUAUAAGGCCGACUGAAGAAUUUGAGGGUCAAAACAAGUCCAUCAAAUCUAGAGUACGUUCGACCCUGCUGAUAUGGGAUACUUUUUCUUUUGACAGAGUAGUGGAUGUAUCGGCACGUGUGCUGUUACGCUUGUCUCCACAUGCUUCCUUGUAUCCUUCUCACUUGCUCUAUCUGUUCCUCAGGCAGAUGCGGUAUCUUCCCUGGAAGCAUAAGAUGUUGAAGAUGAGUACUCGAGAGCAAUGCCAGGGUAGGGGGUUCCAGGCAGUCAGUUCCUGGCUGGAAGCUUGAUUCCAAGUGCUGACGAAUUGCUCUCUUCUCUUGUCUUGCAGGUAAGAACAAGGCCAAAGGAAAAGACAGGGAAAAAGCAUGAUAUGGGAUACUCUUGCUUUUAACCCUGAUGAUAUGAGAUAUUCUUGCUCUAGUAUAGCUUGUUUACAGAGGUAUUAUCGGGGGGAAAGAAAGCUGAAUAUUUCGAAAGGCUUCGUUGGGAGUGCCCUCUCAGAUAAGAGGAAUGGUUGAGCAUUUUUGCAGGUCUGCCUGUCCGUUGGGGAUGGAGGUCGACAUAUAUAGGAGUCUCCCUAACAUCAAGUAAUAAUGCUAUUCCUUUACCCUGCUUGGUCAUAGCACGGUAGUGGGAGCUGCCAGCUUCACAAGUUUUAACUCUGUCAGAGCACUUUGAAAAAAGUGGUCUGUGGUAUCUGGAAAAUGCUGAUGAAGAUUACAGACAAGCUUUAUCCAAGGAGAUCCGGCUCUUGAAGUUGGGAAAGUGGUGCCUCUUUCGGUUUUCGAACAAGCAAUCAUGUCGGGAUCUGGCUCUCGAGAUUCGGAGAACGAUGCCUCUUCGAUUUUUGAGAAAGCAAUCAUGCUGGGGGUGUGGCUCUCGAGAUUCGGAGAGCGGUGUCUUCGAUUUUUUUGAGUAAUCAUGUUGGGAGUCUGGCUCUCGAGAUUCGGAGGGCGGUGCCUCUUCGAUUUUGGAGCAAGCAAUCUUGUUGGGAGUGUUUCUCGAAUAUGAGUAAAGGUUGGGCAUGUUUGCUAGUCUACCUUGCCACGAAGCACAGAGGUUGACACACAGGGACUAAUCCAGUGGUACUGUUCCUGGCUCUCGAGAUUCGGAGGGCGGUGGAAAGUAAUUCGGAUUUUGGAGCAAGCAUCUUGUUGGGAGGUGUUUUCUCGAAUGUGAGUAAAGGUUGGGCAUGUUUGCUAGUCUACCUUGCCAUGAAGCACAGAGGUUGACACACCGAGACUUUCUAAUUAUCCAGCAGUGGUACUGUUCCUUUACCCUUGUGGGUAAUAAUAUGGUAGCUAGGCCUUCAAAAUUUAUGUGUCUAAACUUUGUUAGUGUUGUUUCUUUGCUAUUCUUUUACCCUUCUUGGUCAGAGCGAUGUAGUGAGAGUUGCAAGCUUCACGUGUCUCGACUUUGUCAGAGAGAACUUUGGCAAAGUUAUAUGUGGUACCCAUGAGCUACUGUUGCGUGUGGGAAGUGGGUGAUUGAACAGUACGAUUCAUGUGCUUUCUACUUCGCCAGAAAUCUUCGACAGAAUGCCCAUAAUUUCCGCAAAGCUGAGUGUGCGUGUGACAGGUGCUGACAAGGCUGGAAAAGUAGUCUCAACUUUGUCAGAGAACUUUGGCAAAGUUAUAUGUGGUACCCAUGAGCUACGUGUGCGUGUGGGAAGUGGAUGAUUGAACAGUACGAUUCAUGUGCUUUCUACUUCGCCAGAAAUCUUCGACAGAAUGCCCAUAAUUUCCGCAAAGCUGAGUGUGCGUGUGACAGGUGCUGACAAGGCUGGAAAAGUAGUCUCAACUUUGUCAGAGAACUUUGGCAAAGUUAUAUGUGGUACCCAUGAGCUACUGUUGCGUGUGGGAAGUGGAUGAUUGAACAGUACGAUUCAUGUGCUUUCUACUACUCGCCAGAAAUCUUCGACAGAAUGCCCAUAAUUUCCGCAAAGCUGAAUGUGCGUGUGACAGGUGCUGACAAGGCUGGAAAAGUUGGUGCCUCUUCGAUUUCUGAGAUCGGCCCUCGUGGUCUCUGAGCAGCCCAGCUUUUGAGAAAGCAAACCUCUUCGAUUUCUGAGAUCGGCCCUCGUGGUCUCUGGGCAGCCCAGCUUUUGAGAAAGCAAACCUCUUCGAUUUCUGAGAUCGACCUUCGUGGUCUUUGAGCAGCCCAGCUUUUGAGAAAGCAAACGCCUCUUCGAUUUCUGAGAUCGACCCUCGUGGUCUCUGAGCAGCCCAGCUUUUGAGAAAGCAAACGCCUCUUCGAUUUCUGAAGCUUCGUCGAGUGCAGAUUUUUAUAGAGGCUGACAUUAAGUUCCAAAGCACACUUGAAUAUCCACCAGUAGAAGCUCCAUUCUUGCACUUCUAAGAUCUUGAUUUGUCCGACCUCUUCUCUCUUCUACACCUUUGAAAAUGUCUGGCCCCUCCGACCGUCGUCGUUUUGACUUGAACCUUGUUGAAGAGGCAGCCCCGCCUUCUCCAGACAACAUAUGGCGCCCAUCCUUCGUCUCCCCUACUGGUCCUCUCUUACCGUUGGGGAUUCCGUGAUGAAGAAUGAUAUGACCGCUGCGGUAGUGGCCAGGAACCUUCUCACUCCCAAAGAUAAACAGACUACUUUCCAAACGGUCUGAUGAGUUGGCUGUUAAGGAUUUCUCUGGCUCUUAGUGUUCAGUGUGCAGGUUCUGUGUCUAAUAUGGCCCAACGCCUAUUUGCUCGAAACCCGCCAAGUUGAAUCAUUGGCGGCUGAAGUGAUGAGUCUCAAACAGGAUAUUAGAGGGCUCAAGCAUGAGAAUAAACAGUUGCACCGGCUCGCACAUGACUAUGCUACAAACAUGAAGAGGAAGCUUGACCAGAUGAAGGAAUCUGAUGGUCAGGUUUUACUUGAUCAUCAAAGAUUUGUGGGUUUGUUCCAAAGGCAUUUAUUGCCUUCGUCUUCUGGGGCUGUGCCGCGUAAUGAAGCUCCAAAUGAUCAACCUCUGAUGCCUCCUCCUUCUAGGGUUCUGUCCAGUACUGAGGCUCCGAAUGAUCCCCCUCCGGUGCCUUCUCUUUCUGGGGCUCUACCGACUGCCGAGACUUCUCCUAAGCAACCUUUGUGAAGGCUCCCUCUUGUUUGUUUAUUUUGACUUAAGUAUAUGUACAUAUUUUGUAAUUUUAUCGGGGAUAUCAAUAAAUAAGCUUUCCUUCAUUUCAACGUAUUGUGUUAAAUCACCAAAGCCUUCUUCGCUAAGUUCUUUGAAUUUUCUUUUGUUGAAGCUUGUAUGUUGG
rnacentral:lncRNA from 1 species